rnacentral:lncRNA from 1 species
ACAUAUUCACAAAUCGGCUGAUCACUUAUUUUCCAUUAUGACGUUGAUAUAUAAUUUGCAGACUCCACAAAUGAAGAAAAGAGCACAAAUGACGUUGGCAAACCUGAAACUUUCCCAUUGGGCAAUAAACAUUACUCCAGUCAAAAACAUUAUGGAAGAGGCAAACCUGAAACUUUCCCAUUGGGCAAUAAACAUUACUCCAGUCAAAGACAUUAUGGAAGAGGCAAACCUGAAACUUUCCCAUUGGGCAAUAAACAUUACUCCAGUCAAAGACAUUAUGGAAGAGGCAAACCUGAAACUUUCCCAUUGGGCAAUAAACAUUACUCCAGUCAAAAACAUUAUGGAAGAGGCAAACCUGAAACUUUCCCAUUGGGCAAUCAGCAUUACUCCAGUCAAAAAAAGUAUGGAAGAGGUGCUUCUCCAUCCGACAAUCAACCACCAAUUCCAUAGAAAUUCAAACACGGCUACUUUCUUGCCACGAGAAAGCGCUCAAUCGAUCCCCUUCUCCUCUAACAAACUACCAGAAAUUUUCAACCAUUUUUCAGUGAAGCCAACAUCUGAGGAAGCCAAAACAAUUAAGCAAACAAUCGAAGAGUGUGAAGCUCCAGACCUUAAGGGAGAGGAAAUAUAUUGCGCCACAUCUUUAGAAUCAAUGGUUGAUUUUAGCACUUCGAAGCUUGGAACAAGAAACGUUGAAGCAAUCUCGACGGAGGUAUUGGAAAAAGGAGCCACCAUGUCCAUCCAAAACUAUACAACAAUGCCGGGACUGAAGAAGUUGGCAGGUGACAAAGUCGUUGUGUGUCAUAAGCAGAACUAUCCCUAUGCUGUGUUUUUCUGCCAUGCAAUAAAACAUACAGCAGCUUAUGCUCUCUCCCUGAAAGGCGAUGAUGGGGAGAAGGUUAAAGCAGUAACCAUCUGCCAUCUAGACACAUCAGAAUGGGACCCAGAGCAUAUGUCCUUCAAAAUCGUCAACGUUAAGCCCGGAACCAUUCCCAUCUGCCAUUUCAUUUCCACUGAUGCUAUUGCCUGGGUUCCGAACCACAAAUCUGCAUGAUCAUCACUUAGCACUAGUACUGUGCGUAUAAUAUGCCUGUAUAAUUAUCUCCCUACUUAUUUCUGCCUGUUCAUCAUGUGGUGUAAGAUAUAUGUUGAGAUGAAGUUUUUGGGAUUAGUGGUCGAAAUUAACCCGAUCAUGUUUUCUCUUGUAACUAUAUAGACUUCAACUUGUACUCAUAAUAAAGCAUGCUAUAUUUAUGAAGAGAUAUUAAUCUUCAGGCAAAUAGAUAUUAUGAAAACAUAUAUAGCAAUUUAUCCAGAAGAAAUAUUAUGAAAUGAAAAGAAUAAAAAGUAAAAAAACAGAAGGAAAGGAAUUCGCACCUGCUAUGUAUGAAAGGACCAAGAUUGUUUUCCCUUUGGUUAAUGACUAGAAAAGCUCACUUGCAGAUUGCUUUCUCUGACCGUAGAUGCAACAGAAAUUUUCUCUUAAUAAUAGCACAAUGAUCGGGUAAUUGUAAGAACAAGUUGAUUUAAAAUUCCUUGACCCAAAAAAAAAAAAAAAAUCAUUUCAAAUUCAGGUCAACCCAUAGAUUUCUUGCCUUUUUCUUCUUCAUCACGUUGGGCUUGUCUUCUUCUUGAGGAUUGUAUAGGCCCAGGAAAUGCUUUGAGGUAGUUUUUGGCCUUGGAAGUUGGGACCCAACCCAACUUCACAAAAAGAAAACAGAUUUGCCAAAAAUCAAAUUUCAAGUCUCUCCUCAGAUCACUAAUACAGAUCAAAUUUUGGAUUUGAUGAACUAAAGUGGUUUUACUUUCUCUGUCAGUGUUUGAUGACUUAAUUUGUUAUUUACUUCUUUUUUUUUUUUUACUUGAUCUUUGUAGGGGUUUUUUUCUUCCGGUAACUUAAACGGGCUGGGCUGCCGUAAAGGGUAGAUUGAUGAAAUUGUCUCCUUUGUCUGAGUUCGAAAAUCAAGCCCCAAAAGCGCUUCGAAAGGGCAGUAGAGCCUUAGGAAGCGUUCUAGUCAUCUUCACCAACUAAAACAACAGCAACUUACAGAUGAUUUCUUAAGGCUUACAGAUAAAUUUUCUAGCUUGGCAUGAGAGGCUUGUGACAUGGAAGCAAAAUCAGCAUGAGUUUAGCACCAAAGAGGAAAAUAUGGCUUCCUAGGGAGAAAUGGGAGUGUUUAAGGUGAGGAAGAAGAGGUUUGCAGGCUGAUUUGGCUGAGGAGAGAGAAAGAAAGAACAAUGUUCUUCCAGUAGCUUGACAAAGCUUCUGACAGAUGUGAAAGUCGUCUGCCAUAAGAGGAAAAUGAAGAAGAAUGGUGAAUAGUGCAUGAAAUUGCUGGGUUUUUGCAGGUAAGAGAGAAAGCUUGCUCUCUGAAUUUGAGUUGGUUUUUGGUUGGGUAGAAGAGGCCCCCUUUUAUAGCUGCGGGAAACCAUCUUUUUUCAAGAAACCCUAAUGGUUUCUAUCCAUUUUGGCCAAGCUUUUCCCUUCAUUUCUCUUCUCCUCCCUUGACUUUUCCUAUCUUGGUGAAAUUUCCUCUGCCUAUUUGCACAAAAUUAGAGAUUUUGAGGAGCUCAAGACCCCUUUCCCGCAGCUGCCUCAGUGGAGAAUCCCCAUUUUCAGUCAUCUUUCUUCCUUCUUUUCUCCCAUCUUCCAAGGUUAGGUCUGAUGAGGGAAAGAAAUGGGUAUGCACACUGGUUUGAAGGGUAUUUUUGCUUGAAACUUGUUCUCUCCCAUGUGCUGGAGCUUCCCAGCAACUUACACACAUGGAUAUUUUGGCUUUCAUCGUGGCUUUUGUUUUCAGCUAGGUGCUGGAGAUUUCGCAGAUAUUUUCAUGAGUUGCUUGGGCCUUCUAGGACAAUAGGUUGGUUUAUCAAGUGAAUGGGCUAACUUCAUCAAUUGUUGGGCUAUUUUGGUUGAGUUAAUGGACUAUUUUGGUUGAAGUAAUGGGCUAUUUUGGUUGAAUUAAUGGGCUAUUUUUCUCUCUUUGUGCUCACCCACAUAUUUGGGCCUAAGAAAUGGGCUUGAGUUCCGGGGCUCCCAAGCAACCCCGGGACUUCCAUUUCUCGGCCCAUCAAUGGGCCUCAUAUCAACUUAUUACCAUCCAUAUCACAACCCACUCAAGCAAGCCCUGGGCAUCUUGCGUGGCUUGGGCCCACUUAAGCUUGUAGCGUGACGUGUUGCUUAUUUGCUUGGCAUGGCAUGUGUGCAAGCGCAUAUGACGAACUUUAGCGUGCCCAAAUUGGGUUUAUUCUCGGUAAGGUAUCGCAUUGGGCCGAGAAUUUAAUUGGGCAGAACUGUGGAUUUUUGGGCCUCAACAAUCUUAUAUAUAUUGGUUUUCUUUUUUUCCUUAAUAUUCACCACCUUUCUGUUGCAUAAGUAUUUCAGUCUUAACGGGUUUCCAUCUACCACUCAUCUUUGCUCUUUUAAGUGUAAGCUUUUUUUUUUUUUUUUUAAGCACAAGAUUAGAGGGGAGGGGGAUUUCUCAAUGUAAGCUUUGCAGUUUCAUAAUUAAUAUUUCCAAUAUCUCACUGUUAGUAAAAUAUGGAACAGGAAAAGUAUGAAUAAAAUACACACAUGUUUUAUUUAGCAAAAUUUUGACAAGAUACAACUGAAAAGUUUGGCCACUAUAUAAUAUUUUGAUAUAAUUUCUACACUUCUUCUCAAAAGAUUAGAUCACUUCACAUCUUGUGUAUGUGAAAACUAAUGUAAAAAGUUGAAACUUUAUCGUAAAACCUCGACAAAAAUGAGCUCUACUAGAAAAUGUUCAAUUUGGAUUCGUUGAUUUAAAUGGCAAUUUGACACUUGAUAGAAAUUUUUACAUACAUGUGUUAGUGUUUGAUCACUUCACAUGUUACUUACUAUAUUUAUUCCACUCAAGUUAGGUAAAUAUUAUUAUCAAACAUUUCAAUUAAUUUGUGAUUUUUUUAUUAUUUAAUCAAUUAUGAAUUAAUGGAUUCUUCUUGUUGUUUUGAAGACCAAUAAAAAAAAAAGGGUAAGGAUGGCUUAUAACUCUGAUAAAACAACAGUGACGUGGACAGCAGAUGUUACACCGUACUGAAGAUUUUUGAAGAUUCUUUAUUUGGGUUUCUUUCAAGAUGAAAACCAUAUUAUCCACAACCACAAUGAAGAAGACAGAAAAUGGAGUAAUUCAGAUGUUACCAGCCAUCCACGACAAACUGAAGUCUGCAAAGCAUUCGUAAUCUAAAGGGAGACUUUGGAAAAGCCCAAAGGAGAGAGAAAAUUUUUAAAAGAAGCAAAAAUGGACAAAAUUGCCCUUAUUUAUUUUUUGAUUUCCUAAGAAAUCCUUUACAUUUGCAUGUCUUUGGUUUGAAAGUUGAGAGGUUAUUCUGUCUUUUUUCAAAAAGCUUUGGCUUUUUCCAAAAGUGAAAGUUUUUUUAUGGGUAAAACCUAAAUUUACUUAAUCCCUAAAAAGGAUGGGGAGGCUGCGCAAUACUUAGCCACGUGUAGGCCAGGAGGCUUUCCAAUUUUAAUAUAUAUAUAAAUUGAAAAAAUAAAAUAAAAAUCAAUCUAUUAUCCUAUAUAAAAUAAAGAUUAUUGCUUCCAUGGGCAGUGCUAUGCACAGGACAGUGCCUGCCCAGCACAAAUUUUUUUUAAAUAAAAAAAAAAAAUCUACAUAUGUUAUAAGCUCAUCCAAAAAAAUAAAAUAAAAUAAAAGUAAAUUCUACAUAUAUGUUGCCCAUCUAGGUGGUUCCAUAUCUUCUCUCUCCUUCUCUUUUGGCUAUUAGACUUCUUGUUUCUCUCUCUCUCUUUGCUACCUCACAUCAGCAAGUUUCUCCCUCUCUUUUUUUGGGGUCAAAUUCUUCCUCUAUUGACAAAAUCUUCUAUUAUCUUGGGUGGGCAACUUGGCAACAACAUCUUCUCUUCUCCUUUUGUCAACAACAAGUAUUAUUCUCAUUCUCUCAUUUGCUAUAUAUCUUUAAUUAUAGUUUUAAUUUAAAAUUGAGUAUUCUAGGGUUUAAUUAGGGAUGAAUUAUAAUUUUAGAAUUUUGUUGAAAUUAAUUAAGGCUUCGAUUAGGGGUGAAUUAUUCUACUGCUUUGGUUUGGAAUUUUGUUAAAAUUGAGUAUUAUAGGGUUUAAUUAUGGAUGAAUUAUAAUUUUUGAUUUUGGUAUUAUUGAGAUGUUAUUAUGAGAAUUUGUUUCAUUUUUUUAUUGGUAUAUUUGAUUAAAAUUCUUUCUACAUAUUAUUCAUAGGCUAUCUUUUAUUAUGUCGGAUCACAAUCGGAAUCCCAAGAGAACAAAGAAUUUGAAUAGUGUUGUUUUGUAUUGCAUUGCAUUUACUUUUGGUUUUAGUUUUGCUUUUAGUGUAAAUUACUCAAAUGGUCCUCAAAUUUGUACCCGAUUUACAUUUUGGUCCAUAAACUAAAUUAUUCAUUCAAAUGGUGCACCAACUCUUUAUUAAUCAGUGCUUUGGUCCUACCGUUAUGUUUUCUAUUAAAUUUAGUCAUGUGAGCAGCACAUGCUACAUUUGUAGGGGUAAAUAAGACUUUUGACCACUUUAUCACCUAUGUAUCACCACUUUAUAACCUAUUUGGAGAACAUAGGUCAGUUAUGGACGGUUUUACAAUUAUAUUUGACGGCAACAUUAACAUAAUGUAACAGUGGGAUCAAUGGAGCGAUUAAUAUAGAGUUGAUGGACCGUUUGAACGAAUAAUUUAAUUGAGGGACCAAAACGUAAAUUGAGUAUAAGUUUGAGGACCAUUUGAGUAAUGUACCCUUCGCUUUUAUAUUUGUUGAACUUUUAUUUAUGGAUAGAUAUGCAUUUGAGGGUAAGACCCAUUAUGUUCCCCCUGACUUGGUGUAUCUUUUUAUGUUUAUUAAUGAAAUUCACUCGAACUGUUGAGUUUAGUAUGUAAGUUUUGCCUAACCGGCUUUUGAAUCCUAGAACCGCCACUGUUGCUCCAUCCUCCAUGCACUUGCAUGUGCUCUUACAAAGUGUGAAGUAGAUUUUGUGUGCUCCAAGUCAUUGACUAGAGCUGAAACAUGGUUAGCUAGAUUUAUAAGGACCCAUCUCUCUAUUUCCUAGACAUAUACCCAUCUCUCUAUAAAUCUAUAUGUAAAACUCAAUUUCAAACUUAAAUGACCAGUAAGAUAUAAGAGGUCAUAGUAUUCCUAUGUUUUUACAUCGUUGCCACCAGACUUCUUAUUUUAUUUAUAAUUUAUUUCAAGCAUUUCAUUAACUGCCAUAAUUGUAAUUAAUACUCCAUAUUAAUAGCAUAUCAAUCACCCCAUUUCUUUUGAUUGCCAUUCCCUCUAACAUAUCGCCCCUUAAAAUUGAAAACCAAAAAAAAAAAAAAUGUAAAUUACAUAUCCAAUAAUGUACCUAUGAAAAAUAUAAAUAUAAAUAUAUACGUAUAAAAAUAUAGGUUUAUUAUUUACCAAAUAAAAAAUAUAAAAAAACUAGGUCAGUUGCUUUGUAAUUGAAAUUUCUAUACAUUUUCCACAAAUUAAAAAUAGGUACACAAUAAUUUAUAGAAAAUAUAGGUGCAUUAUUUAUCCAUAGGUAAAAAUACCUAUAAAUGCACAUAGGUAAAUUAUUUACCCAUAUAUUAUUUUUUUGCUAAGGAUUUACCUUAGUUUUUAGUAGAUUAAUUUACCUACCUAGAGGCAUAGGUAGCUUAAAAAAAUUGUAGCACCUUAGUUGGUUGCAUACUAAUUUACCUACCUAGAGGCAUAGGUUGCUAAGAAAAAAUGUAGGUAAAUUCAUGUACCUAAACACAUAGGGGUCAAAUAGAGAAUAACAUGUUAUUUCCCUUCGAACAAAUUAAUUUCAAACCAUAACAAUAAUUGAAUUCGGAAAUUGGUAUAAAUAAAAGGAAAUAAAUAAGCUAUCAAUUUGAAAAUUAAAAUAAGAAAUGAUCAAGUAGUCAUAUUUGAAAAAAAAGAAAAGAAUAUAUUCUUGGUUUUUAUAGGAACAACGUGUAUAUUCAAACCAAAUGGCAGUAACUACACCAAGCUUUAAUUACUUUUUUUUAAGGCCAAAAGUCACUUUUGGUCUCUGUAGUUUGACACUUCUAUUACUUUUGACGCUGUAGUUUCAAUUCCGUCAAUUUUGCCAUUGUAGUUUCAUAUUUGUAGCAAUUCAAGGACAUGUUAAUAUUAAUGUCAAUUUGUUUAAUGAUGCAAGGGGUAAUUUCGUCAUCCCAAAAUCCUUGAGCAUAAAAGCUUGUCUGAAAUUCUCCCCAUUUCAUAUUAGGGCUCGAAAUUCAACCACUAAUCCCAAUUUUUGAAGAACCCUAUACCCAAAUGACCAAUUUCAAGCCCUAAUAACAAAUUAGGGAAGUUUUAGAUGAGCUUUUAUGCUCAAGGAUUUUGAGUUGAAGAAAUUGCCCCUUGCACUGUCAAAGAAAUUGAUAGGAAUACUGACUUGUCCUUGAAUUGCUACAAAUACAAAAAUACAGGGUCAAAAUUAACAGAAUUUAAACUAUAUGGUCAAAAGUGGUUAAAGUGCCAAACUACAAGGACCAAAAGUGACUUUUAGCCUUUUUGUUUAAAUAAGGAAAAAACUUACCUAUUAAAUCCUUGGAAUCUAUACAAAAUUGAAACACAGUUAAUCAGCAUUGAAUUGCAGCUAAUUUCUUAAACAAGGGUAUUAUAGGAAUUUAAAAAGUAUAACAUUUAAUCCAUUGAGCUUGAUUAGGAAUCUUGAUGAGUUGGAUCCUAGUUAUAUAGUUUCUCUUAUAAAAAUCGGGUUUUAUUUAUAGACAAAUAAAACAAUGGGUUGUAGGUAAGAAAAUAUUAAUUUGAAGGGAAAGUGUCACAUCCUGGGAUCGGCUCCGCCGUAGCACGAUAUUGUCCGCUUUGGGCCCCCCUCUCUGCCCGCACGGUUUUGUUUCUGGGAGCUCACGAGCAACUUCCCAGUGGGUCACCCAUCCUGGGAUUGCUCUGGCCCCCAACUCGCUUAACUUCGGAAUUCCUAUGACUCCGAAGCCAGUGAGCUCCCAAAAGGCCUCGUGCUAGAUGGAUGCGGGUGUGUACAUAUAAGACACAUCACCCCCUCUCCGUUGGUUGAUGUGGGAUCUUACAGAAAGAGUCAAAUUUACUAAAUUAAUAAAGCAUAAAUUGGAAAGGGAAAAGAUCUAGAGGAUGCAUUGUAGGAUUGCUCAUGCCAAUAAUUGCACCCUCUCGAUAUUGAAAAACCUAUUGUGUAUUAUUAUCUUCAAUCAUGAAUGAUGCACCUAAAACCCAAGUGUCCCAAGCCAACCAUUGCGCUCAUACCACUUGUUGCAGUACACAUUCACCCGUUUUUAAAGAAAGAAAUUCUACCAAUCGAUAUUGUCUCAAAUUUAAUCACAUAGGUCUAUUAUGGUUAACCAUAUGUACUUUUAUCGGCCAUAUAGAGGUACCUUUUUCCAACGUGCAACAAUUGUAUUUGAUUCACAAUUAUGUCUGAUAUACAUCACAUCAUGCCACUUGCCUCAAAUGAAUUUAAUUGAGUGAGGCAAUGGGAAGUAAUUAAGCUCUAUAUUGGUGGGUGGAGUGUUACUUCUGGAACCCUCAUCAUUCGUCCAUACAAGGGAACAAUUCCCUUCCUUCUAUAAAAUGGUGAAGCCAGUUGCUAUUGUUUGUUAGAGUUUUAGGAUCUGAGUGUUAGAUUUUGUGAGAAGAGAGAAGAGAAUUUAGUGAAAACUUCCAAUACUGCUCUGCUAUACGUGUAGCAGAGAGAACAUUCUGUUUUGUUAUAUAUUUUCAGUACAACAACACACACUUGGUGUGAGAAGAAAAAUGACUGUUAUGCACAGUACCAGCUGGAUGCUUUCCAUCAAAGUAAUCUCAGCCAUUCACUAUCUAACCAAUCAAGCUAUGACACCUGGACUAAGUAUAAAGAAAUACAACUAAGCAGAAAACAAGACUCUUAAUCCUGAAAUCAACUUAAGCACUUAUAAUUCAACACUCCCCUUUAAGUCUUGAGGUGAUUUCACUCCAAGCAUGCCUCUGAGAUAAUUGAAUCUGUCUUUGGCCAGAGGUUUGGUAAAAAUGUCAGCCAAUUGUUCAUUUGUAGGACAAUAUUCCAGAUUGAUUACCCCUUCUUGCAAUGCAUCCUUGAUGAAGUGAUACCUCCUGUCAAUAUGCUUUGUCUUCUGGUGGAAUACAGGGUUUUUAGUGAUUGCAAUUGCUGAGAUAUUAUCACAAUGCAAUGGAGUAGCUUCAGUUUGAAGCUCUCUAAAGUCUUCUAGCACAAAACGGAGCCAAAUAGCUUGAGUAGUAGCCUCAGCUGCACUGAUGUACUCAGCUUCUGCAGUAGACAGUGCAACACAGUUCUGUUUCACUGAGGCCCAAGAAAAUACUCCACUUCCAAAACUAAACGCAUACCCUGAUGUGCUCUUGCAAUCACCAACUGAUCCUCCCCAAUCACUGUCACAGUAACCAACUAGAAUUGAUCUUUUGCCUUUCACAUAUUCAAGACCAUAGUCCAGAGUUCCUUUGAUGUAUCUCAAAACCCUUUUAGCUGUUCCAUAGUGUCUAUUUGUAGGACAGUGCAUGAAUCUAGCUAGCAAGCUUGAGGCAUACAUGAUGUCUGGUCUUGUAGCAGUUAAGUACAGCAAGCUACCAACAAUGCUUCUGUAUUGUUCUUCAUUUGCAGCUCAACUCCCAUCAUCCUUAGCUAGUUUCUCAGUGGCAACAAGGGGUGUUGUCACAGGUUUGCACUCAGUCAAACCAAACUUGCUCAACAAGGUGCUAGCAUAUUUCUUUUGAUGUAGAAAUAUACUAGACUCAGUCUGAAUAACUCCCAUGCCAAGAAAGUGAUGAAGUAAGCCCAAAUCAGUCAUCUCAUACUUAGCCAUCAUGUCUUCUUUGAAUUCAGCCAACAAUGCUUGACUGCUCCCUGUAUACACAAUAUCGUCUACAUAGAUAGACACAAUUAGAAUCUCCUUAUCUCCCCUUACUUUGGUAUAUAAGGUUGUUUCACUUAAGCUUUUCACAAAACCACAUUGAGUGAAGUAGCUGUCUAUCUCUCCAUACCAAGCCCUUGGGGCUUGCUUCAGACCAUAAAGGGCUUUAUGCAAACGAUAAACCUUGUCUUCUUUACCUUUAAUUACAAAACCUUCAGGCUGACUGACAUAAACUUCCUCUUGCAGCACACCAUUAAGGAAAGCAGACUUCACAUCAAGCUGGAACAAUUUCCAAUCCUUUUGAGCAGCUAGAGCAAUAAGUGUUCUAAUGGUGUCCAAUCUGGCUAUAGGUGCAUAAGUCUCAUUAUAAUCCAGUCCAGGCUUCUGAGCAUACCCCUUAGCCACUAAUCUUGCUUUAUUCUUUUGCACUGAGCCAUCCAAAUUCAGCUUUGUCUUGUACACCCACUUAACUCCAAUCACUGGUUUUUCAGUUAGUCUAUCUACCAAUUCCCAUGUUUCAUUCUUUUCAAUCAUCUGCAGUUCAUCUUCCAUAGCCUUAAGCCAAGAUUCAUCCUGAGCAACAUCAGCAUAUUUUUCUGGUUCCAUGAUACACAAGUUACACUGAGCUAGAACAUCAUCUAGCCUUCUCCAUUUUAGAGGGGUGUGAUCAUAAGCUUGAGUUCUCCUUUCUUCACUGCUUAUAUCACCUGGAGUUGAUGAAAUGCUCUCUUGCAUAUCCAAAGUUUGAGGUGUACCAGUAGAAUUCUCAUUAGAACUGUCAGAUUUCAAGUCCAAAUCAACUUGGUUUUCAAUUGAGUAUGUUGUCAUAACUGAACCAUUUUUGUUUGUCCAAUGCCAAGCAUUUUCUUCAUCAAAUGUCACAUCCCUUGAUAGUAAAAGCUUGUUAGAAACAGGAUCAAAAACUCUAUAUCCUUUUUCACAAGUUGCAUAUCCCACAAACACUCCCUUUGUACUCUUAGGAUCCCGCUUGUGUCUCAAUUCAGUUGGCACAUGAACAUAACACAGAGAACCAAACACUUUCAGAUGUGCAAUUCCAGGCUUCCUUCCACUAUAUGCUUCGAAUGGAGUAAUGUUGUUGAGAGCUUUGGUAGGACAUCUGUUCAGCAAAUAGAUAGCUGUAUGCACAGCUUCUGCCCAUAGGAAAUAAGGCAUUCCCUUCUCAUGUAACAUUGAUUUUGCCAUCUCAAUGACAGUUCUAUUCUUCCUCUCAACUACUCCAUUCUGCUGAGGAGUAUAGGCCAUUGUAAGCUGCCUUUGAAUGCCAUUAGCUUCACAAAACUCCAAAAAAUCAGUAGACAUAAACUCUCCACCCCUGUCACUUCUUAUGCACUGAACCUUGUGUCCAGUUUGUAAUUCAGUCAUGGACUUGAACUUCUUGAAACAAAAGAAGGCUUUUGACUUGUUUCUCAAGAAGUAUACCCAAAUCAUUCUUGUGAAAUCAUCUAUAAUCAGCAUGAAAUAUCUGUUCCUUGCAACAGACUCAUUUCUCAUGGGACCACAGAGAUCCACAUGUAUUAGCACUAGUACUUUGCUUGCUCUUUGAGCUUGAUCUUUUGGAAAAACAUUUCUGUGCUGUUUUCCAAAUUGGCACCCGUCACACACACCACUUUGUUCUUCCAAUUUUGGUAAACCAUGUACCAUUUCUUUAUCACUUAGCUGCUUCAAUCCUCCAAAAUGCAGAUGACCAAAUCUCUUGUGCCAAAUCCAUGUGGAUUGAAGAAAACUAGUCUUCAUUAGUAACUGUUUUUCAGCUAGAAAAGAGACAGGAUAGCAUCUGUUACUCUUCAUUUGCACCUUUAUGAUGAGAUAAUCCAUGGAUGGGCUAUCAAAUACCCUGCACAUCCCUUCUCCAAACACUAGACAGUACCCAUGUUCAUCCAUCUGCCCAACACUUAGCAGAUUUUCUUUCAAUCCUGGCAGAUACAUUACUUCUCUGAUGUAUUUCCUGCCCUUUGCUGUAUCAAUACUCAGUGAGCCAAUACCAGCUACACUCACUAAUGCACCAGUUGGCAUUUGUACUCUCCCAGCUACAUUAGUUCUCACAUCAACCAGCAAAUCUAAAUUUCCUGUCAUAUGAUUGCUGCAGCCACUGUCAAUGUACCAUUCAUUGGUUUUGAUCUCAGUGGUUGAGCAAUUGGCAUAAAACAGGUUUCCUGUAACCUCCAUUUGAUUUACACAAUUAGCCUUCUGCACAUUUUUGCUCACUGUACAGUCUCUAGCAAGAUGUCCAACUCUGUCACAGUUAUAGCAUUUUGGUUUUCCCUUAUACCUGCACUCACCAAAAUGAUGCUUUGAACACACCUUGCAUUGAGGCUUUGUGUUUUCCUGAUUUGAGAACUGUGUUGAAGUGUGGUUCUGUGCAGAAUAAUUAUUCUGCUGUGUCUUGUCUUUUGCCUCCCAUGACUUCCCUUUAGAGUUCCAGCUUCUCUGUGACUUAGAUGAACCAGACUGAGAAGCAUUUUUGUUCUGACCCUUUGAAUUCACAGUGAAUGAGGCAAAUGCCUUCUCAGCUGUAUCAACACUAUGCAUUUCAAGCCUUUGCUCCCGACUCUUCAAAAUGGCAGUUACUUCCUGCAAAUCCACAGUUUCUAGUGUCUUUGUGUUUUCAAUCACAAUGCAUAUAGGGUCAUACUUCUUACUUAGACUAAUUAACACCUUCUGAACCUACCUCUCAUUUGACAGAACUUCACCAAAUGUUUUCAUUUGGUUAAUCAAUUCAGUUAGUCUAGUAAGAUAUUCAGAUAAGGUUUCACUAUCACGCAUCCUACUGUAUUCAAACUCACGUCUAAGGUUUUGAAGCUUUACCGAUCUAACAUGCUCUCCACCAUGAUAUUCUGAGUACAGCAGAUUCCAAGCCAUCUUUGCAGAGUCAGCAUUGGCAAUUCUGGGAAAAAUCUGAUCAGAAACAGCAUUUUGAAUGAUACCCAAGGCCUUCGCAUCCUUCAUGAGAAUCGCAGCUGUUUUCUCAUCAACUUCUUCUUCUGAACCAUCCUCAGAUUCCUGCUUCGUCUUUGAAUCUGGGAUUAAAAACCCCUUCUCUACCAAACCCCAUAAACCAUAUGAUCUGAAUAUGGUUACCAUCUUAAUCCUCCAAAAUUCAUAGUUCUCACCUGAGAAAAUGGGGAUUCUAGCCUCUGAACUUCCAGAUCCAGCCAUUACGAAUUUCAGAUUCGCCUGGAAACAAGAUGUUUUCAGAUUUGACCCUUGAUCGAGCUCAAUCAGCUUCGUGAGCUUAGAAUGAGCUCACCUCGAUCGAUUUUCUUCACAGAACAACGCCCAGCUUCAGAUAAUCAAACUUGGCUCUGAGGCCAUGUUAGAGUUUUAGGAUCUGAGUGUUAGAUAUUGUGAGAAGAGAGAAGAGAAUUUAGUGAAAAUUUCCAAUACUGCUCUGCUAUACGUGUAGCAGAGAGAACAUUCUCUUUUGCUAUAUAUUUUCAGUACAACAACACACACUUGGUGUGAGAAGAAAAAUGACUGUUAUGCACAGUACCAGCUGGAUGCUUUCCAUCAAAGUAAUCUCAGCCAUUCACUAUCUAACCAAUCAAGCUAUGACACCUGGACUAAGUAUAAAGAAAUACAACUAAGCAGAAAACAAGACUCUUAAUCCUGAAAUCAACUUAAGCACUUAUAAUUCAACAUUGUUACCAUAAGAGCCAGCUCCGACUUUCUUUAAUUUCAGUCCUAACGGGGUUUCAUCUUCCACUCAUCUUUGCUCUUCUCAGUGUAAGCUCUGCAAUUUGAUUAACUUUCCCAUUAUCUCUCACUGUACUCUAUAUAAAGGAAUAAGUGUCGUCCACUAAUUAAUUACACUUUGUGAGAUUUGAUUUUAAUUAGAGUUCGAAUUGAUGUUGCAGCUAGCAGCGGUGGCACUGGCAAACCAUGCUGCUCAACCAGCACCUCAACUUUACUGGAACUCCGUCCUGCCAAACACACAAAUGCCAAGAGCUAUCAGUGAACUUCUGCAUCCUGGUUUGUGUUGAAUAAAUAUAGUAUGUUACUGGAGUACGUAUGGCAACAUAUUCACAAAUGUGUCACGUAUUUUCCAAUAUGACGUUGAUAUAUAAUUGCAGACUCCACAAACGAAGAAAAGAGCACAAAUGUCAUGAAUGCUGUUGGGAAUGGAAAGCCAAUUGACCACAAGGGCAACCUGAAAAUACUGUACUACCACAGCUUGCACGACGCCCAUUUUCUUACAAGAGUGAUGAUCGUCCCACUGACAAUCAACUCCAUUAUAAAAACGUAGCUAUUUUCUUCUUGGAGAAGGACAUGCGCCCUGGCACAACAAUGAGCUUCCAAUUCCCUAGAAAUUCAAACACGGCUACUUUCCUGCCACCAGAAAGAGCUCAAUCGAUCCCCUUCUCCUCUAACAAACUACCAGAAAUUUUCAACCAUUUUUCAGUGAAGCCAACAUCUGUGGAAGCCAAAACAAUUAAGCAAACAAUCGAAGAGUGUGAGGCUCCAGGCAUUAAGGGAGAGGAAAUAUAUUGCGCCACAUCUUUAGAAUCAAUGGUUGAUUUUAGCACUUCGAAUUUUCGAACAAGAAACGUUCAAGCAAUCUCGACAGAGGUAUUGGAAAAAGGUGCCACCAUGUCCAUGCACAAGCAUACAACAAUGCCGGGACUGAAGAAGUUGGCAGGUGACAAAGUCGUUGUGUGUCAUAAGCAGAACUAUCCCUAUGCUGUGUUUUACUGCCAUGUAAUAAAACCAACAGCAGCUUAUGUUCUCUCCCUGAAAGGCGAUGAUGGGGUGAAGAUUAAAGCAGUAGCCAUCUGCCAUCUAGACACAUCAGAAUGGAACCCAAAGCAUUUGGCCUUCCAAAUCCUCAAAGUUAAGCCCGGAACAAUUCCCAUCUGCCAUUUCCUUCCCACUGAUCAUAGUGUCUGGGUUCCGAACCACAAAUCUGCAUGAUCAUCACUUAGCACUGUACGUAUAAUAAGCUUGCACCCCUGUAUAAUUAUCUCCCUACUCUACUUAUUUCUGCCUCUUCAUGUGGUGUAAGAUAUAUGAUGAGAUGAAGUUUUUGGGAUUAGUGGUCGGGUUGCCUUAAAAACACAGAUUACAGAAACUGCUUGAACUUAACCCGAUCAUGUUUUCUCUUGUACUCGUAAAGCAUGCUGUUGUGGUUCUACUUAAUUUCGUUCUCCCCAAUGUUUGAGUGUUUAAUUGUUACGUUGGAUAAUGCUUGUAGUUAGAGAAGCCUUCAUUUAUAUCAAAGUCCUCAACUUGUAAAGAUAUCAAUGGUCCUAGUGCUGCCACGUGUAAGAAGAUUGAAGAAUAAAGCUGUUGAGAUAUUGUUAGACCUGUUAUGCAGUUUAGGAAAACUGUUAGUAUUGAUAAGAGAAGGUUAGAGAUGUUAGAGAGGUUAGAAAACACGUGAACAAGGCUUUAACUCAGCUGAUAUAAAGUCUGUAGUUGUGCUCAGUUGAACUUAAUGAGAAAUACAACAAGUCUCUUCUCUAUCUCUGAAAUUCUCUCUGCUCUCUCUGCUUUACUUCUUUUGUCUCUGCUCUACAUUUUUUUUCAAUCUUCCUAUCUUAACAAAACUAUCAAGAAUUAAUGCAUCCAGAAACAUAUAUACCAAGACGCAAAACAACAUAUUUUUCAUGCUCUGUCUGUAACACCAAAGCAAACUUCCUUUAUCACAAAAGGAUCAAAUUCCAGUACUAAUCUAAUCCAUCAUGUAAAGCAUACAAUCUACAAGUGCCUCCCUUAAUUUGUCCAUUGGAUAUAUAUGUCACUUUUUGGUAAUUUGGUAUAGCAGCACCACGUAGUCUUGAAAUAGUAGUGCGGCUAUACCAAAUAUACCAUUUGCCCCUGCAUUUAACAGAAAAGUAAACAAAAUUGACGGUAGAACUAUUUGUCCUAACGAAACUGCAGUUGAAAGACCAUGAGAACGAUUUUGAAAAUUGAGGGACUCAAAUGAAAAUUGGGUCUAAGUUCAAGAACCAAUAAAACGAUUAACCCAUAGAUUUUGGAUCCAGUACCACAUCCCAAAGAGAAAACCACAAGUUUGCAAGCAAGUUUGUCCAUAAUAACACUACGUACAGUAUGGGCAGUGCGCUAGACUCAUCUCACUUUCUCAACCUAUCCUAUAGUUGUCUAAAAGAGUUUCUAAUUUAAUGUACUGAGAUUUACGAAAGAAAUAUCAGAGAAACAAUUUUCAGGCAAUAAAAAAAUGUCUUGGCAAGAAAAUGUACAAUUUGUUACAUAACUUAUUAAAUAUGAACAGUUGAAAGAAAAAAGAAUCUGGAUGAGGGAUUUGCAAAUUCCUAUGGCCCAAUUACCUUUUUUUCUUUGUUGUUUUUUUUUUUUUUUUUUUGGUUCUUUUGAUCCAGUAGCAUAUUCCAAAGAAUGAAAACCACAGGCAUGCAAUGCAAGCUCUUUUCCCACGUUUUCCUCUGUUUUUCUCCUAUCAUGGAAGUGAUUAAAACACACCUCUAAGCUUGUUUUGCGUUUGGUAGCCGAGUGUAAAAGCUCAAUGCAAGAUAGUUUGAGGUAGAAUUUUCUCCUAUUUUAUUAGGACAAUGAUAAUUAAAAAAAAGUGUGAUUCAUUGAAUAUUUGCGGGGUUUUGUUCAGACCUGACAAAGUUCUAAGUCAACACAUCAAAUUCCUUUUUCCAACAUGCAACAAUUGUAUUUGAUUCCCAAUUUUUUCUGAUAUACAUCACAUCAUGCCACUUGCAUCAAAUGAAUUUAAUUGAGUGAGGCAAUGGGAAGUAAUUAAGCUCUGUAUUCGUGGGUGGAGUGUUACUUCUGGAACCCUAAUAAUUCGUCCCUACAGGACUCUAGAACUCUCAAACUUCUUACAAGGACUACUUAACUCUAUAGCUUAAUGCAUAUAGCAUAUAUAUGCAAACACAAUUAGAAAUUCUACAACAGAAGCAAGAUCAAUCUCACUAUGCCUUCUAAACAAACAAACAAAUAAAACAAGCAUAUUAAUUGCUUUAAUCACUCUACUAACAUCAACACAGCACACUUAGUUUACUAACAGAUGAUAUAGAAAGGAAAAAAAAGGACCAAUAGGGAGAAAAUGGUGAACUAAGGAGAGACUAAUACUUCUGGUCCUUAGAAGGCAUAACAGAAAUAAUAGAGCACACUGCUUGAAUGCAAGUCAGUAUUAGGAGCAAAACAGCUGCAAUGAAAGAAAUAGUUGCCCAAGGUGUAUUGAAAUAAUGUUGCCUCAAAUUUGCCUUCCAUUUGUUCCAAGGCUUUCUGCAGUAGCUAUUAAGGCGCUCAGAAAGAAUAGCAAAGUAGAAGCUUUCACGAUACACUGCAAUUCCUUUUCCGAGGUUGUUAAUCAGAGUGCACACCUCAUUGUAGUCACCAAGCAUAUUUUUGACAAUCCCAUCCUUCAGAAGGAACUCCACAUCCUUUUCGGUGUUCACAAACUCAUCCAUGAGUGAAACAUAAUCACUUAUGUAAUUCUUACGGCAAUGGCACUAUUCAAAGGCAAUGAGGUUACGGAGUGUGAGCUCUGUGUAAUCGUGUAUUUUUAGUUUUGGAAUUUCUAGAAUCCCAUCGUUGAAUUGUGUUAACGCAGCUUUCCUUUCCUAGCCUACACGGAAGUCAACUUCACAAUCUCCUCCUAGCAAUUAGUCUUUCCUGCUGUAAAUCAGAUUUCCUACUGUAAAUCGGAUUGUAUUCAUGUCUAUAUUAUUUCCUACUUUAAGUAGAUAUCUUGUACUAGUAUAAAUAGGGACUUUGUGUAAUCUGUUAAAUACAAGGAAAUAUAUACUCUGCAUGGUAUCAGCCUAACCUAGGGUUCUCUCUCUCUCCCUUAUUCGAUCCUCUUCUCCUUUAGGUCCACCUCAUGGCUUUGUCUGAAUCCACCAUCUCCCUCCCAAGCCCCAACUCUUCUAUUUUAUCAAGCUUAUUGACUCCAACUAUCUUCUUUGGCUCCGCCAACUCAAACCCUUUUUAGUCGGCCAUGACCUCUGGAAAUUUAUCGAUGGCAUUCAUAAACAACCUUCUGCCCACACCUCCACCUCUACCACCGCAACACCCACAACCACCACCACUCUUACCCAAAUCAAUCAUGCCCAUGCUCAGUGGUACCAACAAGACCAACUCAUUGUUAGCUACAUCACCAAUACACUCUCUGAGUCCAUUCUCUUUCUCACUGUUGGUUGCACCUCUGCCCGGGAUCUCUGGGAGUGUCUCCAACGCCACUUCUCUCAAUCCAGUAUGGCCAGUGAAUCUACUCUUCGUUUUAAACUCAUGGAUUUGCAAAAAGGCUCUGAACCCACUUAUGCUUACAUUCGUCAUGCUAAGUCCUUUGCCGAUUCACUGGCUGCCAUCAAUGAACCUGUCUCCCCAAAAGAACUUGUCACUACUGUGCUUUGGGGUUUAAGACCCUAUUGCAACAUCCUCGUCACAGCAAUUCUCAAUUUCCCUCUGCUUCCUAACUUUGCUAAUCUUCGUGCUCGUUUGUUAGCAUUUGACGCACAGACUCCUUGAAUCUCUCCUGAUCAAAACACAGCGCAAAUGGCCACCCAAUCCUCUCCUCACACCACCGGUCAUACUUCCUUCCCUUCUCACCGUGGUGGUGGCUCUUCCAACAACAGGCGUGGUGGCCUCGGUGGCUGGCGCAAUAGCGGCCGGGGUGGCUGGCGCAGCUUCUCAUCUUCCUGGAGCAACCCGUGGAAUGGCUUCCAGCAGCUCCAAUGACCUAAUCAACCAUGGCCUCCUUUUGCUCCAAGUUCUGGAUCUCAAAGCAACUGGCCUUCCUUUCAGCCUCCUUGGGCCUAAUCUGCCGCUUCUAUCAAACACUUUGCCCGGCCCAACUCAGCUCCUGGUGUCUUGGGACCCGCUUGGUGCACUACCUGCAAUACCAAUCACAUACUACUACAAUAUGUCCUCAUCGCUACAAUGGCCCAGAAUCCUUUCUUUGCUAGGGCUCAAUUCAUGUAGCCACCUGACUCUACUUGGUACCCUGACACAAGUACCACUCAUCAUAUGAUUGGUAGUCCUUCUAAUCUCCAAAAUCAAUCCUUCUAAUCUCCAAAAUCAACAGCCAUAUCAGGUUCAUAAUUCUGUAUUUCUUGGUAAUGGAGAUUCUCUCCCUAUCUCUCAUACUAGCUCUCUCUUUUGUCUUCCAUCUCUUCGUACUAAUCUUCUUUUUGUUGCCCAUUUUACUUGUGAUAAUUUAGUUUUCUUUGUCUUUACUCUUGACUUUUAUCAAAUCUAUGACUUAUGUACUGGUUCGUUACUCUUUCAGGGCCCUUCUAAAGAUGGUCUUUACCCACUUUCCAUCUCCUCUCACUCAUCCAUAGUCCCCCAUGCCCUUACCACCGUGCACUCUCCUGCUUGGCAUCAUUGCCUUGGCCAUCCAUUCCAUCGUGUGCUCUCUCAUUUAGCGCCAUCUCUAGGCUUUAAAGUUUCUCAUGCUUUCUGUAAGGAUUGUGCACUUAGCAAAUCCACCAAACUGUCAUUUCUUAGUAAUAAAACCUUUGCCCCAUCUCCCUUUUAUUUAAUUCACUCUGAUGUAUGGAUGUCCUCGGUCAUUUCUGUCACUGGUUAUCGCUAUUAUGUCUUGUUUACAGAUGACUUUUCUCGUUACUCCUGGAUCUAUCAUAUGCACCGUAAAAAUGAGGUCUUUUCUCACUUUCAAACCUUUCUUGCUAUGGUUAAAAAUCAAUUUCACACCACUGUACAAAUUCUUUAAAGUGACAAUGGCACUGAAUAUGUUAAUAAUGCUUUCUCUGAUCUUUGCAGUCAACUAGGCAUCCACCAACGUUUCACAUGUCCCCACACUCCCCAACAAAAUGGCCUAGCUGAACAUAAACACAGACACAUUGCCACCAUGAUCUGUCCCCGGUCAUUUAUUCAACCAUCUUGACCUUUUGCUUGAUCAUUUUCCACAAGCAACCGUCCACGUACCCCAAUAAUUUAAAAGGGCUGAUGAUCUUUAAUUUGGUGAAAGCUUCUAUCUACCUACCGUGCUAUAUAUGAGCUAUGCAAUCGUGACCGUGUUACAUGACGUCCCAAUGUCGUAGGGAUAAAAAAAUAAUAGUCAUGGUUUUCUUAUUAAUGUCAAUACAUUCAUAGCAAAGAGCUUGUAGCUCUAGUGGUUAAGAGCAAUUACCCAUGCACUUGAGAUAUUUUGUGUUUAAAUCCCCUCUUCCCCAAUAUUUCUUGUAUAAAAAUAAAAAUAACAAUAAUAAUGACAUUAAUGUUGUAUUCUAUAAAGUGUUGGACAUGUUUUAUACCCCUUUCUUGCAAAUUACAGUUUGCCACGUGUACAAAAAUAAUAGAUAAGUGUUGGACAUCAAGAGCACUUACAUAUAGGUUUAAUAGGUAAGUUUUGAAUAUUUCUGUAUUUAGCUUUAAAUAUUGAAAAUCAACCUAUUAGCAUAUUAAAGAUUUGUCCAUAUUCGACGUACAUUCUCUUAUUUUUCUCUCAUUGAAGUAAAUACAAAACUAAGCACAUAGUGGGAAAGUGCGUCACGAUUAGGGGUGGGUUUAGUCUAGGUUGGUUCAUUUUUGGGCUCAAUUUGAACACCGAACUGUAAGCUUCGGUUUGGCUAUUUUGGAAACCGAAACCAAACCAUAAUUGAUGAAAACCGACCACUUCGAUUACCUUCUGGUCUUCCAACCAGAAGAAAACUCAAAACUUUAACCAUACCAAGUGCAACAGAAUUACACCAGGCUGGAUUCAAGUUUAUGAUGGUUAAAGAUAAAAACUUAUUUGACAUACAAUUUGAGAAUGGAAUCCUCAAAAUUCCACACCUGCGAAUACGGGGUUUAACAGAAAUUUUCUUCCGCAAUCUUAUUGCCUAUGAGCAGUGUGAGCUUCAUGAUCAUUACAUCAACGACUAUGUCUUCAUCAUGGACCGCCUGGUCGACAGUGCCAGGGAUGUGGAAUUGCUUGUGAAGAGUGGAAUUCUUGAAUCUAUGCUACCGGACAGCGAGGCAGCAGGGGAAUUUAUUAAUUCUCUUGACUUGGGGCCUAUUUUAGGCAAGCUUGAAACAAGACUAUUUCAGUUCACCAUGGGCUGGCCUGUCUAUUAUUGUAGCCGCUAUACUAGUUGUGCUCACAUUUAUUCAAACAGUGUGCUCCGUAAUGGCGCUGUAGGUUCUUCAUUUCCUCAAUUUCAUGUUUAGUGGUUGCAGAUUUGUUGCUCAUGUACGUGUUUAUCUAAAGUUAAAUAAGAGUGAUUGACUGGAUUGACUGUUAGUCUGUUAGUUUGUUUUUCUGGGGUUUUUCCCCCCUGUUCGUCAAAAAAAAAAAUAAAAGAGUGAUGGCUUGUGCCUAUGAAAAUUACUUAGGAGUAUGCUCCACAGAGCCAAAAUAAAUAAACUAGGGAAGUGGAGGUUCUUCUGUUUGUAUAUAAAUGAGCAAUUCAAACUCUCAGUGCCAAGGGAGUUACCCUUGAUACAUUUGUUAAAAAUUAUAUAUUUGGUCUUACAUCAAACAAAUAAUUUGAAGGGCUUUUUUGACAACUGCUGACAGCGUUUGGCAGAAAAGUUUAGAAGCGCUUCUACGCUUCUAGAUCAUAAAAGUGCUUUACCAAAAAGCACUUAGAUUUCUUAUGAAAAUUUCAACAUUUUUAUAAUAAAAGCGCUUGCUAGAAGCACUUAUAAGCAGAAGUGCUUCAUAGAGAAGCAGUCCCAAACGAGCUUGAUUUUCAAAUGUGCUGCUUAAGAAGAAAUUUAAUACGUUUUGAAAACAAAAAAAAAUACGAAAUUUAAUACGUUUGUUUUACAAAUUGUAUUAAUUGUUAUCAAUAAUACUUGUGCACACCCACAACAUACUUCUUUCUUUCUUUAUUUUCCUUCAGUACAGUUCUGCCUUUCUUUAAUUAUUUUUAACGAAUGCAAAGAGUUUGUCACAAAAUCAAGGAUUGAAAAAAAAAGAGAGUAAAUUAUGUGCUAGAGAAACUUUCCUGCAGAAAUUGAAGAACAACUCUAGUUUCUCUCUUUCGCCUUGUACUCCCGCACUGAGGUUAGUAUUGUUAUAAUGUGCAGAUUAUACGGUCACUCUUGUAUAAUGGCGAGAAGGCUCUAAUUAUAUUUUUGAACCUCUUUGACAGGACCCGCCCCGAAUUUCCCGAAACCCAAGACGAAUUCUGUGGAAAUUCCCUACAUCACCCCGAUGUUGGGCCCACUUCUAAAACUAUAUCAUUUUUCCUAAAAAGGAAUAAGGGCACGAGACUUUCUACCGAAAUUUCGGCAGAGUCUCUCCUGUAAAUUGAACAUUUCCCAAAAUUUCAACCUGCAUAAAACACAUUUUAUAUUACCCAACUGGCAGCAUGCACAAAAUAAUAACAUGCAAUUCACAUAAACGGCCUCUGGCCCUCCGGUAAUUCAGAGCAAUGCAAACUAGCAACUCUAAACCUAAUAAAACAACAUAAGUAACAUUUAGCCAGCGGCUGCACCCAGGCACUACCCUAGGCUACCUACGUACCCUUACUAAGGGAUCAAGCCACACGUAGUUCUUUCAUACAAAAUUUCCAAAUCCAUCAACAUGCAAUCAAUUACAGAAUCCCAAACAAAAUCUUUCUCAAACAUCAUUAGUUCCCAACUCAGUAUAAUAAUCCUUAAUUCAUCUCUGUAAUAAUCACAAUAUCUCCCCAUACGCCGGAACUACCAACACCACGUAUGGAGCCUGCCUGUACGCCAGAUAACCAACGACACGUGGGACCUCAUCAUCAUAUCACAUAAUCUCCCCAUACGCCGAAACUACCAACACCACGUAUGGGGUCUGUCAACACGCCGGAUAACCUACGACGUGUGACCUCAACAUCAAAUCACAAUAUCUCCCCAUACACCGGAACUACCUACGCCACGUAUGGGGUCUGUCCACAUGCCGGAUAACCUACGACACGUGGGACCUCAUCAUCAUAUCACAUAAUAUAUUAACGAUCAAGAAAUAUCACUACGGUCAUUUAAUCCUCCUGGGAAGGUAAAACUAUCUCAGGAGACUCACGGUCAACCAAGGGUCAAACUACCUCAUACUUGGACAAACGAGCCCACGGAGCCCACAACCUCCGUUUUACUAUCCAAGAGUUCCUAUAGGUUCUACAAGGUUUAGGAUACACGGCUUGCAAGUUUGGUCAAGAUCAGACGGUCGGAUCGCUCACGAUAGGACGGUUACUGCAAACCUAGCCCUAGGGUUGGCAUUUUCGGAGUAUCCGAAACUCCGUUUUACGAUCUGUCGAAUCAUAGACGAUCCUAAGGAUUUGCAGACUAACUAUAAUAAAUUCAAGACCAUCCAACGGUCUAAACCUAUCGAACCCGGAUAACGCGCAAUAGGCAAUAUCCAAAUUGAAAUCCGAGCACACCUACGCACUCGUGAGGACUAGGAGAUUACAUCGGGACAUAGUGCCCUUUUUCUACAGUGCCCAUGAGCCGCCGCACGCACCAGCAACGCGUGGGUGCCCAAAGCGAUUAUGCAUCGCCAAAAAAUCUCAAAACCACGGCUCAAGACUCCUACCCUAGGUAUAACACCCUAUUUGGAACCACUUUUGUUCUUGGACCUACCCCAAAAACUGAUCAGAAGUGGCCGGAAUGGCUGAAAUGUAAUUCAAAAAUCAAGCUACCAACGCUCAAAAUCGAUGCAAUCCUACCCAACCAUCAACUAGAUUAUGAAGAAUGGAUAAAUUUCCAUACCUUGAUCGCCAACAAUGGCGGCCGGAGGAGAGAGAUCUGAUCCGGCGAAGUUCGAGUGAAAACGGCCAAAAAUCAUCUUUUUCAGGCGGCUGGAGGGCGACCGAUGUCAGGGAAGGGCAGGGUCGUGACGCUAAGGCUGAGCCUGUCCUUUUGGCACCGGUCCCUUCCGCAGCCGUGUCCGGUGGCUGGAGUUUCGAAGAGAGAGAGAGAGAGAGAGAGAGAGAGAGAGAGAGAAAUCUGAUUUUUAUCAAACCUUUUUGCCAAAAUUACGGUUAUGCCACUGAGGGUAUUUUGAUAGUAUCUCUCUCGUUACAACUUCGAUUCGAGCCCACCACGUGUGUACGGACUCAUCUAACUGUGUUGUACGCAACGGUAUAGUCGAAAUUCCCAAAUUAUUUCCUUGUCAAAAAGUCAACUUUAAACAUUAUAAAAUAUUUUAGGGAAAAAAUGGUAUUUUCUCUCAAUAAAUUAGUAACUAAUUUAUUUAGGACUGGGUCAUUAUACUCUUUUUCGCUUCAAUGGAUGGGAAAAAAUUUUAUGUAAUAUCCCACAUCGACCAACGAAGAGGGGGCGAUGUGUCUUAUAUGUACAUGCCCGCCUCCAUCUAGCAUAAGGCCUUUUGGAAGCUCACUGGCUUCAGAGUCAUGGGAACUCCGAAGUUAAGCGAGUUGGGGGCUAGAGCAAUCCCAGGAUGAGUAACCCACUGGGAAGUUGCUCGUGAGCUUCGAGAAACAAAACCGUGAGGGCAGAGAGAGGGGCCCAAAGCGGACAAUAAGGCCUCGUGCUAGAUGGAGGCGGGCAUGUACAUAUAAGGCACAUCACUCUCUCUCCGUUGGUCGAUGUGGAAUGUUAGAAUGGAAUUGUUACCUUUGGUGUGGAGGUGUUCUAUCAUUUGAGCAAGAAAUUCCCACAUAUUCUUCAACUAUUUUUCAAGCAUGCAUAUUCCUCCCUAUCAAUCUUUGGUUUCUUCCUUUACUGUGCAUAGUAAGGAUCCAGUCAGGGACGGACCGUCGCUAUGACUAUCCUGGGCUAUAGCCCAGGCAAAUUAUUUUUUUUUCUAGUCUAAAAUAGCAAUCCCACCGCUUGCUGUAGUACUUGUUCAGUUCGUCACAAACAUGAGCAUAAUAGAAGUUAUCAACAUCUAUAUAGGAACCCCAAUGAAAAGGCUGUUAACUAAUAAUGAAGUUAACCCGUCAAUUUUUCCGCAUAUCAGAUAUCUCUCAGAAUAUGCGAUUCCAUAUUCAAUAAGCCACUCCACAUGCCCUGAGGUUUUCAUCAAACCACCCAUUAAGGAAACAUACUGACUCAUGUAAUUAUCAUUACUCAUCGGGUAAUGCAAUUGUUCAAAGGCAAGGACAUUUCUCAUUAUUUAUGUAGCGAACCCCAAUGGAAAUGGUGGGAUCUUCAGAACCCCAUCGGUGCUACUGAAUUGUAUGUCAAAUAUGUUUUCACCUUGUCACGCCUCAAACUUGACUCCAGCGUGCUGUAAUUCUGUCAAGCUGGGUAUGGAUGAUGGGAGUUUGAUGCAGGAGCAUAGGGGUGGAUCAAGAUAGAUAUUUACUAUUUAAUUAGUUAUUUCAUGAUAUAUUGUUAUUUUCUUAUUUAGGUAGUUUUAUGAUAUCUUUUAUUAUUUAUGUGUGAUUUUAUAAUUAAUUAGUAUACUUUUGGACCAAGUAGCCUUGGUGCUCAAGUCUUGUAAAGCCUAUAAAUAAGGCUAAUGUAAUAGUUGUAGAAUAGAUGUCGAUGAUUAAUAAAAUCGUUUAUUUGUGGCAUGGAUUUGCUACGAUAUAUGUGAGUUUGCACUAGCCCUAGAUUUCAGUGCUCGUGUAUGUGGUUGGUGACCUGUGUCCGGAUCCCGAUCCCCAUCAAUUGGUAUCAGAGCUAUGGCUCAAGAUCUGCUAUAUCGGGGAGGUUUUUGGAUGGAGGGUCGUUUUAACAACUACAACGACAUGGAGGAAAUUAGGAGGAUGCUACGGCAACUUAUGGAACACAUUGCUCGCAUUGAAGCUCGAACCCAGAUAGGUAAGAGUUCUGACGGGGAGGGAUGUGUGAACCCUUAUCUGAACCGAGUAGCUCGCAUCGACACUCUAAGCCGUGAGAGUCUCGACGGGGAGUACGAGGGAGAUAGCCCUUUUCAUUAUUGUGCUCCGCUGUGUGAGUCAAGUGAAGAGGGGCACGGUUAUUCUCAUUGUGUCUUUGAAGGUAUAAAUGAAUUUAGUAAUUUUGGUGCAUCUUGUUAUUCAUCAAAGUUAUUAAAUUUGGAUUUACCUCCAUUAUUUGAUCCUUGCAAUUGUGAAAAUUGCAAUAAAAAUUGUUUGGGUGUUCAAAGCAAUUUUGAUAAGCAAUUUAUUGACCAGAACAGUGAAGAGAUGAGAAUUGAGAAAACUUUCGAAGAUAUUAUUGAUUUUAUGGGCAUUAAUAUUUUCACUUGGAAGGUUGCCAAAAAUCUGGUUGAUUUUGUCAAUCGGUUGAAGAUUCUAGAGAGAAACAUUUGCAUUGCUAGAGGGAGUAAGAAGUCAAGAAUAACGAAAUAUUCCAAAUAUCUUUUUAUUUGGAAAGGAAGGUUUCAAUUGGAUGCUAAAAGAUCCAAAAUUAAUAUGCAGCAAUUGAAGAUUCUACUCGGAUUUUCCUUAAUCAAAGGCUUGAAUUCGAGGACGAAUUCUUUCCAACUAUGGGAGUCUGAUGCAGGAGCAUAGGGGUGGAUCAAGAUAGAUAUUUACUAUUUAAUUUGUUAUUUCAUGAUAUAUUGUUAUUUUCUUAUUUAGGUAGUUUUAUGAUAUCUUUUAUUAUUUAUGUGUGAUUUUAUAAUUAAUUAGUUUACUUUUGGACCAAGUAGCCUUGGUGCUCAAGUCUUGUAAAGCCUAUAAAUAAGGCUAAUGUAAUAGUUGUAGAAUAGAUGUCGAUGAUUAAUAAAAUCGUUUAUUUGUGGCAUGGAUUUGCUACAAUAUAUGUGAGUUUGCACUAACCCUUGAUUUCGGUGCUCGUGUAUGUGGUUGGUGACCUGUGUCCGGAUCCCGAUCCCCAUCAGAGUUCCCCUCCAGCUUUUGAUUCCAACGGUUGAUAGAGUUUAAAUAUUUUCCUGAAAAGAUCAAUAAUAUGUGCCACUGAUCUAAAAGUCUCCAAAUUGUCUUCCAAUUUGUCAACAGGCAAUAGAUGUUCGAAGAAACUGAAAGAAAUACAAAUUAUUGAAAGCCCCUCAGUAAUGCUGUUAUUGUCAGCAUUAGCAGGGAGUGUAAUUUUCUGUGGGUCGAAAAGAUCCUCGAGAAUGAAGAAUGGCAACUGAUUUUCAAGCAACCACGUAUCUGUCCAUGCAUCUUGCAACAUACCUGGUUUGUCAAAUAUGCGGUCAUUUUCGUCCCAAAAUUUGAAGUAGUCCUUCAAUAAGGGCUCAAUAACGAAGGCGGCGCCCACUAGAAUGAUUGUUACAAAUUCAUCACUGCUAAACUUGAUGGGUUCUCCAUAACAACGUCUCAAUCUUGCUUCGUGGUCCUUUAUUUUCUUAAUAUAAUCCUCCAAACUCACAUUGGUCCGACCUAUAAAAUCUUGCAGGUAUCUCUGUUUGUUCUCUUCCAAUACGACAUUCAAGCCUUCCUUUCCAUGGUGAAGUGGACCUAUAGAGACCGACUGCCUGAGGUGUGCAGAGCUUUUCAUUCACACAUACGUAGAUAAAAUGUCUGGGGGCUCAGAGAGUGAUGAAUGUGCAACAGCUAAUGGGAGGGUUUAUAUUCCUGAAGUAAGAAAUGAGGAAACACCAGCAGUUGGGAUGAAGUUUGACUCGCUUGACCUCGUUUACAAUUUCUAUAAUAGAUAUGCAUUCUUGGCUGGCUUUGGUAUUCGACUUCAUUCUAGCUUUUGGGGGAAAAAUAAGAAAGAGAUUUUGAGGAAAGAAUUUGUAUGUUGCAAACAAGGUGCAUACAAGAAGGAUGAAACUCGGGAGAGAAAAAGACAACGGGGAAUAAGUAGAUGCAAUUGCAAAGCAAAGAUUGUGGUUGUGAAGACAAAUGGGAGCAAGAAGUAUACCAUUUCUCUUUUUGCAGAGGGACACAAUCAUAAGAUGACACCCUCAGAAAGAAUGCAUUUAUUGAGAUCACACCGUCAUAUUUCAGAUUCUACAAAAGUACUCACAAAACAGUUGGGUUCAGUUAAUAUUCCCAUUCAUCAGAAGGUAAGUAUAUUCGAGGUGCAAUCCGGAGGAAUGGAUAAAAUCGGUUUUAUCAAAAAAGAUAUCUACAAUCUUGAAUGUAGUGUGAAUGGGAAGCUGAGGAACCACGAUGUUGAACUAGUGACCGAGUAUUUUAUGGCUGAACAGAAAAAAAAUGAGGCUUUUUAUUUCAAGAUUGAGGGAGAUGGGCAUGACAGGUUUAGUCGAUGUUUUUGGGCAGAUGCAACUUCUAGACGGGCGUAUGGGUUUUAUGGAGAUGUUGUUGUAUUCGAUACCACAUUCAACACGAAUCGAUACGACUUGACAUUUGCACCAAUGUUGGGAGUUAAUAACCAUGGUCAGACAAUUGUCUUAGCAUGCGCAUUUUUGAGCAAGGAAACGACUGAGUCGUUUGUUUGGAUGUUUGAGGAGUUUAAGAAAGCCAUGCCAGGUGGGGAACCUAAAACGAUCAUUACAGAUCAAGAUGCGGCAAUGGCCAUAGCGAUUUCAAUAGCCUUCCCGAGUACAUUUCAUCGACUUUGCAUAUGGCACAUCACAUCAAAGUUCUCUGUUAAGUUACCACGUGACGCUUAUAAGGAGUAUUGGCCUGAAUUUCAGAAAGCCAUAUGGGAUACUGACAAUAAGGAUGAGUUUGAUGCAAAAUGGAAUAUUGUGGUUAUAAAGGCUGGUUUGACUGACCAUCCAUGGCUAAGUUCAAUGUUUGAUUUAAGGGAAUCUUGGGUUCCAGCCUACGCACGACAAUUUUUUGCCGCUGGAAUGUCAAGCAGCCAAAGAGCGGAAGGUUCUCAUGGUUUUUUCAAGCAAUACAUAUCAAGGAGAAAUUCGUUGAUGGAUUUCAUAAUACGAUUUGAGAGGGCAUUUUCUCAUCAACGUGAAAAAGAGUUAGUUGCUGAUCACGUAGAUGCAUUUGAAGUGGCUCAAUGUCUUCUACCGAUGCCAAUGAACAAACAAAUGGCUACCUUGUACACAAGGACAAUGUUUCAAAAGUUUGAGCAAGAACUAAUACAAAGUACAGCAUGUUUCCUAGAGCUCAAAACAGAGGAUGCAUGUAAAGUUGUGUUCAACGUGAGCGAAAGGAAAAAUUGGGAAACAAGAGUGGCAGAAGUCGUAUAUGUCAAAGAUUCUGACCACGCAUCGUGUAGCUGCAAAAGAUUUGAAUUUGUUGGAAUUAUUUGCAAGCACAUCCUAGCAUUGUUCAGAAGGGACCAGAUUGAAUAUAUGCCCGAUAAAUAUAUUUUGAAGAGGUGGAAGAAAACUGCGAAAUGUGGAUUGGUGUCAGAUGCAAAUGGCAACGAAAUUAAAGACUGUGCAGAUCCUGGCCUUCUAAUAAAGCGGAGUACAAUGUCUCGACUUGCUUCAAAUGUGGUUGAGGAUGCAUUAAUGAGUGAAGAAGGAUGUGAGCUACUGUCAGAGACUCUAAAAAGUUUGCAGGUGAAGUUGAAGUUGCUGAAGGAUGGACCAAGUAAUAACGAAGUUGGAGGGUCCAGCUCUCAAACACAAUAUAUGAAAGACCCUAAGAGAGUGAGGUGCAAAGGAAGGUCGAAAGGAAUAACGGGAGCAAAGGAAAAGGCAAUGAAGCGAGGGAUUAGACACUGUCGGGAGUGUGGACACAUUGGUCAUGAUAGAAGACAAUGCCCAGCCUUGAACACACCGUAAGAUGCUACCACUAUUUGUAAUAAUAUCUAAAAUAUGAAAAGGUAAAAUUUUUAUGUGCUUGUGUUUGAUGUUUAUGCAGGACAUCACCGUCGAACAAUGACAAAUCAACUCCAAUACAUCGUAGUGACCCAUUAUUCGACGAUUUUGACAAGAUGCACAGACCAACUGAAUGAUUGAUAUUUGUAUUAGACGAAAUGUGGUUGUUAUGAAGAUUAAUGAUCAAGUGAAGUUUUAUAGAUUCAGUUUUUGAAUGUUAUUGUGUUUUUGUUCAUGUCCACCGAUGAGCUCUUACUAUGUCCACUGGUAAUUGAAAUGAAAAUUUUCUUGGUUUCAUUCUUCCAAGACAUUUGGAGACAUGUUAAUUUUACGUCUUCUCCCUAUUUAUAAAUUUUCAUAGACAUUUGAUCAAGUUUGAAAUUUGUAGUUAUGUGAAGAAGCAAUGACUCUUACCAUGUAAAAUGGGCAGUUUAGGGUGAAAUUUGUUUUAACAGAGAUUCAUUUUUCAAUUCCUCAGGGUAAUGCAGCAAUUACAGCAGCCAGCUGUUGUUUCCAUUACCAGUAAUCAUUUCCAGCAGCAGCCACUUUUUCCGACUGGUUAUUAGGGGCACGAUUUUGUACACUUUUGUAAGUGAAGGAUACUCGAAGCACUUUGUUGGAACAGAGCAAAUAGAAACCAGCGGGUAAAAAAAAAACAUAACAUUGCAGCUAAUUACAUUUCGAUACAUAGGUGAAAAAUAUUAAAGGGUACACUAACUUACAUAAAUACUCAUAAUUCCACACACAAAAGAACAUUUGAUUGCAAAACAUAUUAUGUGCUUCCUCAUAGCAAUACCACGAUCUCCCCAACCAACUGAACAACGGUAGCCACAAUCACUGGGUCGUACUCGUCAGCUUCUUCUUAGCAGGUCUCACAUGCUUAUGGCCACUCAUAUCCCUAGUGAUAUACACGAAAUAAAUCUUCAGCAAUAUUUGGAAUUUUAUUAUAUAUAAAUAAACCAUAAACCAUUCAGUAAACAAUGUAUAGCACAUGUUAUGUAACUUAUGACUCACGUGUCAGUUUUUUUUUUAACACAUUAGUACUCCAGCUCUUUAAUGUAAAUGGACAUGAUAAGGAGCAUUUACUGAUUCCCGGCUUUCUAUGAUAUUGACUGCUUCUUGAAUAAUAUUUCCAUAUUUGCAAAAUAUAAUGUUAGACAUUAUAACACAUGAUGACUUGCAAUACAUAGUCCCAAUAAUUAUAUAUCAAGCAAAUGAAACUGAUAUUUGUGUUAUUUUAAGUUAGAUAAUGACAUUAAGGGAGUAUAUGUGCAAUACCACGGUCACCCUCAACCAACUGAACAGCGGUAGCCGCAAUCACUUAGUCGUAUCGGUCGGCUUCUUCCGAGCAGCUUUGACGUGCUUAUGCUCAUUCAUGUCACCCCCAUCGUCUAGUAUCUCUCUCACAGCAUCAGGGGACACAUAGUUCCAAUCAUAACUUGUAUGAGUAGUUGCCGCAAAUGCUCGGAAUUUGUCGAAUCCUUCGUUGAAUGCCAACUCCAGUUCAGUAUGGUGCUCUUCGCAUCGCAUAUGGUUCAUCAAACAACCUUUGAUUUCAUCAUUCAUUACUGUAUCCAACUCCUCAGCUUUCAGCUUCCUGCUAUGACUCAGCUUCAAGUACUUGUUCUUUUGGGAUAACGCUUUGUUCACCCUAAUGUUAAGAUCAGCCAAAAUUGCCUCGUCUUCAACACAUUUCUCGUGCCAUGAAUUGAUCAGUCUGGAAUUAUAAUCCAGCUUGCCACUGACUGCAUGUAUUGCCUGUAAUGGAUCAUCGGAGUCCCCCUCACUCCCAAAUGAUGUUGAAAAAGGAAGGGGUCGGCGAGUACAAUGUGGAAAUAGAACCUGCCACUCCAAUUUGUCAUCUUCGAUUGUGUUGUUGGCGCCUGAAGAGGUUGACAUGCUUGAAUAAUCCUCUUUGUUUUGGGAGGAUGAGGAUUGCAUAUGCAAUUUCGUUUGAGAAAGGGAACAUAGGUUUAUAGACCAACAUACCAAAGCUUGUGUGUAGUCAACAUAUGUACUUUUUGGCGGGAAUUUUUUAAAAAUAGGUGUUAGGUUUUGCUUUUCAAGCAUGUCAACCUCACACUCUCCUGACACCACUGCUAGUGGUUGAAACAAAGUCAAUGGAAGUGACAUCUACUUAGUUAACUCAACCAAACUAGUUAGGAUUAAACUUAGAUUGUAUCAGACCAAAAAAUAAUUUCUACUUUGUCAACCAAAUAUUUUUUGGCGGGAACCCUUUUCUUGGUAUUACUAUCACCCCUUUCAUAUAAAAUCUCCUUCCACACAAAACUCACUCCUCCACCGAAUCUGUCUCCAUCUACCGAUACUCUCUCAAGCAAACAAACUCAUUCCCCCCAAAGAAUGAGCAUAAGCACAACCAAGUUUGAUGUGAGCAUAAUAAACACCCCUCCAAACAAAGACCGGCUUCGACACGCAAGUGAGUCACCGGACAAGCAAUGUCACAUUGCUAGACAGAAUGACCAUUUUGUUGGAAGUUUUGAGUCUGAAAGAGUUGUUGCUUUUUGGAAGGAGAGGCAUCUUCAACUUGGUGAUGAAAUCCAAAGGGCAAGGGCACGUUUGGAAUUUGUGGAAGGCCAAAUUGAAGAUGACAAAAGGCAGGCCAAUCUGGAUAGGGCGAAGUUGUAGCGCAUGAAGCGUAGACACAAACGACUUCGGAGUGUAGCUGUUCAAAAAUACAAGAACUCAUCUAAUGUAGUGGAGUCAAAGAAGCGUGUGAUGCAAGCUGGAUUCGACUACUUCCGAUCCUAUGCAAAACUCGUCGUACCCGGGUUUGAUUGGUCAUCUAUUACCGUUUCCGACGUCACCAAAUAUACUCAGCAAGGGAAGUAACCAUUUUGGUUCUCGUGUUUUAGCAGAGGCAAAUAAGUGGAAUUGGAAUUUUGGUUACACUCUGCUUCAAAGCUAUUUUGAUGCUAACUACUAUGGAAGAUUUAAACCUUAAUAUUUUGAUGUCUUUAAUUACGAAAACAGAAGAUGCAAAGAGCUCAUCUACUUCAGCCAUAUGUUGCUGCCAUGUCCAUUUGUUUUUGAUCACUUAUCAGAUUUGGACAUGGUUGCAUCAUAUGCAAUGUUGCCUUUAUUUAUUAUAUGUUAGGACAAGGUUUAUGGAAAAGCUUUUGUGAGUGCGUUUGUGACAAGGUUAUGGAAUUAUUAUGUACACUUUAUAUAUUGUUUUUUGUACUGGUUCAUUUCCUACUAUUUCUUGCUUUCUUUAUAUUUUAUGUUUGUGGAAUCCCUCUCAAAGUUAACAUAUACUGUGAAAAAAAUAUUAUGCAACUGAUUAUAUAAUCACUCAUAUAGACUAGGACAAAUAUUCACUAAGGGUUUUAAACUUGCUUCACUUGUGUGAUGUUAUUGACAAAAAGUAUGGCAUUAUUUAUGUGAUUUGACAUGAUUGAAAAUAUAUUACUGAUUCCCAAUGCGGCGUCAUAUGGACAACGUAUUGAAUACCUGUGACGUGUUAAUAACUCAAGGUGCAGUUGCAUGUGGACAACUUCUUGAAUACCUCUGACGUGUUGAAAACUCUAGGUGCAGUUGCAUGUGGACAACUUAUUGAAUACGAACUGACGUCUUCAAAGCUCUAGGCGUAGUUGCAAUGAUGGCUUCAAAGCAUGUGCAAUUAUUUUUUAUGUACAUUAUUAUAACAAAACAUAUUAUUGUAUAUAGUGAAACUAAAUAUUGUAUUAUUAGAAAUUAUAUUUCGAAUAUUAUCCGAAAUAUACGUGUUAACGUGAAUUUGGGUUAAGAGGAAAGUGAGUUAUGUACAAAUAAUUUUCAUUUUCUCAUUUUCCGGGCAUUUUUUGGAUUUUCGUAGAAUUUAUUACCUAUGUCCACAGAUUGUUGCACUAAAAAAGCCAAAAUAAUAGCAAGAGGACACCUGGAGCGAUCUCAGCCCGUCACUGAUGACUACUUGCACAAGUGUACGUCAGUCAACAUGGCCACACCCUCCCAUUUUACCCUAAAUUAUUAUUUUAUUACUUUUCCUUACAAAAAUCAGAACUAAUUACACACAAAAUAAAAAAAUUAUCCGAAAAUUGCUACGAACUCAUUGACACUCCAUCUCCGUUGCUGAAUUCUCCGAUUCAUUGUUACGUAUUUGUAAAAUUAAUUCCCAACAUUAACGGGAGAUGCUUGUUGAAGUAGGUUAUUCAAGUUGAAGUUAACAAACAUCAAUACUUAGGGUUAAGAGGAAAGUGAGUUAUGUAACACAAUUUGGAUUAUUUCAUUGCGAGACGAAUGAUUUAUAGGUUCUCCUAGUUUUAUGACGUCACAAGUAGGCCGGAGUAAUUUUUGGGGCAUUUUUACGAUUUUCCUACUAUUUUUUACCUAGUUUCAAAGAUUUUUGAACAAAAGAAUCCAAAAUGUAAAAGAAGAUGACACCUGGCGCGAUCUCAGCCCGUCACUUUUCACUACUUGCACAAGUGUACGUCAGUCAACAUGGCCACAUCCUCUCAUUUUACCCUAAAUUAUUAUUUUAUUACGUUUUGUCUUGGAAAAUUCAUAACUAAAUACACAAAAAUUCAAAAUUAUUUCUGAAAAUUGCUACGAACUCAUUGACACUCCAUCUCCGUUGCUGAAUUCUCCGAUUCAUUGUUACGCAUUUUUAAAAUUAAUUCCCAACAUUAACGGGAGAUGCUUGUUGAAGUAGGUUAUUCAAGUUGAAGUUAACAAACAUCAAUACUUAGGGUUAAGAGGAAAGUGAGUUAUGUAACACAAUUUGGAUUAUUUCAUUGUGAGACGAAUGAUUUAUAGGUUCUCCUAGUUUUAUGACGUCACAAGUAGGCCGGAGUAAUUUUUGGGCCAUUUUUACGAUUUUCCUACUAUUUAUUACCUAGUUUCAAAGAUUUUUGAACAAAAGAAUCCAAAAUUAACAAGAAUAUGACACCUGGCGCGAUCUCAGCCAGUCACUUUUGACUACUUGCACAAGUGUACGUUACCGAACAUGGCCACAUCCUCCCAUUUUACCCUAAAUUAUUAUUUUAUUACCUUUUUUCUUGGAAAAUUCAUAACUAAAUACACAAAAAUUAGAAAAACGAUCCGAAAAUUUCUACGAACUUAUUGCGAUUUCAUCUUCCUACUGCAUUCCCUGUUUAAUGGUUAUGCUACAUUAGUAUUUUAUUAUUAUUUAUCCACAAUUAUUAUAAUUAUUAUGAUAUUACUUUUUAGGCUGUCCAUUUGUUAAUUAUACCACAUCCAACUUGUUGAAAACAAUUUUAUUUUCCGUGCGAAUAGGCCAUUUGUAGUGCUUAUCGGUUUCUCUGUUCUUCAAUUUGUUAAUUUUUUUAUUUUUUAGGUUGAAGGGAUGUUUUGAAACAUAAUAUGGAAAUAUACAAGUCAUCCAUUGUACUCCUUCCACACAAAAAAAUAGUCUACGUCAUUCACUGUUCAACACCCUAGGUUAAGACACGUGUAACCAAAUCCGUUCGGAUAUGCUAAGUGGGAAAAUGUCAUUCCCAAGCACUGGUGAAAAGACACUUAUUUACUCCAUGCAUGACUUUUGGUUUACCAAAUAUGAAGAUUGGGGUCGGUGAGCAAAAUAUCUGUGUCAGUAAAAUGUCAUUCCUAGCCAUCUAUGAUGUAAGUAAUAAUUCCGCUAUAUAAUAAAUAUUAUACAUUUAUAUAUAAAACGGUUUAUGACAAAAUACCAACAUUUGAACAACAUUUAAACUGAGAUAGGUAUAACGUAGCCAGCCAACCUAGAAGUGAAGAGAAGCAAGUCCACAAUGCAUCAAAACUGUAAAUUCGUACUAAAACUAAUGCAAAAAUACGUGAUUCCCUCGCACAACUUACUCACGCAGGAUUUUGCACCAAAAAAUACUCUCACGGUGCCAUUUGCAUCGGUUGCAGCAAGUCCAAAACGCAGGAUUUAUCUUGUCUUCACUAGGCCACCCUGGAAUAACAAAAUACCAUUCAUUGUUGUUACAAGCGCUGCACCGAUUGAACUUAAUCUUCCCAUAGUCAAACAUAUCUACGAUAUGUCUUGCAACAAAUGCUCCGCGACAUCUUCCUGUUAAAGCAUCCCUGGUUCCUUUCAUAUCAAUGUUGUUACGUUGAUUCAAAGAACACAAGAAUUGUAAUGCAUCCUCUUUUGACUGACCAAUUCCGGACAUACCAAGUAGUCCAACUACAUAUGCCGCUUCCAUAUGGCCUGCCGUGGCUGCAAUGCGCAUCCCAUACAACGCUUCCACCUUACCGUCUGUGAAAAAACCUUCGAAUGCUUCUCUAAAUAUGGACUCAGGGUUAUCGCAAGCCCUGCAUUGUUGCAAGAAAUGCUGGACUGCAGGUUUGGCACGGUAGCAGAUAGGAUGGUGUGGGUACUUUGCCAUUGAAAUGGUGUUCCACACUUGUGGACUGUUUGCCAAAAUGUUGAACAAUCGGCACACACAUGCCAUACGGAAGAGAUCUUCCGAUGAUUCGGUUGCCACGUAUAACAUCACUUGAAACCAAGCGGACUCCGGGAUAAAGGCUUCGGGCAUAUCGAAAUGGAGAUGCUUCCUUCUCUUUCCUCCGACUGUAGUGAAGUGUUUCGAAUUCAUUGAAAAGUUUUUGGAAUGGAACGAUUUGAGGAGUGGCAGAGGGGAUAAAUGAUAAUAUUUGGGGUACACGUUCUACUUCCGAGCCUCUGUUUAUAGUGUUUUGAAAAGGUGUUUCCAGUUGGGGUUUUUCCAAGUUGACCCUUUUGAAAGAAACUGAAUCCAAGUGAAUUAAAACUUAAGACAAAAGAAGGGAAAACGUCAUAACGGUGCAUACAGAGUCAGACAGUUAAAAAGUUAAUUAAAUGGCUAUUUGCAUAGCCAUUUUUGGGUUUAUCCCACUAUCAAAUUCAUUGAUACAAAUGUGAUGGAUUACUGACUAGUGACAGAAGGUCCCAUCAUAUACUUUUUCAUUUUCGCACACCCAACUAUCCCUAGUAAUGUUAUUAAAAUGGAACCAAUAAUGACGGAUUCUUAUCCAACUAGUUGCCUUAAUGAAAUAUAAAUAAAUUAAUAAAAUUGAAGCAGUGUCCCGUCAUUAGUCAGAAAAUAUAUUUGGUAGUGAAGUAGUUUCUAUUGCUUUUCGGGCUAAAAGAUGUCACAAUGCUGACGGUACAGGUGUCGACAUCGUGACCAACCCACCAAAUGAUCCCAAAAAAAAGUAAUAUAACUCGAUUUGGGCAGAGAUGAGAGAGAGCUGAGUGACAAGUUUAGGGUUAUGAGUGAAGGGGUAUGAAUGACAACUAUGAGUGAGAAGGUAUGAGUCCGAAGAGGUUUCAGUGAGAAGAUUUGAGUGAGAAGAGGUACAACUGAGAAGAUUCAACAUGUCUUCGUCUUCAUCUCCUGCUCAAACAAAGAGGUGUCAGUAUUGUGGAGCUACAAUGGUGCUUCGGGUUUCAAAAUCUGAAAAAAAAUCGAGGGAAGCCAUUCUGGAAGUGUCUAACCUCCUAUGUAAGUUUUAAUUUAAAGAAUAUGUAUGUGGGUGAAAAAAAACCUAUGUCUAACUCUGACAGAAUUAUAUUCCAUAUAUGAUGCCUGCAAUUAGGGAGCCACCAGUUGCAAUGGAUUCGAAUGGGUUGAUGUAACCUCCGCUGAAGCAGAACAUCAAGAUGACACGUAUGAUGUUAGAGUGCUGAACAUGCUGAAGUCCAUUAAGGACUUGGUAUUAGUUUUAUUAGUUGUAUUAAUUGUCAUUUUAUUUGUUCUUUUAAUGAUCAUUUAACUGCACGGUUUAAAAGAUUGUGAAAGUUCUCUCGCACAAGACAUAUUGCACGCACCACCAAUGAGACCCUAAACCCAUUUUGUAAUAUUUGGUAACUGCAUGUAUUUCGCAUGUUAUUGAAUGUUUAUUGAAGGUUUAUUGAUAGUUUGCUGCAUGUAUAUGGAAUAUCAUUGCCCCAAAAUUGGAUGUUUAUUGGGGCCACAAGUAUCACUCAAGUAAGAAUGAAGGGGAGAAACGGACCUUAUUCUUUCUUAUAGUAGGAAGAACAACUGUUAAGUUUAAUAUCCUAUUCAAUACGACUUCCCUAUGGUUGGUGUACUUGGGGACUGAAGUAUAUUGCAUCAUUAUUGUGGGCAAGGGCAUGUCUAUUGUGUGUGUUAAGGGAGUAUUGUGUGGGCAAGGGCAUGUCUACUGUGUGUAUAUUGCAUGUCUACUGUGUGUAUAUUGCAUAUCUAUUCUCUGUAUAUGGCAGGCCAAGUUUGUGUAUAUUGUUUGUCUGUUGUGUGUGUAUUGCUUGUCGGUGCGUUUGUGAAUUGUGGUUCAUUUUGUGUAUAUUGUCUUUGUUUCUACUUUUAUGCUACUGAGCUGCGGAAAACCUCGCAUGUUUAGACACCUAUUAUGAUGCAACACAUUGCGAUUAAUGGUGGCUUGCAUCAACAAUGACAUAUCACUUUGCAAUGAUGUAAUACACUUAAAAAGCCGUCUUCAAAUCCCAAUUCACAUAUGCAGUCUUAAAAUUCUAAUUCAAUGCAGUUUGGUUAACAAACAUGUAAAUGUCAUGAAGGAGUUAGCGGUAGAAUUCGAUAAGGACCCGUACGUCUCUAUUGUGUAUUUACAUUAGUUUGAGAAUGGACAUUCCCAAAACCUUCUCAUGUACCAUUUGUCAUCUUCAACCAAUAUCAUGGGAAGUAAGCAUCUCCCCUUGUUAUCUCCGCAGCCAAUUUCAACCGAAAAAAAGGCAUGUUGUGCGAGGUGCAAGUAGCUAACGGAAGCUUAGCGCUGAAAAGCUCAAUGUACUUUAACACAAACAUGCCACAAUCGCCUCUGAAGCAAAACAAGAACUCGAUCAAUUCAACUAAUGACAUUCUAAUGUAAUUGACAAUUGAAAGUAAUAAAAUUAAAUUGCAAGUUGUGCUUACUCAUUAGACUGUUGUGGAACAUCCACACGCUCUAUUGGCCACGGACACCACCAAUCUCGGCUGCAAUUGUUUGCAUAAACACCUUCUUCAUAAAAGUCGAUGGUGUUGAGAAGAUUUGGAAGCGUAAUUGAUAGCGGGCCGAGUUCUUCCUUUACGAUGUCAUCUGGAAUUAGUGAAACCUUUGAAUCGUACACUUUGAUUCACACAAUACCAGAUCAAACANNNNNNNNNNNNNNNNNNNNNNNNNNNNNNNNNNNNNNNNNNNNNNNNNNNNNNNNNNNNNNNNNNNNNNNNNNNNNNNNNNNNNNNNNNNNNNNNNNNNNNNNNNNNNNNNNNNNNNNNNNNNNNNNNNNNNNNNNNNNNNNNNNNNNNNNNNNNNNNNNNNNNNNNNNNNNNNNNNNNNNNNNNNNNNNNNNNNNNNNNNNNNNNNNNNNNNNNNNNNNNNNNNNNNNNNNNNNNNNNNNNNNNNNNNNNNNNNNNNNNNNNNNNNNNNNNNNNNNNNNNNNNNNNNNNNNNNNNNNNNNNNNNNNNNNNNNNNNNNNNNNNNNNNNNNNNNNNNNNNNNNNNNNNNNNNNNNNNNNNNNNNNNNNNNNNNNNNNNNNNNNNNNNNNNNNNNNNNNNNNNNNNNNNNNNNNNNNNNNNNNNNNNNNNNNNNNNNNNNNNNNNNNNNNNNNNNNNNNNNNNNNNNNNNNNNNNNNNNNNNNNNNNNNNNNNNNNNNNNNNNNNNNNNNNNNNNNNNNNNNNNNNNNNNNNNNNNNNNNNNNNNNNNNNNNNNNNNNNNNNNNNNNNNNNNNNNNNNNNNNNNNNNNNNNNNNNNNNNNNNNNNNNNNNNNNNNNNNNNNNNNNNNNNNNNNNNNNNNNNNNNNNNNNNNNNNNNNNNNNNNNNNNNNNNNNNNNNNNNNNNNNNNNNNNNNNNNNNNNNNNNNNNNNNNNNNNNNNNNNNNNNNNNNNNNNNNNNNNNNNNNNNNNNNNNNNNNNNNNNNNNNNNNNNNNNNNNNNNNNNNNNNNNNNNNNNNNNNNNNNNNNNNNNNNNNNNNNNNNNNNNNNNNNNNNNNNNNNNNNNNNNNNNNNNNNNNNNNNNNNNNNNNNNNNNNNNNNNNNNNNNNNNNNNNNNNNNNNNNNNNNNNNNNNNNNNNNNNNNNNNNNNNNNNNNNNNNNNNNNNNNNNNNNNNNNNNNNNNNNNNNNNNNNNNNNNNNNNNNNNNNNNNNNNNNNNNNNNNNNNNNNNNNNNNNNNNNNNNNNNNNNNNNNNNNNNNNNNNNNNNNNNNNNNNNNNNNNNNNNNNNNNNNNNNNNNNNNNNNNNNNNNNNNNNNNNNNNNNNNNNNNNNNNNNNNNNNNNNNNNNNNNNNNNNNNNNNNNNNNNNNNNNNNNNNNNNNNNNNNNNNNNNNNNNNNNNNNNNNNNNNNNNNNNNNNNNNNNUUUUCCUCUCCCUCAUCUCUAUUAUUUGGCCCUUCACCCCCUUCAAUCCCUUCAUCUUCUUUUUCCUCUCCCUCAUUUCUGUUACUUGGCCCUUCAUCCCAUUGAAUGUCAUCCAUUUCCCCAUAUCCCUUAAAUAGAUGUGAGACGACACAACGAUUCGUCCUCUGUUUCAGUAAAGCUAGGUCCCUCCUUACUUCCUGCUCAAACUGAGGACCUAAACAUUGGUCCAAUAGUUUUUCCAUCCGUAUGACCUUUAAGUGAAGGACGUCUUUUUCCCGCUUUUCUUGAAACAACUCGGACCUCAACAAGCUUACCACCUUGUUCAACUCAUCAAGAUCACCACAUGAAGAAGGAAUUGACUCUGCCGAGACAACAGCAGGGCGAUCCUGUGGCCAACUCCAAUAUGGCUGUCUCAUUUCCUCUUCACUUAGACAUAGCGCCCGCAACUGAACUGACUGUUUCAGAAUACAGACAAGAGUCAUAUUAAAUCAUUCUACUUCAUAAUUUCAUUCAAUCUUAUCAAUAGUUCUAAGGGCUGCAAACCAAACCUCUUUGCUCUGGAAAAAAUAAUUGUUCAACUUUCUCAUCUCUGGAACAGACGUAGUAGUUCUCCAUCGCAAAAUACGCGGGACAGCGGUCGGAUCAACAACCUUGCAGUAAUUCAGGUCCGCCAUUCUAGGAAUUAAUUCAUAUACCCAAAUCUACACAAUUCACAGGACAAAAGUCAUUAUUUAUGUUUUAAAGAAAAACAAAACAUAACUGACAUGAACAUUAUUACCAUGUACCUGGAAAGCAUACGUGAAACCUUUAAAACUCCAGCCACUCCUUUGCGCUUCACUAUGCUUAUCCUUCUUGCCCUUCUCAUUUCUCCGGCUUGUUCCCGUUACCUUACUUUUCCCCUUCCCUCUUCCCUCUUCAUUUUCCAAGCUUUUCACAUACUUUGUUGGUGCAGAAAAUAGACUGUCUUGGGUUUUGUCAAAGGACACCGAACCCCACGGAUACCUGUUGAACGCAUCCAAGUCCUCUACAAGGGUCAGGUAAUUUAGAUUGAUGUUCAAAUGUUUGUCCCUUCCCAAAACCACUAACUCAGCAAAGUAAACAAGAGGUAGCUUGAAGAUGUCAUCUUCCUCUGUGCACCUCACAAAUGCUUCUUCUAAAGCAUUGCAUGUAAUUCCUUCGUCUAUAAAAUAUCUUUUCUGAAGUCUGAUUUCAUUACUCUCUCCACUGGAAACUUCAGGCACUUCCCCAAAACGAAGCCCUGUGAUCAAACAGAAAUCCUGACGAGUGAACUGAGCAACGUCACACCCUAAUAAGAAACUCAGUCCAUCCAAGUCUUUCACACCCUGCCCCGCUACUCUACGCAACACAACCCCAUGCACAAUCUGUCCGCUAAACUGAAUCUUAUCUAUAUUCAGAAGAUGGCCAAAGCAUGAUGUCUUGAAUUGUUCUAAUUGUUCCGCACUCAACUUCGCUCGAAUUGCAGCUAGAGAUGAAUUUGCAUGUGAGCAGUUGUUCACCCGUGAUGAAUAUACCUCUGCCUCUGGCCAUACCAGCUCCACGUUGGAUCCCAUUUCCUCAAAUACAAUGUGAAAUAACGUGAACAUAUAUACUACCACGUAUUUGCACAAUCACAACUAGUCAACCAGGCACAUUACAACUUUUACAAAGUACAUGAGCAUAUGGAUUACUCAUCACAGGCUUUAACAUCAUCAAAGCAAUAUGACAAUUUUUGUGCAAAUACCUGUUAAUGCAAUGAUUAUGUGAAUUACAAACAAUUUCACGUGUUUUAUUUAUGGAUCCAUACUCGUGUGAGUGCAAUGUAGGCAAGUUCUGCACUUCACACACAUGACAAUUAUUGUCAUCUCAUACACAACCCAAAAUAAAUAAAUAAGAAAUAUAGUGGAAGGAAGCAAAGCAAAGCAUGUACUCUGCUAUCUGCUUGCUAAGCAAUUGCCACAUCCUUCUUUCUUUCUACCUUUUUCUUCAGUCACCCACAAUCGUCAUAGAUCAACCUUCAUUUCAAAUGCUUUGCACUUUUAUUCAUGAGUUUAUUAUUAUCUGUUCUCAUUUCUCAUAGGCAAAUUUAGUAACAAAUGAAAUAAUAUUUAUUUCACAAAAUAUAUAAAUUCUAGUGCCAGAGAGGUACUCUUCACUCUGCACUGCUUCAAAUGUGGAAGGUUUUGAGAUGUUAUUGACAUGUGAUUGACUUUAUUUUCAUUCGUUUUUUAACAUAUACCCAAGCAAAAAUUAACAUGCAAUUGAAGCACAAAUAAGAGAUGCCAAAUCCAACAACAUUGAUGGUACAAAUUGGGGAAAACCAUUACUCUAACCCUAAACUCAAAUUCCUUACAUUACUCAUCAAAUGCUUUGCAGUUCUAUUCAUGAGUUUAUUAUUAUCUGUUCAAAUGUUUCUCAGGCAAAUUUAGUAACAAAGGAAAUCAUAUUUACUUCAUAAAAUAUAUAUAUAUAUAUAUAUAUUCUAGCGCCUCUUCUUAAUCUGCACUAUGCACUGCUUCAAAUGUGGAAGGUUUUGAGGGCCUCCUCCAAUUCAACACCAUUAUCUUAUUCAUAUCAUUAUUGACAUGUUAUUCACUUGUUAUUGACUUCAUUUUCAUUCUUUUUUUAACAUAUACCUAAGCAAAAAUUAACAUGCAACUGAAGCACAACGAAGAGAUGCCAAAUCCAACAAAAUUUAUGGUACAAAUUGGGGAAAACCAUUACUCUAACCCUAAACUCAAAUUCCAUAAAUUACUCACCAAAUGCUGGUUAUUGCAAGGUGUCUGUGUGGGGUCUUUCUGUUUCUUUGCUCCACAAAUGGAACCUACCACUUCCAACGAAUACAGCUUUUCCCCUUCCCCUUCCACUGCUUCGCCUCUUCACUGAUUUGGAAUCCACACCUUUGCCCCUUCUACUCCAAAUAAAUACUUUCUCGGGGUCUGGAGAACGGAGUGGCGAAUCGUUGCCUUCAACUGUCGUUAGCCGUUGCCUUCAUUGGGUAUCUCAGACCUCUGUGUUUUAGAGAGAUGAGUUCUUUCUGUUCAAACUUCGAACUUGCCUCUUCUUCUUCUUUUUCGGACGUGUUUCCCUCUUCUUCUUCUUUUUGGACGUGCUGGAUAUUCAAUUCGGGUUUGGGUUCCUUACCUACCCAAUUGUGAAACUUUAACUCAAUUCUCCCCAGCCCUUGGAUUAAUCUGAUGGCUAUAAAGUGAACCCCUUAUAACUUACCCCUUAUAACUUUCCACUCAUUAUAGUCUUGGCCAGGUAUGGCGGCCAUGCUAGUAAGUGUUGGGUCUUUGACCCAACUUAAGCUAAAUGGGUCAUAAGAUGACCGAUCAUCUUAUCUCAUAAGGAUAUAUAAGUCAUGUUAUGAUUUAGGAUUUUAUAGGGUUUCCUUUGUAAGAGGUAAGAGAGAAACAAGCUCUCUCUCUCUCUACACAAGGAGGUCAGCCAUAGCAAGGGAAAGGCUCCUAGCACUCUCCUCUCUCUUAUUAUAUCAUCCUUCCAAGGACAGCUUUGGUAUGGUAAAGUUGGAGGUUGCACACUUUGUGCACUUUGGUAAGAACUCAUCCAAGGGAGCCAAGAUUAAAUUGGUUAGCUGUUGGAUUAAAUUGGUUAGCACGAUUCAACGGUUAAUAGAUAAAACUUCACAUAAAAGUCAUAUAUAAGGCCCUCACUAUAGAAUGACUCGUUAGUUUAGUCUCUUGUUACAUAUCAAAUGUUAGAGAUAUUUUUUAAUAAGGAUCUGCCAUACCACAUAGUUGGAUAAGACAUUAUACACGGCUUUUGUAAGAGCAUCUCCAGCGCUCCAAACUAGCCCAAGCAGCAGGGGGGCCUAAGUCUAGGAAGCAGCUCCAGCUCGCAAGAUUCAACCCAGGCAAGGUGUGGAACCCACGAGGAGAUCUAGCCCGUCACCUUGCCUUUGGGUUUCAGUCAAGCUGAUGUCAACGAAAGAAUUUCAAAUUUUUUUUACCGUUACAAUGUACGCGCCAACGAUAAAUUUUCUUUGGAUUUCUUGCAUUGAUCCACAGCUACCAAAAACCAACAGCUACAAGCCACGUGGCUUCUCCAGGAGCCUCCGAUCCAAAAAUCAUGUCAAAUCUAACGGCAGUCCAUUUUUUGGCUAAAAAUAUCAAAAAAUUAUGGAAACAUGUUCUAUAAAUUCCUACAAAUAUUAUUCACUUCCCACACCAAAUCUUCAUACAAAUUCAUAUCCUUUCAAUAUUUUUCACUUUCCAUACAAGAUUUUCUACUACUAAGUUUCGUUUGUGUAAAAAUACAAAUGACCUCUUCUAUCGAAGCCGGAGGCGCGUGUACAACCGUGGAAGAUAUUUUGUUGCGUGAGUGUUGGGUCAAAGUUGGUCAUUCCCUGAUCACGGGCAAUGAGAUGAAGUCCUCUCGUAGGAGUUUCUGACAUCGCAACGAAAGUAAGAUGUGAUAUGAAAAUGUAAGGAAUUUGAUGAGAGGAAUGGGAUUUGAGGAGUUUGAUGUAGGAAUUGAUGUAGGAAUUGAAUUUGGGAGGUAUGUAUAUAAGAUUUGAGGGUAUGUGUUUAGGGAUUUUGAUAAGAGGAUUUGAGGAAUUUAGAUUUGAAGGAUUUGGAUUUGGGGAAUUUAAAUAUGAGGAAUUUGAUUAGGGUUUGGGUUUGAAUAUGUGAAAUUUGAUAUGAGAGUUUAGAGACAACAGAUGAUCGAUUGCUCUGAUACCAUGCUAAAAUAUGAUAUGGUUUGAAUACUUUAGGUUGAGUUUUAUUCUUUUCCAUAAAAAGGUAUAUAUAGGAGUUUACAUGAGUGCUUUACAAAGAAAUAGAUACAAUAAUCAAUUAGGAUAAUAUCUCCUAAUUAUACAAUAAUUUGUCAACUAUAUAGAAUAGGAAAGUAAAUUCCUUAAUUAAUCAAGAAAAUAAAUCUCAUUGAUUAAUUAGGAGACUAACGUCAACAUUUAUAAGCCAUAAAAGAGCAGAAAAAGAGGUACUUAGGAGAUUUUAUACGUCGGACUAAGGUAAGCUUAAAGGACUAUAUCAAAAAAAUAAGGGACCAAGAAGCAAGACAGAGAAGUUGUUAUGCAAACCCAUUAAGUUUAGCAGUGAUGAAUUUGUAAAAAUCAUUCUAGUGGAUUCUGCCUUCACUAUUGAGUUCUUAUUGAGGUUCUAUCUGAAAGGAUCUGGACAUGAAGGAGACCGCUUAUUAAACAAACCGUGGAUGUUUACAGCCUGACAUGUGGUUGCUUGAAAAUCAGCUCCCAUUCUUUAUUCUUGAGGAUCUUUAUCACACAUACAUAAUAACCGACUCUUUUAGGAAUUAUUACAGUACUCAUGAUCAUGAGAGGCUUUCAAUAAUUAAUAUUUCUAAGAAUUUCUUCACAGCCGGAAUAUUGAAUUUGGAGGGGAAGGGAGACAAAUGGAACAGAAUAUCAUCUUCUUCUAGUGUUGGAAAUUUUAUAUUAUUUAAUAAUAUUUAAUUUCUAUUGUGAAUGAAAAAUAAGUUUCUUUAAGAAACGUGUGUCUUAGGCCAGUUUUUCUAACUGGUCGGCUUCCUUAGAUUUGUGCCUAUUGCUUUUCAAAGUAUAAUGAUGCAAUGGUUGUAUCUCGUUCAGGCAAAUGGAAGGUAUAUAGCAAUUUAUAGAACAAUACAGUAAUCCAGAAGAAAUAUUAUGAAAUGAAAAGAAUAAAAAGUAAAAAAAGAGAAAGAAAGGAAUUCCCACCUGCAAUGUAUAUGUAUGAAAGGAAGGACCAAGUUUGUUUUAAAAUGGUAAGAACAAGUUGAUUUUAAAUUGGGUUCAGAUCAACUCAUAGAUUUCUUGCCUUUUCUGUUCUCCUUCCUUGGACAUGAACUGUUUAAUCUUGGACUCUUCCCCAUCAUGUUGGGCCUGUCUUCUUCUUGAGGAUUGUAUAGGCCUAGGAAAUGCUUCGGGGUAGUUUUUGUGUUUUGGGCAUUGGGACCCAACUUCACAAAAAGAAAACAAAUUUGACCAAAACACAAAUUUGAAGGACAUUGAAAUUGUACCCGUAGGAUAGAUUAAAACACUAUAAGGGAGGUAAAUAGUACGUUUACAGAGUUUAAGUGUAAUAAAGGAAUAAAAACAUGCCCAGAGAAUUGAUAAGUGAUAUCAAUUCUUGAAUAUACGUGAAAAUUAUUUUAUGUGGUUAAACCCCACCUCUGGGGAAAAUCCACGGAACUUCUUAGUCCAACUUCUAUCACUUAUCCUAGACACAUUCUAGAUAAUGUUUGCCAACCUCUUCGUAACUCAACUUCUGUCACGAGAUGAUCUUUCAACACUUUAUGUCGAACGCAAUACUGGUCACGAUUUCUUCAAGCUCGCCGGAGUUCUUCCAAUUCUCCUUAUAUUGAAUCUGAUACUAGUCACGAUCGAUUCAAGCUCAUCGGAGAAAAAUCGCCACAACAAUCUUGGUGCCCUCAACCGUAUGAGUCACUGAACAUGCAAAUGAAUACAAUAUGAAUGAUAAAAGUGUUUGAUAAAUCACCAAGUUAUGGAACACUUGAUGAUUUAUCUCAAAUAAAAAUUCAGCUUUCCAAAGUUUAUGAAUUGAAAAUAUGACCGUUAAAGCUCUCUAAACAAAGAAGACGAAGGUCUUAUUUUAUAGACUUUUACUUUACAAGAAAGAAAACACGUUGAAAACCAAAUCUCCAAUUUCCAAGGCUUGACAGAAAAUCACAAAAUUAUCUUUCCUAUUCUAGAGAUUGGUCACAUGAAGUCCAACCAAUAGGAAAUGAGAUAUUUAAGAAAGGAAGAUUUUGAUCAAUAUCAAUAUCAAAUGAAUUCUUAUACGCCUAGUCAAUUGUUAUGGGUAUCUUGACUCCUUGAUAUUGUGAUAUGAUUGAAACAUGAUUUCCACGUUAGAAAAUUAAGGGGAUGUUAAAACAUGAAGGUAAUAGGAGAAUCAAAUUGAUUUGGGCCAAAAUUGCCUAAAAAGAAAACACUCCUUAAUAAACUUCAAUUUACUUUUAAAAAUAGUAAAACGUGAUUGAAUCGUUCUUUAAAACAAUUCCCUAAUAUACAUGCAUGAUAGUGAUAUCACUUACCUUUGAAUCAGAUGGCUUUCACGGGUCAAGCCACAAGUUUUUGUCUUGGGGAUUGCUGAGCUUCAUCAAUCCUGCCAAUGUCAAUUUUGCCCCUAAGCUCUCUCAAAGCACGUUUACAACCUAUGCUAACAUAUAUUAGAGUUUAUGUUAGUAUCAAGAAAAUGCCAACACUAAUUUCGUAACACGUAGAAAUUGUUAGAGAUUGAAGUUUUUAUCAUUUUUUCUUCCAGACUCUCCACCACUCACUAAUAUAGUUUACUCAUGUGAUGAGUUUACAAAACCUAUUUCUCUACUCUCACAAAGACUAUACUUAGGGGGGUGUAUUCAAUUAGGAUUCUAAAGCGUUUAAAAAGAUUUUGUUUAAGUGCCAGCUUUCAUAGAACUUGAUGGAACUUUAUAAUUCGUAUAGAACUUGAUAGACUUUCAGAAGACUUCUGUAUAAUUUUUUAAUAAAACUUUCUUAAGCUUUCAUAGAACUUGAUAGGCUUUCAUUCCAAACUUAUGUAGAUGGUAUAUUUCAUUUUAUCCCCAUCCUUGACAUUUAAAGAAAGAAACUUGAAUUUUUUCAAUCAAAUUUGUUUUUGUUACCAAAGCAGCAAAAACAAAAAGUACUUGUUUGCGAUGGAAGAACAUAUGCACAGUUCAAAAUGAAAAGAAUAAGAAGCAAAGUACCUAUUUGACCAAUGAAUGCUGUGUCAACUAGAGAAGCAAUUGGAUCGGCUGUCAAAGCCAAUGCUGCAGGCAAUGCAUCGAUGGUCCAAAUUGCAAUAAAAAAAUAUUUUGAAUAAUGGCUCUUGCAGACAAAGACCACAUAAAUUCUGAACUGGUCUAGCUUGAAUAAUAAGGUUAGAUUAGCCAAUUGAUGAGAUUAAAAGCAAAGCAAGUUGAUGAAUUUAUCAUCAACUAUUUAAUAACCACAGUCCUGAUCUCUUGGACCCCUGUAGUCCAAGAGAUUUAUGGUCACCCACCGUUGGAUGUAAAUUCAACGGUUGACUUGAAUCGGGUAAUAAUCAUUUAUGUCAUAUUGCAUUUAUAUAUAUCAUUUUGAACCAUUGGAUUAAUAUCCAACGGUGGGUGACCACAAUCUCUUGGACUCCUGUGGUCCAAGAGAUCGGGACUGUUAAUAACCAAUAGAGUAUUUAAACAUAAACAACAAUGUUUGAUCAACAAAACAAAUAGUCCAAAUAUCAUCCAAAAAACAAUAACAAAAAAUCAAUCAUUCCAAACAAACUAGUCAUUCUCAAAAACUCUCAAAAAACCCACUCAUUCCAAAUUGUAGGAUAUCCAAUUUGAGCACUCCUCAGGAGACAUUUUCAAAAAUGCAUCCUUUUUUGUGUUACUAUGCAACAAAGAGAGUGCUUUAUAACGAGCAUGUUCAUCCAAAUUUGGGGUCUCCUUAAUGGCAUCCCAUAUAUAACUCCGCUGCUCUCUCUCUUUUUCCCUUUUUGCCAAUAGGUUAUGGACCUCCCGGAAGUCGAUGACAAUUGAAUCAAUGCUAAGGCUAAUUCUUCCCAUAGCUUGCUGGGUGGUCACAUUUGAGAUAGCAUUCCCUUCCAAAUAUGUUCUAGUUCGUUUCCUCUAGUAACAAGCAUAAAUCCUAGUAACAAGCAUAAACCCUAACCCCAACCUAUAACCUAAUAACAAGAAGAAAACCCAACGAGGUAUUGAUCAAAGAAAAAUUAGGGAGCAUACCUUCACAGAUGGAGGAAGGAAGCUGUUCGUCUUCGCAGAGAGAAAAUCUAGGGAAAGAGAAAAACGUCUUAUGAAAUACUUGGGGGGGAGGUUGGAUUUAUUUUGGUCUUUUUUAUUUAUAACUCUCCCCUUAAAACCUACGUAAAUUUAUCACUUAAUGAAAUCCUUCCAAAUAUAUGACCUUUCGAAUACACCUAGAUUUGAUUCAACUUUUUUAUAAUCAUAAUUGAAUACACCCAUAUUUGAAUGGACUUUUUAAAAGUUCAUAUAGGUCCGAAAUGAAUAUACUCAAACUUGUAAAACCUCUUUUAAAGUUUGUAUAAAUCCAAAUUGAAUACACCUGGAUUUUUAAAAUCUUUUUAAACACUUUAUAAUCCUAAUUGAAUACACCCCCCUUAUUCUCAAAAGACUAUAUUACUUUACCUCUAUCUCUGUGAAAUGUAAAAAGUUGAAACUUUAAUGUCAAACCUCAACAAAAGAUGAACUUUCAUCAGUUACGUUGAAUUUGGAUUUGUUGAACUUAAGUGGUUUUAUUUUCUUUGUCAGUGUUUGAUGACUUAAUUUGGUAUUUAUUUCUUCUUUUUUUUCCUUGGAAAUGUGUUCCACCAACGUGAGGAAGAAAAAUAUGCACAAAUUAAUAUAUUUAAUAGAAGCCCAAGAUUUCGGAUGCAUAUAAUUUCUACAAAAAUCUACAAAGUUUUUUACUUUACAAACUUCUUAUGUCUACCAAUUUCUACUAAAAUUAAUUUCUCUGUGGUGCUCAAAUUCAUCAUAUGUGUGUCGUUAAUUUUAUUGAAAAUUGGAAGUUCCCAUCAUUUUUGUUUUUUGGGAAUUUUCUGAACCAAGGAAAAUCAAGUAAAAUUAAUAAAGCCUAAAUUGGAAAGGGAAAAUAUCUAGAGGAUGCAUUGUAGGAUUGCUCAUGCCAAUAAUUGUACCCUCUAAAUAUAUAGAGACAUAUUUUUUUUGUUUUCAUGACAUGUGGUCCUAAAAUUAUUGUGUAAAUCUUCAAUCCUGAACGAUGCACCUAAAACUCAUCCACCCAUUCUCAGGCCAAUUAUUGCACCUAGUGGGCUCUCGACCCCCUCUCAAAUUUAACCACAUAUUUUAUGGACCAUCCAGCUGUGAGGUACAUUCCCCCCACAUGCCACAAUUGUAUAUUCACAAUUACGUCUGAUACAUCACAUCAUGCCACUUGCCUCAAAUGAAUUUAAGUGAGUGAGGCAGUUGGAAGUAAUUAAGCUCUAUAUUGGUGGGUGGAGUGUUACUUCUCGGUUCCCCUCAUCAUUCGUCUAUAAAAUGGUGAAGGCAGUUGCUAUUGUUACCAUAAGAGCCAGCUCCGACUUCCUUUAAUUUCUUGCUUCAUAUCCACUAGCUACAUCUGUUACCAAGUUAAUUUCAGUUCUAAUGGGGUUUCAUCUCCCACUCAUCUUUGCUCUUCUCAGUGUAAGCUCUGCAAUUUGAUUAACUUUUCCAUUCUCUCUCAUUGUACUCUAUAUAAACGAAAGUUUUGUGUUCCUAUUGUUCUCUCCGAUUUUAUUUAGUACGUACUUAAGUGUCGUCCACUAAUUAAUUAUACUUUGUGAUUUGAUUUUAAUUUGAGUUUGAAUUAAUGUUGCAGCUAGCAGCAGUGGCACUGGCAAACCAUGCUGCUCAACCAGCACCUCAACUUUACUGGAGCUCCGUCCUGCCAAACACACAGAUGCCAAGAUCUAUCAGUGAACUUCUGCAUCCUGGUUUGUGUUGAGCUCUUUAGAAUCUUAGAUAUCUCUUCUACCUGCCAUUUUACUAAAAUAUGUUCCACCACAUAUUUAUCAGUUAACCAUUGUCAUUACAUGAGUGACACAUAUUCACAAAUCGGCUGAUCACUUAUUUUCCAUUAUGACUUGAUAUAUAAUUUGCAGACUCCACAAAUGAAGAAAAGAGCACAAAUGACGUUGGCAAACCUGAAACUUUCCCAUUGGGCAAUCAACAUUACUCCAGUCAAAAACAUUAUGGAGGCAUACCUGAAACUUCCCCAUUGGGCAAUAAACAUUACUCCAGUCAAAAACAUUAUGGAAGAGGCAAACCUGAAACUUUCCCAUUGGGCAAUCAGCAUUACUCCAGUCAAAGACAUUAUGGAAGAGGCAAACCUGAAACUUUCCCAUUGGGCAAUAAACAUUACUCCAGUCAAAAACAUUAUGGAAGAGGCAAACCUGAAACUUUCCCAUUGGGCAAUCAGCAUUACUCCAGUCAAAAAAAGUAUGGAAGAGGUGCUUCUCCAUCCGACAAUCAACAACUCCAUUAUAAAGACUUAGCUAUUUUCUUCUUGGAGAAGGACAUGCGCCCUGGCACAACAAUGAAGUUCCAAUUCCCUAUAAAUUCAAACACGGCUACUUUCUUGCCACGAGAAAGCGCUCAAUCGAUCCCCUUCUCCUCUAACAAACUGCCAGAAAUUUUCAACCAUUUUUCAGUGAAGCCAACAUCUGAGGAAGCCAAAACAAUUAAGCAAACAAUCGAAGAGUGUGAAGCUCCAGACCUUAAGGGAGAGGAAAUAUAUUGCGCCACAUCUUUAGAAUCAAUGGUUGAUUUUAGCACUUCGAAGCUUGGAACAAGAAACGUUGAAGCAAUCUCGACGGAGGUAUUGGAAAAAGGAGCCACCAUGUCCAUCCAAAACUAUACAACAAUGCCGGGACUGAAGAAGUUGGCAGGUGACAAAGUCGUUGUGUGUCAUAAGCAGAACUAUCCCUAUGCUGUGUUUUUCUGCCAUGCAAUAAAACAUACAGCAGCUUAUGCUCUCUCCCUGAAAGGCGAUGAUGGGGAGAAGGUUAAAGCAGUAACCAUCUGCCAUCUAGACACAUCAGAAUGGGACCCAGAGCAUAUGUCCUUCCAAAUCGUCAACGUUAAGCCCGGAACCAUUCCCAUCUGCCAUUUCAUUUCCACUGAUGCUAUUGCCUGGGUUCCGAACCACAAAUCUGCAUGAUCAUCACUUAGCACUAGUACUGUGCGUAUAAUAUGCCUGUAUAAUUAUCUCCCUACUUAUUUCUGCCUCUUCAUCAUGUGGUGUAAGAUAUAUGUUGAGAUGAAGUUUUUGGGAUUUGUGGUCGAAAUUAACCCGAUCAUGUUUUCUCUUGCAACCAUAUAGACUUCAACUUGUACUCAUAAUAAAGCAUGCUAUAUUUAUGAAGAGAUAUUAAUCUUCAGGCAAAUAGAUAUUAUGAAAACAUAUAUAGCAAUUUAUCCAGAAGAAACAUUAUGAAAUGAAAAGAAUAAAAAGUAGAAAAACAGAAGGAAAGGAAUUCGCACGUGCUAUGCUAUGUAUGAAAGGACCAAGAUUGUUUUCCCUUUGGUUAAUGACUAGAAAAGCUCACUUGCAGAGUGCUUUCUCCGACCAUAGAUGGAAGAGAAAUUUUCUCUUAAUAAUAGCACAAUGAUCGGGUAAUUGUAAGAACAAGUUGAUUUAAAAUUCCUUGACCCAAAAAAAAAAAAAAAGUUCUUUUCAAAUUCAGGUCAACCCAUAGAUUUCUUGCCUUCGUCUUCUUCAUCACGUUGGGCUUGUCUUCUUUUUGCGUUUUGGGCCUUGGAAGUUGGGACCCAACCCAACUUCACAAAAAGAAAACAGAUUUGCCAAAAAUCAAAUUUCAAGUCUCUCCUCCGAUCACUAAUACAGAUCAAAUUUUGGAUUUGAUGAACUAAAGUGGUUUUACUUUCUCUGUCAGUGUUUGAUGACUUAAUUUGUUAUUUACUUUUUUUUUUUUACUUGAUCUUUGUAGGGGCUUUUUUUUUUCCGGCAGCUUAAACGGGCUGGGCUGCCGUAAAGGGUAGAUUGAUGAAAUUGUCCCCUUUGUCUGAAUUCGAAAAUCAAGCCCCAAAAGCGCUUCGAAAGGGCAGUAGAGCCUUAGGAAGCGUUCUGGUUACCUUCACUAAUUAAAACAACAGCAACUUACAGAUGAUUUCUUGAGGCUUACAGAUAAAUUUUCUAGCUUGGCAUGACAUGGAAGCAAAAUCAGCAUGAGUUUAGCACCAAAGAGGAAAAUAUGGCUUCCUAGGGAGAAAUGAGAGUGUUUAAGGUGAGGAAGAAGAGGUUUGCAGGCUGAUUUGGCUGAGAAAAGAGAAAGAAAGAACAAUGUUCUUCCGGCAGCUUGACAAAGCUUCUGACAGAUGUGAAAGUCGUCCGCCAGAAGAGGAAAAUGGAGAAGAAGGAUGAAUAGUGCACGAAAUUGGUGGGUUCUUGCAGGUAAGAGAGAAAGCUUGCUCUCUGAAUCUGAGUUGGUUUUGGUUGGGUAGAAGAAGCCCCCUUUUAUAGCUGCGGGAAACCAUCUUUUUCCAAGAAACCCUAAUGGUUUCUAUCCUUUUUGGCCAAGCUUUUCCCUUCCUUUCUCUUCUCCUCCCUUGACUUUUCCUAUCUUGGUGAAAUUUCCUCUGCCUAUUUGCACAAAAUUAGAGAUUUUGAGGAGCUCAAGGCCCCUUUCCCGCAGCUGCCUUAGUGGAGAAUCCCCAUUUUCAGUCAUCUUUCUUCCUUCUUUUCUCCCAUCUUCCAAGGCUAGGUUUGAUGAGAGAAAGAAAUGGAUAUGCACACUGGUUUGAAGGGUGUUUUUCCUUGAAACUUGUUCUCUCCCAUGUGCUGGAGCUUCCCAGCAGCUUACACACAUAGAUAUUUUGGCUUUCAUCGUGGCUUUUGUUUUCAGCUAGGUGCUGGAGAUUUUGCAUAUAUUUUCUUGAGUUGCUUGGGCCUUCUAGGACAAUACGUUGGUUUAUCAAGUGAAUGGGCUAACUUCAUCAAUUGUUGGGCAAUUUUGGUUGAGUUAAUGGACUAUUUUGGUUCAAGUAAUGGACUAUUUUGGUUGAAAUAAUAGGCUAUUUUUCUCUCUUUGUGCUCACCCACAUAUUUGGGCCUAAAAAAUGGGCUUGAGUUUCGGGGCUCCCAAGCAACCCCGGGACUUCCAUUUCUCGGCCCAUCAAUGAGCCUCAUGUCAACUUAUUACCAUCCAUACCACAACCCACUCAAGCAAGCCUCAGGCAUCUUGCGUGGCUUGGGCCCACGUAAGCUCGUAGUGGCAAUGUUGCUUAUUUGCUUGACGUGGCAUGUGUGCAAGUGCAUAUGACGAACUUUCGCGUGCCCAAAUUGAGUUUCUUCUCGGUAGGGUAUCGCAUUGGGCCGAGAAUUUAAUUGGGUAGAACCGUGGAUUUUUUGGGCCUCAACAAUCUUAUAUAUAUUAGUUUUCUUUUUUUCCUUAAUAUUCACCACCUUUCUGUUGCAUAAGUAUUCCAGUCUUAGCGGGUUUCCAUCUACCACUCAUCUUUGCUCUUUUAAGUGCAAGCUUUUUUAUUUUUAUUUUUUUAUGCACAAGAUUAGAGGGGAGGGAGAUUUCUCAAUGUAAGCUUUGCAGUUUCAUAAUUAAUAUUUCCAAUAUCUCACUGUUAGUAAAAUAUGGAACGGGAAAAGUACGAAUAAAAUACACACAUGUUUUAUUUAGCAAAAUUUUGACAAGAUACAACUGAAAAGUUUGGCCACUAUAUAAUAUUUUGAUUUAAUUUUUUUUAUUUUUUUAAUAUAUAUUAUUUUUAUUCAAUAAUAUGUGAAAAAUAGGUGUACAAUAUAUGAAAUUUGUAUGUAUUAUUGAAAAAUUCGUAAAAAAAAAACAUGUUAUUAAAUGUGAAAAAUAUGUACGUAUAUGUAUAAAACAUGUAUUGUACAUUACUUUUUAACAAACUUGUAUUUUACCUAGUCUUUAAACCGUAUAUGGAAAACGGAAGUAUUAUUGAAAAAUACAUAUGUACGUAUAUGUAUAAAACAUGUAUUGUACAUUACUUUUUAACAAACUUGUAUUUUACCUAGUCUUUAAACCGUAUAUGGAAAACGGAAGUAUUAUUAAAAAAUACAUAUGUACGUGUAUAAUAUGAGUAUUAAACAAAAAAAUGUGCUAAGUACUUAUCUUUUAAUUUAAUAAUUCAUUUCAUUUUGUGAUCUCAUACGUAGUAAUGAGAGUUCAAAUUAAUGUUGCAGCUGACAAUGGUGGCUCUGGCAAGCCAUGCUUGAUGCAGGAGUAUAGGGGUGGAUCAAGAUAGAUAUUUACCAUGUAAUUAGUUAUUUCAUGAUAUAUUGUUAUUUUCUUAUUUAGGUAGUUUUAUGAUAUCUUUUAUUAUUUAUGUGGGAUUUUAUAAUUAAUUAGUUUACUUUUGGACCAAGUAGCCUUGGUGCUCAAGUCUUGUAAAGCUUAUAAAUAAGGCUAAUGUAAUAGUUGUAGGAAAAGAGAUGUCGAUGAUUAAUAAAAUCGUUUAUUUGUGGCAUGGAUUUGCUACGAUAUAUGUGAGUUUGCACUAGCCCUAGAUUUCGGUGCUCGUGUAUGUGGUUGGUGACCUGUGUCCGGAUCCCGAUCCCCAUCAAUGCUGUUCUCCCAGUACCUCAACUUUACUGGAACUCUUUCCUGCCAAACACAAAUGCCAAGAGCUAUCAGUCAACUUCUGCAUCCUGGUUUCUAUUAAGGGACUUUUCGUGAGCUUAUCAUCUACCCAAAUUUUACUCAUCCGACGUAAUUUUAAAAGUGAUUUGAUCCUUUGGCAAAGUAAUCUUGAACUACAAAAAAGGAGGGCACUCGAAUAGGCAUGCCAUUUGGUAUUACCCACCUCUAAUUUCUUUUAAAAUUUUAGUAAUUGAUUUUUAAGAUUAGAAAAUGGGAAAGUUCAAAACCGAAAAAGUUGUUUCAGUUUUGGCAAGUAUCGGAAAAGACUAAAAUUUUCCGACUUUAUUAUUACUAGAAACAAAGUCGAAGUAUUCACCAAUCAUGUGGCCUUCCAAGUGCUCAAGGUUAAGCCAGGAACCGUUCCUAUCAGCCAUUUCCUUCCCAAGUAUGAUCAUGUUGUCUGGGUUCCAACCCACAAAUCUACAUCAGUACCUGAACUAAUCAGUUCUACAUGAAUAUUCAUUCAUGGCAACCUUGGGCUAAGUAUUUGAAUUUAUGCUCAUAAAGCUUUAAUGCUUUUGAGGGCCAAUCGUUGUCUACAUAUGGUAUUGUAGCAUCUUUAGAUGGAAGAGGUCAGGGGUUCAAUUCUUGUUUUCCACUUCUUUAUUUGUUGGUUUAUCGAGUGUAGAGUGGAGUUGCACCUAUAUGUUCGUCUCUCACCCCAUCAUUUACCAUUGAUAUAUAUUUAAUAGAAGCCUAAGAUUUCGGAAGCACAUAAUUUCUACUUUACAAACUUCCUGUGUCUACCAAUUUCUACUAAAAUUAAUUUAUCUGCGGUGCUGAGAUUCAUCAUAAUUUUAAUAGAAAUUGGAAGUUUUCAUCAUUUUUGCUUUAAGUCUCUACUCCACUCACUAAUAAAGAUUACUCAUGUGAGUUUACAAAACAUUUUUUUUUUCUACUCUCUCCUGAAGACUACACUUCUUCUCAAAAAAUUAGAUCACUUCACAUCUUGUGUAUGUGAAAACUAAUGUAAAAAGUUGAAACUUUAUCGUAAAACCUCGACAAAAAUGAGCUCUACUACAAAAUGUUAAAUUUGGAUUCGUUGAUUUAAAUGGCAAUUUGACACUUGAUAGAAAUUUUUACAUACAUGUGUUAGUGUUUGAUCACUUCACAUGUCACUUACUAUAUUUAUUCCACUCAAGUUAGGUAAAUAUUAUUAUCAAACAUUUCAAUUAAUUUGUGAUUUUUUUAUUAUUUAAUCAAUUAUGAAUUAAUGGAUUCUUCUUGUUGUUUUGAAGACCAACAAAAAAAAAAAAAAGGGUAGUGAUGGCUUAUAAUUCUGGUAAAACAACAGUGACGUGGACAACAGAUGUUACGCUGUACUAAAGAUUUUUGAAGAUUCUUUAUUUGAGUUUCUUUCAAGAUAAAAACCAUAUUAUCCACAACCACAAGCACAUCCGGCAGACAAUCUUUGGCUAUUCAUCACAAUUGGGAGACAAUGAAGAAGACAGAAAAUGGAGUAAUUCAGAUGUUACCAGCCAUCCACGACAAACUGAAGUCUGCAAAGCAUUCGUAAUCUAAAAAGGAUGGGGAGGCUGCGCAAUACUUAGCCACGUGUAGGCCAGGAGGCUUUCCAAUUUUAAUAUAUAUAUAGAUUGAAAAAAUAAAAUAAAAAUCAAUCUAUUAUCAUAUAUAUUAUAAAAUAAAGAUUAUUGCUCCCAUGGGCGGUGCUAUGCACAGGACAGUGCCUGCCUAGUCCAAAUUUUUUUUAAAUAAAAAUAAAAAUCUACAUAUGUUAUAAGCUCAUCCAAAAAAAAAAAAAAAAAUAAAAGUGUUGUAAAUUAUAAGGUGGAGCCCACAUGUUGGAAGGCUUUGCCUACAAAAGGGUUCACACCCUCCCUUUGUAAUUAGACAUUGAGAAUACUAAGGAAGACAGAAAUGAAUAGAGAGAAAACAUUCCCUUCUCUCCAUCUCAAUUCCCUCUCCAAUUCCUCUAGAUUUAUAACACGUUAUCAGCAGCACGAAUCGCUUUCAAACAAUACCAGCUGAAUUUUAUGAUGAAACCCAGAUCUCUCAUCCAUCUCUGCUGCUCCACUACUUCAAAAUAAAUCCCACAGAAAAAGAAAAAGCCUCAAUGCUCUCUCUCUCUCUCUGUCUCGCUUGGGAGACUUGGACAAUUCCUCAUCCCCGUUACUGACAAUUUCAACAGCUUCAGGGGAAGCUAGUUUAUCUUCCUCUGCUCACGAAACCAUGACUCUUUCAGAGCCAAACAACAACACAAUAGACAACGCAUGGAGACCAGACUGGAGCUCGUCGGCUAAGGCACCGACGAUCCGACCCUACCCGUAUGGACCUUCCGGAUGUGGUUCCUGGGUCUUGUCUCAUGUGCCCUCCUCUCAUUUCUCAACCAAUUCUACAAGCAGCAGAGCUUCAAAUCAAACAGAUCAUGGCAUCGCUUUCACACCUCCCCAUCUUCCUCUUCCUCCUGUUCACCGCUUUCUAUUCUACAGCUUCGCAGUCCUUCAUCGGCGCAUCCAAAGGCGACAUACCGGCGCUCGCCUCAGAUCCGAACGCGGCGGCUCAGUGGGUGAACUCGAAUGUCCUCGCCUUCUACUCGGCCAGCAACAUCGACCUCAUCAACGUCGGCAACGAGGUCCUUUUUCUCCAACGACCAGGGCCUCAUCUCGCAGCUCCUCCCCGCCAUGCGAAAUGUCCAAUCUGCCCUCUCCGCCGCGUCCCUCGGCGGCAAGGUCCGUGUCUCCACGGUCCACUGCCUCGCCGGAUCGGGAUCCUUCCUUCAAGUGUUUCUCUGUCUUCGACUUGAAAAAGAAGGUCAUGGCAGGCCUAUGUAAAAAUUGCGAAAAGGAAGGCAAUCUUCAACCUUUUCUCCUGUCUCUCUCUUGAUCAAUUCAUGGAAGGCACAUUUGGGUCUUCCGGGGGCUCAUCAAAUGAGUCAGCAAUGUCAAAGGUGGAGGUGGUGGAGCAAGACUACGUGGGGAUGUCAUAUGAGGCAACCUCAUACCCAGCUGAGGCAGAGCUUGUGCUGGGCCUGGGCCUUGGCCUGAGCCUUCGUGGUGGUGGUGCAGGGAAGCAGCCAAAGCCAUGUGCAUGGGGUGAGCGUGGUAGAAUCUUGACUGCUAAAGUUAGGUGCUGAGUUACACUGUGUUCUCUGCUACUGACCCUAAGAGGAGUGCUAGAAACUUCCAUGUUCCGCCAUCAUUUCGCUUUCACUGUUACAAGGCACUGGAGUAUGUUUAAUUGAAAAGUGAGAUACACAGCAAGUUGAUCAGCCUAGUGGAAAGCAAAGGAUUAUUGCCAGGGAUAUGAACACCCACCGAAAUAAAGGGAUAAGUACUCUUUUUCCCUUCGACCAGUUUUUUUUUGUCCCACUGGGUUUUUACUGGCAAGGUUUUUCACGAAACAUAUUCCGUAUCAUUUGUGGUCUCUAAGAGGGAGUGUUGUAAAUUAUAAGGUGGAGCCCACAUGUUGGAAGGCUUUGCCUACAAAAGGGUUCACACCCUCCCUUUGUAAUUAGACAUUGAGAAUACUAAGGAAGACAGAAAUGAAUAGAGAGAAAACAUUCCCUUCUCUCCAUCUCAAUUCCCUCUCCAAUUCCUCUAGAUUUAUAACAAAAAGUAAAUUCUACACAUAUGUUGCCCAUCCAGGUGGUCCCAUAUCUUCUCUUUCCUUUUCUUUUGGCUAUUAGACUUCUUGUUUCUCUCUCUCUCUUUGCUACCCCACAUCAGCAAGUUUCUCCCUCUCUUUUUUUGGGAUCAAAUUCUUCUUCUAUUGACAAAAUCUUCUAUUAUAUUGGGUGGGCAACUUGGCAACAACAUCUUCUCCUCUCCUUUUGUCAACAGCAAGUAUUAUUCUCAUUCUCUCAUUUGCUAUAUAUCUUUAAUUAUAGUUUUAAUUUAAAAUUGAGUAUUCUAGGGUUUAAUUAGGGAUGAAUUAUAAUUUUGGGAUUUUGUUGAAAUUAAUUAGGGCUUCGAUUAGGGGUGAAUUAUUCUACUGCUUUGAUUUGGAAUUUUGUUAAAAUUGAGUAUUAUAGGUUUAAUUAUGGAUGAAUUACAAUUUUUGGUUUUGGUAUUGUUGAGAUGUUAUUAUGAGAAUUUGUUUGAUUUUUUGUUGGUAUAUUUGAUUAAAAUUCUUUCUACAUAUUAUUCAUAGGCUAUCUUUUAUUAUGUCGGAUCACAAUCGGAAUCCCAAGAAAACAAAAAAUUUGAAUAGUGUUGUUUUGUAUUGCAUUGCAUUUACUUUUGGUUUUAGUUUUGCUUUUAGUGUAAAUUACUCAAAUGGUCCUCAAAUUUGUACCCAAUUUACAUUUUGGUCCAUAAACUAAAUUAUUCAUUCAAAUGGUCCACCAACUCUUUAUUAAUCGGUGCUUUGGUCCUAUCGUUAUGUUUUCUAUUAAAUUUAGUCAUGUGAGCAGCACAUGCUACAUUUGUAUGGGUAAAUAAGACUUUUGACCAGUGGCGGAUCCACGUUGGGACAAGAGGGGUCGGACGACCCCUUGGAAGGCUGGAAAUUUGGCAAGGGAGUCCAUGAAAGCCCCCUUGGACAGCUGCUGGAAGCCCCCUUGUAUGCACACAAUGUGCUCGACGAAAUGCCCCAACGAAAUGUCCUGCGCAGCUGUGCUGCGCCUUGCGCGUAAUUUUUUUUUAAAACCAGCCUUGCCAAACGACGUCGUUUGGUCAAGGCUCAGUCAAAUUUUUUUUUAAUUAACCUGGCCUCAAAACGACGUCGUUUUGGGCCAGGUUUAAAAAAAAAAAAACAGAACAGUACACACGCACAGCAGCUCUGCACAGAUUCAUUUUCUCCAAACCUUUCAUUCCCAAUUCCACAGCCCCUCUUCCCAUCCUCUCAAACCCUAACCUCCCAACCUCCCAACCUUGGACAACCUCCAUCAACUCUUCACCGGUGGCCCAAUGCCGAUCACCACCACCUUCUACCGCCGUCCGCCGCCCAUUUUUUAAACUACAAGUAAGUAAGCAUGGAAAAUCUGAUAUUAAUAAUUAUAGUGAUAAUAUAUAUUGUUGAUAUUGAUAUUUUUUUUUUAUGUAAUGAAAUUUAUGGAUAUGAAUCAUAUUGAUUGAUUGAGUUUAUGCUUGAAAUUUAUGGAUAUGAAUCAUAUUGAUAUUUUUUUUUAUGUAAUUAAAUUUAUGGAUAUGAAUCAUAGUGAUAAUCAUAUUAAUGUAGAUUGAUUGAGUUUAUGCUUGAUUGAUAAUAUGAAUUGAUUGGGUAUAUUAAAUAUUGAUUGCUAUUUGAUAUGAUAAUUUGGUAUAUUGAAUAUUGAUUGAUAUGGGUUUAGGGAGUAUAUUGAAUAUUGAGAGUGGGUUAUUGAAAUUUUCAUAUUCAUAUGAUAAUUAGGAUAAAAAUUAAUGAUUGAUUGAAUUAAUUGAUUUGUAGAUUUAUGGAACGAUUCUUUAAAAGAAAAUUAUCUACGGAUAGUUCUUCUCUGUCUAAUCCGGGUAGUUCAAAUGCAAGACCAAUUGAAGUAGAUGAGAUCUUAGCUAAUCUUCAAGCAGACCCUGGACUAAGAACUCGAAUGGCGGAUUAUAGUCCUAAUAUUAGGGAUGAGAUCCGAAGAGCAUAUCUACAAAAGGGACCUUGUCAACCUAGAAGUUAUAAAUUCCCACAAACUAAUCAAUCAGGAAUUAAUAGACGCUUCAUUGCUCAUUGGUUUGAUGAUCAUGAUUGGUUGGAAUAUAGUAUUGCUAAAGAUGCUACGUUUUGUCUUCAUUGUUAUCUCUUCAAAUCUAAUUUUGAUCAAGUGGGUGGUGAUGCAUUCACUGGGGUAGGCUUCAAUAAUUGGAAGAAGGCGAAAGAAAGAUUUAACCUUCAUAUUGGACCGGUUGGUAGUGUUCACAACCAAGCUAGAGAAGUUGCUUACAAUUUGAUGCAUCAAACUACACACAUUGAAACAAUUGUGCUCAAGCAAACAAGCCAAGCUCGCACGGCUUAUCGCACUUGCUUGAAUGCAUCACUUAAGUGCACUAGGUAUUUGUUGCGGCAAGGGCUUUCUUUUCGUGGUCAUGAUGAAAGUGCACAAUCAAGUAAUAAAGGGAAUUAUUUAGAGCUCUUGCAAUUUCUUGCGGAUCAUGAUGAAAAAGUUAAGGCCGUUGUAUUGGAAAAUGCUCCGGGAAAUUUAAAGUUAAUAGCUCCUUCAAUUCAAAAAGAUCUUGUCAAUUCUUGUGCCAAAGAAACCAUUGAUCUUAUCUUGAGUGAUGUAAAAGAUAGAUAUUUUUCAAUAAUGGUGGAUGAAGCACGUGAUGUUUCAAUAAAGGAGCAAAUGGCAAUGGUGUUGCGUUAUGUGAAUGACAAAGGACAAAUAAUUGAAAGGUUUGUGGGGGUUCAACAUGUAACCGACACUACUUCAAGUGCACUAAAGGAAACAAUUGAUGAAUUCUUUUCUUCCGCGAAUUUGAGCUUUUCCAAGCUACGAGGACAAGGUUAUGAUGGAGCUAGCAAUAUGAGAGGUGAGUUCAAUGGCCUUAAGAGAAAGAUUUUGAGAGAACAACCUUGUGCAUUUUAUGUUCAUUGCUUUGCUCAUCAACUUCAACUAGCUCUUGUUGCGGUAGCAAAGAAAAACAUUGAUGUCAACUCUUUUUUCACAACGGCUAAUAGUUUGGUUAAUGUGGUUGGAGCAUCUUGUAAGCGUCGCGAUGCACUUAGAGCACAAUACCAAGAAGAGCUUGUGAGAGCUUUUGAAGAUGAUUGUCUUAUAACGGGGCGGGGCUUAAAUCAAGAAAGGACUCUCAAACGUGCCGGCAAUACACGAUGGAACUCACAUUAUGGUACGUUGAUUAGUAUCAUUUCUAUGUUCCCAUCUGUGGUGAAUGUGCUUCAAAUGAUUGUUGAUGAUAAUCUUAAUGAUAGUUCGGGUGAAGCCUAUAAGUUAAGGAGAGAAAUACAAUCUUUUGAGUUUGUGUUUCACUUAUUUGUAAUGAAAGCUAUAUUGGGAAUAACAAACACUUUGUCUCUAGCAUUGCAAAAGAAAGAUCAAGACAUUGUGAGUACAAUGAAUUUAGUGAAAACAUGCAAGGAAAACCUGCAGUUGAUGAGGGAUAAUGAGUUUGAAGAAUUGGUUGGGCAAGCAUCCUCGUUUUGUUACAAAUAUGAUAUUAUAGUUCCUACCAUGGAUGAGGAAUAUGUAAUUCCAGGGAGAUCAUGGCGUAAUGCUCCAAUGAAGACAAAUUAUCAUCGUUAUCGUGUGGAGAUCUUUAUUCAUGUAAUUGAUGGGCAACUUGCGGAAUUAAAUGAUCGCUUCAACGAGGUAAGUACUGAGUUACUUACUUGUUUGGCAUGCUUGAGUCCAAAAAAUAACUUUGUGACUUUUGACAAACGAAAGCUAGUUCGUCUUGCUCAAUUUUAUCCUUAUGAUUUUUCGGAUAGAGACUUAUUGAUGCUUGAAGAUCAACUUGGUGUUUAUGUUCAUCAUAUGCGUUCGAGUAGUGAUUUUUCUCAAUUGGAAGGGAUUAGUAGUCUUGCGGAAAAAAUGGUGGAGAAAGGAAUGCAUGAAAUAUUUCCUUUUGUAUUUGCUUCUUACAUUGGCUUUGGUUUUACCGGUUGCAACUGCAUCAGUGGAGAGGGCAUUUUCCGCUAUGAAUAUUAUUAAAAAUCCACUUCGCAACAGAAUGGGAGAUCAAUGGUUGAAUGAUAGCUUGCUUGUUUACAUUGAGAGAGAUGUUUUUGCUUGUAUUGAUAACGAAAUUAUAAUGCAAUGUUUUCAGAAUAUGAAAACUCGUCGUGGACAAUUGUAACUUGUAUUAUUGGUUUUGUUAUGAAUUAUGAAUGAAAGUACUAUCUUUCUAUCUUUUUAGCAUUAUUUUCUUUGUAGAAAAAUUUCAGAACUUUUACACUAAGCCCCCUUGGCUACAUAAUCCUGGAUCCGCCACUGCUUUUGACCACUUUAUCACCUAUGUAUCACCACUUUAUAACCUAUUUGGGGAACAUAGGUCAGUUAUGGACGGUUUUACCCUUACAUUUGACGGCAACAUUAACAUAAUGUAACAGUGGGAUCAAUGGAGUGAUUAAUAUAAAGUUGAUGGACCAUUUGAAUGAAUAAUUUAAUUGAGAGACCAAAAUGUAAAUCAAGUAUAAGUUUGAGGACCAUUUGAGUAAUUUACCCUUCGCUUUUAUAUUUGUUGAACUUUUAUUUAUGAUAGAUAUGCAUUUAAGGGUAAGACCCAUUAUGUUCCCCUGGCUAGGUGUAUCUUUUUAUGUUUAUUAAUGAAAUUCACUCGAACUGUUGAGUUUAGUAUGUAAGUUUUGCCUAACUGGCUUUUGAAUCCUAGAACCGCCACUGUUGCUCCAUCCUCCAUGCACUUGCAUGUGCUCUUACAAAGUGUGAAGUAGAUUUUGUGUGCUCCAAGUCAUUGACUAGAGCUGAAACAUGGUUAGCUAGAUUUAUAAGGACCCAUCUCUUUAUUUCCUAGACAUAUACCCAUCUCUCUAUAAAUCUAUAUGUAAAACCUAAUUUCAAACUUAAAUGACCAGUAGGAUAUAAAAGGUCAUAGUAUUCCUAUGUUUUUAUAUCGUUGCCACCAGACUUCUUAUUUUAUUUAUAAUUUAUUUCAAGCAUUUCAUUAACUGCCAUAAUUGUAAUUAAUACUCCAUAUUAAUAGCAUAUCAAUCACCCCAUUUCUUUUGGUUGCCAUUCCCUCUAACAUAUCGCCCCUUAAAUUUGAAAACCAAAAAAAAAAAAUGUAAAUUACAUAUCCAAUAAUGUACCUAUGAAAAAUAUAAAUAUAAAUAUAUACAUAUAAAAAUAUAGGUAUAUUAUUUACCAAAUAGAAAAUAUAAAAACCUAGGUCAGUUGCUUUGUAAUUGAAAUUUCUGUACAUUUUCCACAAAUUAAAAAUAGGUACAUAAUAAUUUAUAGAAAAUAUAUGUACAUUAUUUAUCCAUAGGUAAAAAUACCGAUAAAUGCACAUAGGUGAAUUAUUUACCAAUAUAUUAUUUUUUUGCUAAGGAUUUACCUUAGUUUUUAGUAGAUUAAUUUACCUACCUAGAGGCAUAGGUAGCUUAAAAAAAAUGUACCACCUUAGUUGGUUGCAUACUAAUUUACCUACCUAGAGGCAUAGGUUGCUAAGAAAAAAUGUAGGUAAAUUCAUGUACCUAAACACAUAGGGGUCAAAUAGAGAAUAACAUGUUAUUUCCCUUUGAACAAAUUAAUUUCAAACCAUAACAAUUAUUGAAUUUGGAAAUUGGUAUAAAUAAAAGGAAAUAAAUAAACUAUCAAUUUGAAAAUUAAAAUAAGAAAUGAUCAAGUAGUCAUAUUUGAAAAAAAAGGAAAGAAUAUAUUCUUGGUUUUUAUAGGAACAACGAGUAUAUUCAAACCAAACGGCGAUAACUACACCAAGCUUUAAUUACUUUUUUUUAAGGCCAAAAGUCACUUUUGGUCCCUGUAGUUCGGCAUUUCUACCACUUUUGAUGUUGUAGUUUCAAUUCCGUCAAUUUUGCCAUUGUAGUUUCGUAUUUGUAGCAAUUCAAGGACCUGUUAAUAUUAAUGUCAAUUUGUUUAAUGAUGCAAGAGGUAAUUUCGUCAUCCCAAAAUCCUUGAGCAUAAAAGAUUGUCUGAAAUUCUCCCCAUUUCAUAUUAGGGCUCGAAAUUCAACCACUAAUCCUAAUUUUUGAAGAACCCUAGACCCAAAUGACCAAUUUCAAGCCCUAAUAUGAAAUUACGGAAGUUUUAGAUGAGCUUUUAUGCUCAAGGAUUUUGAGUUGAAGAAACUGCCCCUUGCACUGUCAAAUAAAUUGACAGGAAUACUGACUUGUCCUUGAAUUGCUACAAAUACAAAACUACAGUGUCAAAAUUAACAGAAUUUAAACUAUAGGGUCAAAAGUAGUUGAAGUGUCAAACUAUAAGGACCAAAAGUGACUUUUAGCCUUUUUGUUUCAAUAAGGAAAAAACUGACCUAUUAAAUCCUUGGAAUCUAUACAAAAUUGAAACACAAUUAAUCAACAUUGAAUUGCAGCUAAUUUCUUAAACAAGGGUAUUAUAGGAAUUUAAAAAGUAUAACAUUUAAUCCAUUGAAUUUGAUUAGGAAACUUGAUGAAUUGAAUCCUAGUUAUAUAGUUUUUCUUAUAAAAAUCAGGUUUUAUUUAUAGACAAAUAAAACAAUGGGUUGUAGGUAAGAAAAUAUUAAUUUGAAGGGAAAGAGUCAAAUUUACUAAAUUAAUAAAGCAUAAAUUGGAAAGGGAAAAGAUCUAGAGGAUGCAUUGUAGGAUUGCUCAUGCCAAUAAUUGCACCCUCUCGAUAUUGAAAAACCUAUUGUUUAUUAUUAUCUUCAAUCCUGAAUGAUGCACCUAAAACCCAAGUGUCUCAGGCCAACCAUUGCGCUCAUACCACUUGUUGCAGUACACAUUCACCUGUUUUUAAAGAAAGAAAUUCUACCAAUCGAUAUUUUCUCAAAUUUAAUCACAUAGAUCUAUUAUGGUUAACCAUAUGUACUUUUAUCUGCCAUCCAGAGGUACCUUUUUCCAACGUGCAACAAUUGUAUUUGAUUCACAAUUAUGUCUGAUAUACAUCACAUCAUGCCACUUGCCUCAAAUGAAUUUAAUUGAGUGAGGCAAUGGGAAGUAAUUAAGCUCUAUAUUGGUGGGUGGAGUGUUACUUCUGGAACCCUCAUCAUUCGUCCAUACAGGGGAACAAUUCCCUUCCUUCUAUAAAAUGGGAGCAAUUCUCUCACUGUACUCUAUAUAAAGGAAUAAGUGUCGUCCACUAAUUAAUUACACUUUGUGAGAUUUGAUUUUAAUUAGAGUUCGAAUUAAUGUUGCAGCUAGCAGCGGUGGCACUGGCAAACCAUGCUGCUCAACCAGCACCUCCACUUUACUGGAAUUCCAUCCUGCCAAACACACAAAUGCCAAGAGCUAUCAGUGAACUUCUGCAUCCUGAUUUGUGUUGAAUAGAUAUAGUAUGUUACUGGAGUACGUAUGGCAACAUAUUCACAAAUGUGUCACGUAUUUUCCAUUAUGACGUUGAUAUAUAAUUGCAGACUCCACAAACGAAGAAAAGAGCACAAAUGUCAUGAAUGCUGUUGGGAAUGGAAAGCCAAUUGACCACAAGGGCAAACCUGAAAAUACUGUACUACCACAGCUUGCACGACGCCCAUUUUCUUACAAGAGUGAUGAUCGUCCCACUGACAAUCAACUCCAUUAUAAAAACGUAGCUAUUUUCUUCUUGGAGAAGGACAUGCGCCCUGGCACAACAAUGAGCUUCCAAUUCCCUAGAAAUUCAAACACGGCUACUUUCCUGCCACGAGAAAGAGCUCAAUCGAUCCCCUUCUCCUCUAACAAACUACCAGAAAUUUUCAACCAUUUUUCAGUGAAGCCAACAUCUGUGGAAGCCAAAACAAUUAAGCAAACAAUCGAAGAGUGUGAGGCUCCAGGCAUUAAGGGAGAGGAAAUAUAUUGCGCCACAUCUUUAGAAUCAAUGGUUGAUUUUAGCACUUCGAAGCUUCGAACAAGAAACGUUCAAGCAAUCUCGACGGAGGUAUUGGAAAAAGGUGCCACCAUGUCCAUGCACAAGCACACAACAAUGCCGGGACUGAAGAAGUUGGCAGGUGUCAAAGUCGUUUUGUGUCAUAAGCAGAACUAUCCCUAUGCUGUGUUUUACUGCCAUGUAAUAAAACCAACAGCAGCUUAUGUUCUCUCCCUGAAAGGCGAUGAUGGGGUGAAAGUUAAAGCAGUAGCCAUCUGCCAUCUAGACACAUCAGAAUGGAACCCAAAGCAUUUGGCCUUCCAAAUCCUCAAAGUUAAGCCCGGAACAAUUCCCAUCUGCCAUUUCCUUCCCACUGAUCAUAUUGUCUGGGUUCCGAACCACAAAUCUGCAUGAUCAUCACUUAGCACUGUACGUAUAAUAACCUUUACCCCUGUAUAAUUAUCUCCCUACUCUACUUAUUUCUGCCUCUUCAUGUGGUGUAAGAUAUAUGAUGAGAUGAAGUUUUUGGGAUUAGUGGUCGGGUUGCCUUAAAAACACAGAUUACAGAAACUGCUUGAACUUAACCCGAUCAUGUUUUCUCUUGUACUCGUAAAGCAUGCUGUUGUGGUUCUACUUAAUUUCGUCCUCCCCAAUGUUUGAGUGUUUAAUUGUUACGUUGGAAUAGGCUGCUAAUGCAUGUAGUUAGAGAAGCUUUCAUUUAUAUCAAAGUCCUCAAACUAUCAAGAAUUAAUGCAUCCAGAAACAUAUAUACCAAGACGCAAAACAACAUAUUUUCCAUGCUGUGUCGGUAACACCAAAGCAAACUUCCUUUAUCACAAAAGGACCAAAUUCCAAUACUAAUCUAAUCCAUCAUGUAAAGCAUACAAUCUACAACUGCCUCCCUAAAUUUGUCCAUUGGAUAUAUAUGUCACUUUUUGGUAAUUUGGUAUAGCAGCACCACGUAGUAUGCAUUUAACAGAAAAGUAAACAAAAUUGACAGUAGAACUAUUUGUCCUAACGAAACUGAAGUUGAAAGACCAUGAGAACGAUUUUGAAAAUUAAGGGACUCAAAUGAAAAUUGGGUCUAAGUUCAGGGACCAAUAAAACGAUUAACCCAUAGAUUUUGGAUCCAGUACCACAUCCCAAAGAGAAAACCACAAGUUUGCAAGCAAGUUUGUCCAUACUAACACUACGUACAGUAUGGGCAAUGUGCUAGACUCAUCUCACUUUCUCAACCUAUCCUAUACUUGUCUAAAAGAGUUUCUAAUUUAAUGUACUGAGAUUUACGAAAGAAAUAUCAGAGAAACAAUUUUCAGGCAAUAAAAAAAUGUCUUGGCAAGAAAAUGCACAAUUUGUUACAUAACUUAUUAAAUAUGAACAGUUGAAAGAAAAAAGAAUUUGGAUGAGGGAUUUGCAAAUUCCUAUGGCCCAAUUACCUUUUUUUCUUUGUUUUUUUUUGGUUCUUUUGAUCCAGUAGCAUAUUCCAAAGAAUGAAAACCACAGGCAUGCAAUGCAAGCUCUUUUCCCAUGUUUUCCUCUGUUUUUCUCCUAUCAUGGAAGUGAUUAAAACACACCUCUAAGCUUGUUUUGCGUUUGGUAGCCGAGUGUAAAAGCUCAAUGCAAGAUAGUUUGAGGUAGAAUUUUCUCCUGUUUUAUUAGGACAAUGAUGAGCUAUAUGUGACAACAAAUUGCUUUAAUAAUGAAAAUUAAAAAAGUGUGAUUCAUUGAAUAUUUGCGGGGUUUUGUUCAGAGCUGACAAAGUUCUAAGUCAACACAUCAAAUUCCUUUUUCCAACAAUCGUAUUUGAUUCACAAUUUUGUCUGAUAUACAUCACAUCAUGACACUUGCAUCAAAUGAAUUUAAUUGAGUGAGGCAAUGGGAAGUAAUUAAGCUCUAUAUUGGUGGGUGGAGUGUUACUUCUGGAAUCCUAAUCAUUCGUCCCUACAGGACUCUAGAACUCUCACACUUCUUACAAGGACUACUUAACUCUAUAGCUUAUUGCAUAUAGCAUAUAUAUGCAAACCCAAUUAGAAAUUCUACAACAGAAGCAAGAUCAAUCUCACUAUGCCUUCUAAACAAACAAACAAAUAAAACAAGCAUAUUAAUUGCUUUAAUCACUCUACUAACAUCAACACAGCACACUUAGUUUACUAACAGAUGAUAUAGAAAGGAAAAAAAAGGACCAAUAGGGAGAAAAUGGUGAACUAAGGAGAGACUAAUACUUCUGGUCCUUAGAAGGCAUAACAGAAAUAAUAGAGCACACUGCUUGAAUGCAAGUCAGUAUUAGGAGCAAAACAGCUGCAAUGAAAGAAAUAGUUGCCCAAGGUGUAUUGAAAUAAUGUUGCCUCAAAUUUGCCUUCCAUUUGUUCCAAGGCUUUCUGCAGUAGCUAUUAAGGCGCUCAGAAAGAGUAGCAAAGUAGAAGCUUUCACGAUACACUGCAAUUCCUUUUCCGAGGUUGUUAAUCAGAGUGCACACCUCAUUGUAGUCACCAAGCAUAUUUUUGACAAUCCCAUACUUCAGAAGGAACUCCACAUCCUUUUCGGUGUUCACAAACUCAUCCAUGAGUGAAACAUAAUCACUUAUGUAAUUCUUACGGCAAUGGCACUAUUCAAAGGCAAUGAGGUUAUGGAGUGUGAGCUCUGUGUAAUCGUUUAUUUUUAGUUUUGGAAUUUCUAGAAUCCCAUCGUUGAAUCGUGUUAACGCAGCUUUCCUUUCCUAGCCUACGCGGAAGUCAACUUCACAAUCUCCUCCUAGCAAUUAGCCUUUCCUACUGUAAAUCGGAUUGUAUUCAUGUCUAUAUUAUUUCCUACCUUAAAUAGAUAUCCUGUACUAGUAUACAUAGGGACUUUGUGUAAUCUGUUAAAUACAAGGAAAUAUAUACUCUACAUGGUAUCAACCUAACCUAGGGUUCUCUCUCUCCCCCUUAUUCGAUCCUCUUCUCCUUUAGGUCCACCUCAUGGCUUCGUUUGAAUCCACCAUCUCCCUCCCAAGCCCUAACUCUUCUCAUUUUAUCAAGCUUACUAACUCCAACUAUCUUCUUUGGCUCCGCCAACUCAAACCCUUUUAGUUGGCCAUGACCUCUGGAAAUUUAUCGAUGGCAUUCAUAAACAACCUUCUGCCCACACCUCCACCUCUACCACCACAACACCCACAACCACCACCACUCUUACCGAAAUCAAUCCUACCUAUGCUCAGUGGUACCAACAAGACCAACUCAUUGUUAGCUACAUCACCAGUACACUCUCUGAGUCCAUUUUCUCUCUCACUGUCGGUUGCAUCUCUGCCCGGGAUCUCUGGGAGUGUCUCCAAUGCCACUUCUCUUAAUCCAAUAUGGCCAGUGAAUCUGCUCUUCGUUUUCAACUCAUGGAUUUGCAAAAAGGCUCUCAACCCAUUGAUGCUUACCUUCGUCAUGCUAAGUCUCUUGCCGAUUCACUAGCUGCCAUCAAUUAACCUGUCUCCCCAAAAGAACUUGUCACUGCUGUGCUUCGGGGUUUAGGACCCGAUCACAAAAUGCUCAUCACAGCAAUUCUCAAUUUCUCUCCGCUUCCAGACUUUGCUGAUCUUCGUGCUCGUUUGUUAGCUUUUGAUGCACAGACUCCUCGAAUCUUUCCUGAUCAAAACACAACGCUAAUGGCCACCCAAUCUUCUCCUUACACCACCGGUCAUACUUCCUUCCCUUCUCACCGUGGUUGUGGCUCUUCCAGCAAUAGGCGCGGUGGCUGGUGCAGUAUUGGCCGUGGUGGCUGGCACAACUUCUCAUCUUCCUAGAGCAACCCGUGGAAUGGCUUCCAGCAGCCCUAAUGACCUAAUCAACUGUGGCCUCCUUUUGCUCUAAGUUUUGGAUCUCAAAGCAACUGGCCUUCCUUUCAACCUCUUUGGGCCCAAUCUGCCGCUUCUAGCAAACACUCUGCCCGACCCAACUCAGCUCCUGGUGUCUUGGGACCCGCUUGGUGCACCACAUGCAAUACCAAUCGACAUACUACUACAACAUGUCCUUAUUGCUACAAUGGCCCAGAAUUCUUCCUUUGCUGGGGCUCAAUUCAUGCAGCCACCUAACUCUACAUGGUACCCUGACACAAGUGCCACUCAUCAUAUGACUGGUAGUUCUUCUAAUCUCCAAAGGAAAUUAAAUGAAGGAGUCCUACGAAGGCUCAAGGCUCGAAAGCACACGAUCCGGCUCUGCUGCGGAGCUCACUCAACUACUGGCUGAGGGGGCGCAAAACAGAAAAUUGUGAGUGGACAAAAAUAAAAAUUCAGUUCAGUGUAAACCAACGUAAUAUAACCCCACCGUUUAGAAAACCAUGCAAGAAAUCCAAAUGCAUCUCAAAACCAUCAUAAUCAUCAAAUCAAAAUCAAAUACUGGAUGCCAAGUCCGAAAUCCAUAAAGAAAGCUUUACAAACCCACCAUCCAAAUCUUACAAUCCCACAACUAAACUCUCGAAAGCGUACCCAUUGGCAGUACCAGCAAGGAAGUAUCCUCACCGAGAAACAAGAACAAAAGAAUAGCUAUAUAUAUAAUUAUAUAAUAUAACCACACCUAGUUGUACCGGGAAAACAAUCCAACCGGGGGAUUGUUUGACUAGUCACCAUGGCAGAGUCAAAGUAAACAAAUUCCUCAAUUCACCAUGUGACUAGGGAACGAGCUGUCCAACUGGGGGACCAACUCUCAGCCAGCAUGUACCGUCGAUAGCCUCAAAACCCGUACGUCUGUGACCAGUCCUACGCGUGCAGACUACCCAAUCAAGGGUUUACAGCAACAUCCCAUCAAGGAUGCCCUAGGUUCCCACAAUUCCAAGUAUCUCAAGUUUGCGUAUCCAAGUUCCAAAUCCGGGGAGGUACAUAGGGUAGUGCUUAUAGCACUCCAAAUUGACAUUCUAUACUCAUCACUUUCCACAAUCUCAUCUCAACAACCUAAGUACCCCACACAUAGCCAAACAUAUAUAGAAAUUCUCAAAAUCCAUAUAUACAUACUCAAGAUACUCAAAUAUGUCAAAAUCCAAAAUAUAUUUCCAAUGCAUCAUAAAAAUAUCACUUUUAACAAUUGAAUAAAUAAUAUAUAUCCAAUAUACCAAUUAAAACAUCAUGCAUAAUAUUUCCCAUCAUAAAAUCAUGCAUAAGAUUUGAAAACAAAGUCCACUCACAAGUAGUCCCACACUGCUUGACCUUGAGAGGGUCCCGCCUACUGCGUAUGCGUGGUUGGAGUACCUAUUUCAGAAUACGUAUACGAGAUUAAUAAGAAGCGUUUCGAACGAGAACUUUGAAUUAAAUAUCCUAAUUUCCCAGGUUUCUAGUAAGUGUACUAGGAACGAGACGUUCUAAGGUUCCACUACCCAAUUCGAACCAUGGAAGAGCUUCGGGAGACACUCGGUCAACCGGCGGUCAAAUUCCCAAAUCGGGUCAACUGGCCCACGGGACCCACGACCUCCGUUUUUAAAAUCCGUAAGUUCCUAAAGGUUUCACAAUGUCUAAGAUACUACUAUCACAAGUUUGGUCCGAAACGGACUGUUAGAUCGCUUACGAUCGCACGAUCAGACGGUUAUUGUAAAACGUAAACUUUAAGUUAUUGAAUCAGAACAUCCGGGGCUCCGAUUCACGAUCCGCGAAUUCCUACACGAUCCUAGGAAGGUCUAGAGUAACAUAUAUUGGAAUGGAGUCGAUCCAAAGGUCCGAACAUAUCGAACCUAGACCGGAUAACUCCUAAUAUGUGAGAUUCGUUCGGGGUUCGAACAUCAACCAAAUUGGAAUCCUAAGGUACCUACGUGCUCGUGACAUUAAGGGGAUCAAUUGGGACAAAAAUGCCCCUCUGCUACAGUGCCCACGUGCCACCACACGCGGCGGUAGAGAGUGGGUGUCCAAAGCGAUUUCUCUUCGCCGGAAAAUCUCCAAAUUACAAGCCACUCUCCUGGCUACAGGUUCUACUCAACGAGUGGAACACUUUAUUCAACUACAGCCAAGUCCAAUUCGGACGGCAAGUGGCCGGAAACUCACGGUUUAACCCGGAACUUCAUGGCUUGGAUUGGGCGACCAUCGUCACCAUUGUCGUGGCACAACCUAGGAAAUAGCUAAAAGGAGAGGAGGGCUACCUAUUCCAAGCGAUGGCGCAGCUCGCGGUAGCCGAAAAUGUAGCCGAUGACGUUGGCAGUUUUGGCCGGUUUUUCACGUCGUUGCCAUCGCCGUUUGUCGAGUUUUCGAUUGGAGAAAAGGGGUGGGGUGAGUAGAGGAGGAAGAGAGGAAGCUUUUGCAAGAAAUGACACUUGUCAGGGAGGGGGGGGUUGGGGGAAGAGAGAGAGAGAGAGAGAGAGAGAGAGAGAAAAAAAAAAAAUUUCAGAUUUUCAUCCAAACCCUUUUCGAAAUAUUUACAAGUUUGCCACUAAACUACUUUUGGUUGCCAAAUCUUCGUUAUAACUCCGAUUCAAGCCUACCACGUGUCUACGGAUUCGUCUCAAUACAACCUACCCAAAAAUACCAGUCACUGCCCCAAACUCUUUUUGGGUAAGAAAAUGACCAAAAUACCCCUACCCCAAGGGUAAAUUCAUAAUUUCACUUCAAUAAUUUAAUAAAGAAUUAAAUUUGGAGUCGGGGUGUUACAUUAACUACCUGUUUAGUAGGUGUGGGGUUUUAUACAAAAAGCAUCGAUGUUAUUGGGAGUGGAACCACUUAUUAUAAGUUGUGAUUUAUUUAGUCAAGUUUCCUAUGUGGGAUUUUCUAUUCUUCAACAAGCCCCCUCAUGUGGGACCACCACAUAGUGGGCCACAUGUAAAGCUAAGUCCACAUCGGAGUCAAUCAUUCAAGCCCAAUACCUAAACACCACGUAUUGUGUGAGGGGUAGGGGUAAACAUUCAAGCCCAACAUGUGAACCACCAAAUAUUAAGUAAGGGUAAAGGCUCAAUUCAGGCCCAAUCAAUGAACCCAUUAUGAUAUCAUGUUAAAUUUCAGAUAGACGGGACUGUGGCCCACCACUAGCAACAUUGAUAUUGUCCCCAACUUAACUACAUGUUUAGUAGGUGUGGAGUUCUAUACAUAAGGUCUCGAUGUUUUUAGGAGUGGAACCACUUAUUAUAAGUUAUAAUUUAUUUAGUCAAGUUUCCAGUCAACCUGACUUUGAUACCAUGUUAAGAUUUUAAAGGGACGAACUCUUGGCACUAUUAGUAACAUCGACAUUGUCCCCAACUUAACCACCUGUUUAGCAAGUGUGGGGUUUUAUCCUAAAGGCCUCGAUCUUAUUAAGAGUUGAGUCAUUUAUUAUAUGGAACUUUCUAUUUUGUUAACUCUGUGUAUUCUUCAUCAAUGUGAACACCCCUAAACCAAUCAUACCUGAUACGAAUUGAAACACAAGUUUGUUUUUUGCCUUUGGUAGAUGAGUAGCUAGAAAAGCUCAAUGCACUUGCUCUUCUGCUACAUUUCAAUAUAAGAACAAGGUUUGGAAGUCAGGUCAACUCCUCAUAGCUUCCUUGCCUUUGCUUUGACAUGUCUAUGCACUUCUUGGGGAAGUUUGAAUAAUCCAUUGCAGGCCCCAUGACAACUAAGGAACCAACAUUUUGUAGAAGGUUUUGUCUAUACCUUUUGACUAUAAGUAAAAUCUUUUGUAUCUGCUCUUAUGUUUCGGUGAAGUUUCUAUGUGUCCUUUGUGCCGAGUUUCUAUGCGUCCUUUGUUGAACCAAAAAAUGAGGUUGUUUCUUACUAGAUUCAAAUACUUAAAAGAAAAAAAGAAAUUGUUGUUUCUUAAUGGAUUUUAUGAUGAACAAUAUCAAACUCUCCUCUUAUACGUCUGUUGGUAAAUUUUAACAACAAUAUUAAAACCUUGCAAGUGCACAAAUCAAAUGAUAGUAUAGUAAGCAAGCAAGGGUCGAUCCCACGGAGAUUGUGAUCUAAAGAGAUGUUUAUCAAUGUCACGCAAUGAAAAUCAAAACAAAGGACUUCCAAACACACGCCAACACCAAGGGGGGUUUUGAUUUGUUUUUGUGAAUCAAACAAAAUAAGGAAAAGGAAACAAAAGAGAAUUUAAAUUAGAGUUUAAGAGAAAUUGGUUUAAAAUCAAUCAAGAUCAAUAGCUAGGACUUACUAUCCACCUCCAAACAAUCAAUCAAUCCAUAAACAACAAUAGAUAAUCAAUUUCUAGUAAGCACACUACUACAAAAAAGCAAAAAGACGACGGUAAAUCACCGUCGUGUAUUCGGUUUUUCAAUGGUCGUGGAAUCCACCGUCAUCUUUUCCCUCAUAAACCACGACGCUAAAUCACCGUCGUUGUUACAAUAUACAACGUCAUCAACAAAUACAAAACGACGUCUUUGUACUGCAAAAAGAUCUAAAAAAGCAAUCGAUGAUGAGAAAAGACGACCAACUCUCUAAACAAACCGUCGUUAAAAAGAAAAAAUAUGACACAUAUUAACAGAACAUGGCCGCAAGAUAGACAUACAACGACGAAAAUUAAAAUAAGACGCCGUUAAAUAUCAUUUUCACGACAAUAAAAAAUAUGUCGUCUUUAAAUACAUUAGAAGACGACGUUAUUGAUACCUACUACGUCGCCUAUAUAAAAAUAACCGUCGUAAAAUAAAUUUUCCACUUCGAUUUUUCUAUAAAAGAUGACGUGGAAAUAGUUGUCAGUGUCAUUAUUUACGACGUAUGUAUUUAUAGAGUAGACGUUGAACAACGAAACAACGUCGGUUACAAAUAUAUGAGAGUCGUAUUACAAAAUUUAUACGUCCUAUUUUCAGAAACAAACAACGACGAUAAAUAUUAGACGUUGUUAAAUAAAACAACGUCGAAAACAAAUAAAAACAGACGUGUUUAGUCUGCUAAAGUUCUAAAAAAUAGUCGAGGAUGAGAAUAGACGACCAACUCAAACAAAUCACCGUCGUUAAAAAGGAAAAAUAUGACACAUAUUAAAAGAACAAGGCCGCAAGAUAGACAUACAACGACGACAACUAAAACACUACGCCGUCAAAUAUAAUUUUCACGACAAGAAAAAAUAUGACGUCUUUAAAUACAUGAGAAGACGACGUUAUUGAAAUAUACUACGUUUCUUAUUUACAAACAACCGUCGUGAAAUAAAUUUUCCACUUCGAUUUUUCUAAAAAAGAUGAUGUGGAAAUAGUUGUCAGUGUCAUUAUUUACGACGUAUGUAUUUAUAUAGUUGACGUUGAAAUGCGAAACAACGUCGGUGGCAUUUAUAUAGUCGACGUUGUAUUUAUAUGUAUUCAUUACUCACGACGCACUUAUUAAUAUAGACGACGUUGAACUUCUAAACAACGUCGGUUCCAAAUAAAUGAGAGCCGUAUUACAGAAAAUAUAGAUGGCGUUGAUUAUGAUGAGAGCCGUAUUACAAAUAACGUCGUUUAAUUGAUAUUAGACGGCGGUUAUAAUGAAUUACCGUCGGAAUUCAUUUCGUUCCUCUUCGUUUAUAAAAGAACUUGCGACGUGGAAAAUGUAUGAUGACGUCGUAUUUUUUAACGUUCAGAUUAUAUAUCUCGUUUUUUAGACGUCGGUAUUAUGGGAUUGGAGUCGUGUUAUUUUGAAUUACAUGGCGGUUCUUAAUCCUUCCCCGACGUGAUAUCCUGAAUAAUUGCUUCAUAAUAGCGUCGUGGUUCUUCAUUGUUACGUUGCUUUAAGACGUCGGUAAAUAUGCUGAAUAACUGGUUCACAAUAACGUCGUGUUUUAUUUGAACGUAGAAAGUGAAGAAAUCACAUUACAAUAUAUUACAAAAUUAAUGUCAUACACUGCCAAUUACAUAAGCAUCAUUCAAUCCAUAUAUCUUCACACCCAUCUCGAAUAUUUUGACCGCCUAACUCACCCACCAGUUCAUCAAAUGUGUCAACAUUUGGCAUCCCUCUAGUAAAUGGCUCACACUCAAUUAUCACAUCACCUAAGACUUCAUCACCAAUAACAUUAUUAUAUUCUCUAUUAGGCAUUGAUAACACUACCGACCAACCACGAUGCAUCGGGUCGUCAACAAAAAAUAUUUGUUUGACUUGAGAAGCCAAAACAAAUUGGUCAUUCCUAUGUCCAAUUUUACUCAAAUCUACAAGGGUAAAUCCAAGUUCGUCGACUACAAGACCAGAACUAUCUAUCCAAUCACACCUAAAGACUGGGAUUGUAAACUUUUGGUAGUCAAGGUCCCAAAUUUCUUGAAUGACACCAUAGAAACCCAUAUUUGAGAGAAUUGAGUUUUUAUCCUUGGCACUAGCAACUUGCAUGGUAUGUGCAAGUAAAUAAACUCCACUAUUUUGAGUUGUCCGCACAUCAUCUUGUGCCUUGAUAUUGAAUUUAAUACCUUUAAUAAGAUAGCUCCUAUAUAAUGGCACAGCCAUGUUUGGACCAGCUGCUAGCCACCUUAAAUUUUCUGAUACGCCAUGAUUGUCUUCCUCAAGUUCACUUUGAACCUGCAAAUUAAUCAUAUAUCUUAAUGCAAUCUAACAUAGAAAUAAGAAGAAAAUUAAAAGAGAAAUAUGUUAUUCAACAACAUAUACCUUGAAGCGUAGCCAUUGAAUGAAAGUGUUAUUGUGCUUAUCCUGCAGCCACUUUGUGAUUUAAGGUAUGACAAUCAUGUGAUUUAAGGCCAAGAAGUCUUGAAUCUUGUAAAGAUACAAGAUUUUUAAUAUUUGAAGAAUAACCUUCAGGGACCUUCAUACCAUAGAAAGAAUUGCAAACCUCUCUCUUCUCUGCUCUUGACAAAUUCCAAGGCCCAGGAGGCAAACGAGUACGUCUUUCUCCAUACUCGGGUUGCAAAUCAGUUUUGACCCCCAUGUUCAAUAAAUCUAAUCGAGCAGCAAUCCCAUCUUUAUUUUUUCCAGGGAUCUCCAGCAAUGUACCAAUGAUACUAUCGCAAACAUUCUUCUCAAUGUGCAUAACAUCUAGGGCAUGCCUCACAGGAAGGUAUUUCCAAUACUCGAGAUCAAAGAAUAUUGAUUUCUUCUUCCAACAAACUCUGUCACCAUUUUCAACCAUGUGCAGCACUUCUUCUCCGGUUAAUGGCUCGGGAGGUAUGCCAUAUUCAGGUUUCCCAUUAAAAGCUGCACGUUGCCUCCUAUAUGGAUGAUUGAUUGGUAACCAUUUUCUAUGCCCAAUGUAACAAAUUUUGUGGCCAUUUUCAACCUGUGACUAGGUGUAUCAUCGCCGCAUAUUGGACAAGCUUUAUAUCCUUUAACAACACAACCAGAUAAGUUUCCAUAGGCGGGGAAAUCAUUAAUUGUCCACAUUAAUGCAGCUCUGAGUGUAAAGUAUUCUCCAUUAUGUGCAUCAUACACUCCUCUAAUCCCAUCCCACAAAGAUUUUAAAUCAUCAAUCAAAGGCUCCAAGUAGACGUCUAUAUCAUUUUCGGGUUGUUUAGGACCGGAAAUCAAUAAGGUUAACAUCAUGAACUUUCGUUUCAUGCACAGCCAUGGAGGGAGAUUAUAUGUAACUAAGAUAACCGGCCAACAACUAUAUCUGCUACUUAGAGAACUGUGGGGAUUGAAUCCAUCAGAUGAAAGAGCCAAUCUCAAGUUUCUCGGCUCAUUACCAAACUCAGGCCAUUUAUCAUCAAGAAGUUUCCAAGACGGGGAAUCCGCCGGAUGAGACAUCUGACCGUCAAUUGAUUUUCUAGCAGCAUGCCAAGUCAAACUCUUAGCUGUCUCAUGUGAUUGAAACAUCCUUUUAAACCUUGGAAUUGGAGGAAAAUACCACACCACCUUCGCUGGCACAUCCUCUUUCAAGAUUGAAUCUUUGCCUUCCUUCCACCUUGAGAUACCACAAGUAGGACAAUUAGUUGAAUCCUCAUACUCCUUCCUAUACAAGAUGCAAUCAUUGGGGCAUGCGUGCAUUUUCUCAUAACUCAGCCCCAAUGCACACAAAGUCUUUUUUGCCUCAUACAUAGAGGUUGGUAUUGUAUUUCCUUCUGGAAGCAAAUCGCCUUGAAGUAUCAAUAAUUCUGUAAAACAGACAUCACUCAUCCCAUGUUUUGCCUUCAAAUUAUACAACUUCACUAAUGCCGAUAACUUCGUGUACUUUCUACAACCAGGGUACACUGGUUGAUCUCCAUCCCCAAUCACAUUGGCAAACUCAUACGGAUCGGAACCAAAAUCACCAAAAUCAUUAUCAUCCAUAUCAAUUUCUUCAGACACAAAACUGUACCUACUAUGGCCAUCAUCUUCUUCAACAUUUCUACUAGCAUUAGUAGUUGCUUCCCAAGGUUCUCCGUGAAAUGUCCAAUUCUUAUAGCUUUGGUCAAUUCCAUUAAAGUAUAAGUGAUCCCUUAUAAUUCCAACCCCAAACAACUUCAAAUUAACACAUUUAACACAUGGACAACGGAUAUGUGUUGUAGUUAGAAGAUUUUCUACAGCAAAGUUCAAAAAUGCUUCCACCCCAAACUCAUAUGCCUUCGAUCUUCUAUCCGAGUGCAUCCAUGACUUAUUCAUCUCCGACACUAUAACCUAUUAUCUAUAAUAAAGUGAAAAUACAGGCAAUGACCAUCACUAUAGCAGAUUAUACAAAGAUCUAAUAGCAAGUAAUACAUAACAGAGACGACGGGUUUUAAACAAAAACAGACGUAUUUGGCAUAUAUAGACGACGGAUUUUCAACAGACGUCGUCUAAUAUAAGUAAUACAAACGACGGUUUAUGAAAAAACCGUCGUGUAUAAGUAAUACAACGACGGUUUUUUCAUAAACCGUCGUGUAAUCGUCGUCGUAUGCCUAAAAAGGCGUCGUGUCUCAGUUUAUUUUCAAGAACCCAAAACCCAUUAAGAACACAACAUAUAUAUGAAACCAAGCAAGAAACCAACAUAUACAUGAAGCCAAGCAUGAAAACAAUAAAUCCAUUCCCAAUUCAACAUAACAUAGGGUGAUUAAAAGAUCCGACAAAAUUAAAACCAUUCCCAAUUCAACAUAACAGAUAAUGUAAUCCAUGAACCCAUUAAACAGAAAAUCCAUGAACCUAUACCUAUAAGCACAUUAUUAACAGAUCGCAAAGCAUAUACCUAAAACCCUUUAACAAAACAACCUAAUAUCAUUCAAUGAAUUUACAAAGGGAAGAUAGGGUUUGUACUUACAGGUUGGACGAGCUCACAGAUUCGACGAAGCCUGGAGAGUGCAACUUUUAAUUAGAGCAGAAGUGAGAGAGCGAAUGUUAUGUUGCGCGAAAUCUGAAAAUUUUAGGGUUCAGGGUUAGAAGUAUAAGAAUAAGAGCCAAAUAUAAAAAAAUUUAGGGCGCGCGAAAAUUUUUAGAGCGCGCGCUCUUUAAAACGUCGAAAGAAAAACCAUGGCGAAAGUUCUACAAGAACCGACGUAAAUGUAAUAUUCCACGACGAAAACACUUAACGUAACGCCGUUUAUUUUGACGUUCAUUUUUCGGAUUAAUUUUAAAUUUAUUUUGAAUAUUUUGAUAUAAAGACGACUGAAAAACCACGUCGAAGUUAAGAAAUUGAAAACGUUGUAAAUUAUAAUAGACGACUUACAUAUUAAAAUGACGUCGUUUAAAGUGGAAACCAUGUCGGAUAUUUUACUGCACGACGUAACAUAUGUAUUCCACGACUCAACCACCGUCGUUAACAAUUAAUACCCUAAACCCUUAAAACUAAAUUAUAUAAUUUUAAAAAUUAAGUUUAUAAAAGGGUUUAUGGUUUUACAGCCUAAUAUAUACCCUAUACUACCCAAAAAUUAUACUUUAAAAAUAAACCCCAAUAAAUAACAACCCUAAUCUCUAAACCCUAGACUCUAAACCCUAAACCAUAAAACUAGAAGUGAUUUUAUGACUCAUCAAAACAAUUUUGUUUUGGAUGGUCAUUUUAAAUUUUUUUUAUUCAAAAUGAAUUUUUUCAAGGUUUAGGGGGAAGAAAAUAUAUCAAUGACUUCAUAGGAGUUGACUUUUCAUUUUUCUGAUUUAUUUUAAAUUUAUUUUGAAUAUUUUGAUAUAAAAAUAAUAAAAUAUUCUUAUCACAAUAACAAACCACGUCGGUGUUAAUAAAUUUUAGACGUUGUAAAUUGUAAUAGACGACUAAGUUGUUAAAAUGACGUCGUUUAAAUGAGAAACCAUGGCGGAUAUUUAACUAUCCGACAUAAAAUAUAUAUUCCACGACUUAACCGCUGUCGUUACAAAGUACUACCCUGAACCCUUAAGAAAUUGAAGACGUUGUAAACCAUAAACGACUCAAUUGUUCAAAGAACGUCGUCUAAAUAUCCUUUUACGUCGGAUUUGGUUAAAACGAAACAACAAAAAACGACGGCUUUUGACUUUAUUACGUCGUUGGAAAAGUAUUACACGUCGGUUACGCAAUUUGUAUGUUUGUUUUUUUUUUUAAUUUAAGAAAACCUCAACAAAUUUUUACAUUAUAUAUUAUAGACAAAAUUUGUACAUUAUACAUAAAUAUCAAGUGUUCAAUAAUUCCCCUAUUCCAGGUGAAGGCAAACAAACUCUGACCAUUCAUUCCGGACUUCAUCAAUUGCUUCUUGGGGGUAUGGCGCUUCCUGUUUUCCCUUGGCAUACUGCAUAAACAAUGACUAUUAGGGUUUAUAAAUAAAAAGAAAUUCAAUCACAGACGACGAUAUUUUUCAUAACCGACGUACUAUAUCUAUUCAACGACGGUAAUUUUACAUGACCGUCGUUGAUAAUACAAAAAACGACGUAAAAUGUAUGAAGGUAAUUUCUUCUUACCUUCUUCUCAAACCCCAAGGAAGGAUCCAUGAUGAUGUCCCUCAUGAAGCGCAUCACAUAAUACCCGCAUUCGACAUUGCUGGGUUGCUUUGGUGUCCCUGACAGAGUUUUCCAAAUGGCUGCCUUACGGCCUGGUCUGGCUAUGUGAGAAUUAUAAAUUUUUAUAGCACUGUUCACAAUGUUUUUGGCCUCUUCAUCGACCACACGAUUUCCUGGCAGAGGAUCCAGAAAAUAGACGGUUUCUCUCUUUGCUCUUACAAUCAGCAAGAUCCAAUGACGGCUGCACAAAAUUAAUAUAAAAACGACGGUUAUUUACAAUAACGACGUAUUAUAAUGUUUCACACGACGAAAUAAAGUAGCAAUCGACGACAUUUUACAUUUAUCACGACGAUAAAUAACUACCGACGUGGUUAGUAGUUUCAAACGACUCAAUAAAAUAAAACACCGACGUGGUUAGUUUAUACGCUGUAAUUUAUUGAAAAUCAUAAAAACAAAAUCCUGUUAAGGAGACUAACCCUGGAUUGUAAGGCAUCAGGAAAAUCUGUUCACCGUCAGUCUUUUGAAGUCGAGCUGCUAGUAAGCGUGAUCUGUCAGCUAUUGUGCCAGAGUUGGCACUAACUGUAGCAAGGUCGAUAAAGCCAACCAUAUUGCACAUAUUUGCUCGUUUCAAAACAUCGUGCAAGUGCCUAAAUAUAUAAAAUAAUAUAAACAAGUCAGCACAAAAAAACACACGACGGUUAUGUAUAACAAAACGACGUAUUAUAAAAUUUCACACGACGUACUGAAAUAGACAACGACGUUAUAAUAUAUUUAUCACGACGGUAAAUACUAACGACGUGGUUAGUUAGUUAAGACGACGUAAUAAAUAAACCAACGACGUAUUAUUUUAGAAUGACAAACCUCAUAUAUACAAAAAAACACGACGGUUAUGUAUAACAAAACGACGUAUUAUAAAAUUUCACACGACAUACUGAAAUAGACAACGACGUUAUGAUAUACUAACGACGUGGUUAGUUGGUUAAGACGACGCAAUAAAUACACCAACGACGUAUUAUUUUAGAAUGACAAACCUCAUAUAUACAGCAAUGACAGUGGCUCCUAUUUCUUCCAUGCCUGCAAAUUGUGUAAUAUCUUCAGGCAGGAGGAAGGUAUCGCGCUCUAGACCAAACACCUCCUUAUCAAUUGUAAAGUGCAGGGUCUUAUCCUGAGGCACGAGUGUCGUUUCCACAUAACGACAAAGGGAGUUUAAAGAAGAUGGCGCCUCCAUAUUUGAAUAAUCAACAACUUUAAUAACCUGUUUAAAGAAAUAUAAAAAAUGACGUGGUAAUUCAAUAAAAACGACGGUUUAAGGAAUAAAACGUCGUCUGAAAAGAAUUUAAACGUCGUCUGAAGAAACCGUCGUGGUGAAUAAUUUAUUACGUCUUAAAAAAAAUUCCGCCGUCUAAGUUGUAAACAAACGACGGUUUAAAGAAAAAUAUCGACGUCUGGAAUUUUGAAAAACAAAUAAAAAAGGCAAAGUUAUGUGAACAUACCUGGUCGUCAUCUUCUUUCUCCUUUUCAUCAUGUUUUUCUUCUGUCUUCCCUUCAUCUAUUACGUCGAGAAUGACUAACUCCGUCGUCUAAAAACCACAAAGUUUUAAAAUAACGACGUUUAAUGGCGUGUAAAACAAGUAAACUAAAUACGACGUGGUAUUGAAAUACAAACGACGGUUUAUGUUUAAAAUCGUGGUGGUAUGUAUUUCAAACGACGGUUUUAUUAAUAAUAACGACAUCUAAUGGUUUUUAAAAAAACAGAGAAUUCAAAGUUCAGAUAUGUUACCUUUUCUUCCUGAUGUUUCCCAUUUUUGGCAGUAUCAUCCUCAAAAUGCUGGGAUCUCACAUCACCUCCAGAGCAGCUUGCUUUGUCAGACAUUGGAUUUUUGGGACUUUGGCUAAUUCUGGGUUUAAGCAUGCUUGGAUCAAAAUUGGGAAUUAAUUGGGAAAGCUGACUCAGGAAAUGCUCCCUCUCAGCCUCUACCAAUUGUUUCGUUCUAGCCUCCAUCCUUAAAGCCUCUUCCCUUGCCUUAGCUUCCAUCUUUUUAGUCUCUUCUUGAAGGAGAACUCUUAAACUGUCCUUCAAACGGUCGUCAAAGCUCACUCUCUGUGGUUUGGGUAAAUUGAAAUAUUGCCUUGGUGAGAUCCCAGCACCUACUCCUCUCACUCUGCCUGGAUGCUCGGGGCCCAAAGCCAUGGUCAGCACAUCAUUGCUGCCAGAAACAGUGACUUUGCCUUCCGAGACUUGUUUUUGCAAUUCAUCCUAAAACAAAGAUAUAUAAAAAAGUAAGAACAAAAACACACGACGGUUAUUUAUAUACAAACGACGUAUUAUAUAAUUUCACACGACGCAAUAACAUAUAAAUCGACGUUAUUAUAAUUUAUCACGACGGUAGUUUUUAAACCGACGUGGUUAGUUUUUAAAACGACGAAAUGAAUAAACCACCGACGUCUUAUGCUUUAUUUACAGAUAACAGAGGGAUGAUUCAAUAUUCACACCUUUAACGACCUUGUUUAAAAUAUUUCGACGUAGUAAUUCAAUACAAACGACGCGAAAAUGAACCACCGACAUCUUAUGCUAUAAUUACAGAAAACAGAGUAGUGAUUCCUGAUUUAGACCUUUAACGAUGUGGUAAUAUCAUUCACACGACGCAAAAUAUAACAUAAGACGUAAUAAGAAUUAUUCACAGUUUAAUAAAAAUUUAAAACAGAGUGAGUAGGCUUACAAUUAAUUUUGCUUUCUCUGCCACCUUUGGAUCCGGGAUGUUACCAUGUUUGUCCUGUCUAGCUCUCUUCCAUAAGGUAGAUCGAUCAAUUUCUACCCCAGGCAUGGUUUCCUCCAAUUGAUCCUCCAAACCAGCAUAUCCUUUUCGAGACAAUCGAUGAUUGUACUCAAGUUUCUCCCUAAUCUGUGCAUGUUGAGAAUGCACAGACUCAAAAUCUUUGGAUAACCUUGAAGCUACAAAGGCAUCCCAUUGUGCUUUCUCUAUGAAUUUAUAUAUUUCAGGGGGUUGGCUUAAUCUCUCCCUGUCAUUAGUGUAUGGAAGGAUAUAUUGCCUCGUUAGUGUAGACUUGAAAUCCUUCCAUUUCUUGGCAGCAGAAGCUAACACAGAGCUCUUGCCCCCUUGACCUACCACAAAAGCAAUGUCAACUGCUUCCCAAAUCUGCUCCUUUAUAUCCUUGGAGAUUUGAGCCUAUUUCAUGUCCACAAGUGGAACUCUGGAGCGUGCCAACACACCAAUGUAGGACUGCAUCUCACUAUGUGCUUGGCCAAUUCCUUUCCCCCUUUUAUUGUACUCAACAAUUGGCCUCAGUUUCUGAAGUUUUCUCUUCACAACAUGAGGCAUUGUGCUCAUACCUCGACCAGACUUUGAAUCAUCAGAGAUUGUUGUCGUGCUGGUUCGUUCUGUCUCAGCAGAUGAUGAAGCAAACUUCAUCUUCUUCGAAGGCUUCACUUGAGGAGGUACCAUUCCAAGGUCCUUACCUCCAUUUUUCUUGGAGCCAGAAUCCUUACUUUGGUCUUAGUGAGAAACCAUUUUUACAGACAAAACUGCAAGUGAAAAUAUUUCAGGAAAAGAUUAAGAACACAAACGACAGUUAUUAAUAAAAUACGACGUAUGAUAUGAUUUUAAACGACGCAAUGAAAUAAUCUCAGACGUAAUAAAUGUUUAAAACCAAGGUAAUUAAACAACGACGAAAUAAUUAACUAUAAACGACGUGAUAAUUAACUAUAAACGACGAAAUAUUUAUAUAACGUCGUGGUAUUGAUGUUCACACGACGUCAGUCGUAAUAUACCGUCGUCUAUAUAAGGAUCCAAAACCCUUCUUUCUUUCUCUGUGAAUGUUUGAUUGCAGAUUUGAUUUUUCUGAACCAUGGUUUUUGUUUUCUAAUUUGAUAAAAUACAAGGCCAAGAAAGAAAGUUUUGGAAUCUUAUAUAGACGACGGUAUUUUAAUAUGACGUCGUGGUAUUAACAUUCACACGACGUAAAACAAUAAGAUACUGUCGUCUAUAUUAGAUACCAACCCUACUUUCUUUUUCUUUAUAUUUUAUCAAAUUAGGGAAAAACAAAAACCAUUGUUCAGAGAAAUCAAACCUGCAAUUAAACAAGCAAAUAAAAAAAAGACUAUAAUUUUAAAAACAACUUUGUCAAUUUUCAGACGACGCUAGAACGACUGACGAACCGUCGUGGUCUACAUAUUUAACCACGUACAUAAGAAGCUACCGUCGUCUUAUUUAGUUGAGGUAGUUGUCUUCAAAGUUGGAAACUUUCCCUCUUUGUCUGUAUAUUUUAUUGAACUUGGAAAGAAGUAAAAUGAUUUUGGCCAGAAAAAAGGUAAAAAGAUUUUUCAAACAAAAAACGUAUGAGCAUGCAAAACAACAACCAAAAUAGUGAAAAUGAAAGCUUACCUUUUGCGUGCAAUGAAAGCAAGAGGAAGAUUAUGUUUAAGUUCAGAGACGACGAAGAAGAAGAGAGGAAGACGAUGAGAUACUCUGACAGUGCUCUGACAAGGAAAAAAGUCUAAAAGUUUUCUCUGGGAGAUUGAACUUUUUAAUCGGGUUUGAAAACGGCGCAUGUGUAUGUCAGGUAGACGAAAAGUUGCUUACAUAUAAAACCAUUUCAAAAAAAUAAUACGGCGGUUACAUAUAACUACGACGUAUAAAUUACAAAAUACGACGGUACAUUUAACUUCGGACGUGGUAAAUAAAUACGACAGUAGUGUUGUAGGUACCGUCGUAGUAAACUCAAAAAUUAAAGUACAUAAGUAAUAACUCGCGUCAUGGUAGAUUAUUUAACACGUCGUUUUUAUUAAUUUACCGACGUGGAUUUCUGUAAUAUACGUCGAUAAUACCGACGUUGAUUUUACAAUUUAAACGGCGGUUUUUUUGUAAGGACCGCCGUUGGUUUUAAAAAUUUAUUCUAUAAAUUUGUCGCUUUCAUUCAUUUUCGGUUUACAUUUAAGGUUCCAAGUUCUUCCUCUCUCAGUCUCUCACGUCUCAAAGACAAUAAUUUGGAUGUCUUUCUCAAAGAGAAAUUGAGCUUACUCGCAUCAAAUAUAUGUCCACAAGAAGAAGCUUGUCAACUAGCCUUCUCACUUCCUUGAUCAAGCCUGAUAGGACACUUAGUGCUUCUGAAUACUCCUUGCUUUCCAUCAAAAGAGAUGCAAGCCUGGCCUCCACUCGCUGUCGAAGGAAAGUUCGCUUCUCAGGGAAAUCUUCUUGAUUUUCUUGGCUAAGAAGAUCCGUCAGAUUUGUGAUAGCCUCUUCCUUUAUCCGUAGAGCUUCAGAAGAAGAAGAUGGGUUUCAAGAAUGCGAUAAAGAAUAGAAAUGGCUUCAGAUGGCCUCUAAAGCAUGAGCAAUCGAAUCAGUAGUUGUUGGGAGAUAUGAUGAAGACAUUGUCAAUGCUUUGAACUAUACAAGUCCUGCAGAAAGAUAAAGGACCAAACUGUUAAAGAAACUGAAACAAUGGCGGUUUUCUGUUCUACCGUCGUCUUUUCUCGUCGUCUAUAUUAAGGUAAGAUGGCGGUAGAUUUAUAAUUACCGACGUAGAUUAUUUUGUUAAACGUCGUUAAGUGUACUACAACCGACGUGGAUUUUAUUUUUAAAUUAUAAAUAGAGUUUUUUUUCCCCUAUUCUUUCAGUUUUAGUUUUCAAUUACAAAGCGUGAUAAAUAGAUUUUUCUUUCCCGAGGAAAUUUAAAAUGAGGGAAAUUAAUGUUCUAGAAUUUGUAAACUAACACGACGCAAUAUUUGCAAAUCUGUGUCAUCUGUUAAGAUUAUGAUGUGGAACAGAGUUCCAUCUGGUAAGAUUUCGUAACCCUUGGGAUCUCAGACAAAUCUGAUUAUGUCGGCGGUUUUCUAUAUAAAUCGUCGUGGUUAUUUCAAUUCUUGUCAUUAAGUAGAUCUACCGACGUAGGAUAAGAAAAUCAAAGAAAAAAAUUGUUAACAAAAAUUCUUAUUAAGACGACGGUUAAAAUUAAAGGUACGACGUAUAAAAUGAAUAAAUACGACGUUAAAUUUUAUUGUACGAUUUAAAGAUAACGUCGUAGAACUAUAAGAGAAUGACGUCGAUAUAUUUAUAUUUUCCGUCGUUGUACAUUAAUUUAAUACGGCGAUAUUUUGUAUUUUAAAGCCGUGGAUUUGUUUGUAAUUAUACGGCGUCUUAUACGAAAACCUCGUCGUGUUAUUUUAUGAGUAAAAACGGCAGUUUUUAUUGAAAUCGUCGUCUUUACUUUCUACGUCGGUCGAUUCAUAACUUCUGCCGUUCUUUGUUGGCAUUGAUUUUACACUGCGAAAAUCUGUUUCAAAUAGACGUCGGUUGUUUAAUUAUGUACGUUGUUGUUUUUGAACAGCCAUUUGAAUCUCCAUUUUUUAGUUGUCUAAGGUUGUAUUACACGACGGUGUUUUUAGAACCGUCGUCUUUUUAAAAACCACGACGGUUUUCACUUAGACCGUCGUUGUUUUCUGGUCGUCUUUUUCACUUUUUGUAGUAGUGGCAUAUGAUGACGACACUCACAACAAGAUCAUGGCAUUUGACUCGAGUUGUAUGAUUCUCUCUUAAGUGUAUGUAAAGUGUAUGACAUUUACAUCAAUACGUGUAUUCUUAAUUGAAAUCUACUAUGGCAUUUACUCAAAUUAACAAUCAAGAAUCCAUUAAGAUCAAAGAGAAUAUGAGUGUCACAAAAACCCUAAAACAUGGCAUUUGUUAUUAGGAAUUCAAGAAUCGAUUUCUCAUAACUAGUUCUUAACCCAAUUAUUCGUUGCAAAUAAGAACACAUUCAAUAUGGCAAUUGACCUAUGUUCUACAACAAUUUAAUUCCAAUACAUGCUUCUAAGUUAGCUACUCAAAGAAACAAAAUAUCAGAAUUCACAUAACAUAUAGAAACCGAAAACAUCACGCUUGUAGAAACUAAAAAUCCAUUAACCUUGUUUAUAAAAUUGAAAUCAUGUUUAGGGCUUCAAGAUUAAGCCCUAACUAACAAGAAAUUAGUUACUCAUGGUCUUGGAUGAACUCAAAAAUAAAUACAUAAGAACUGAAAAUUAAAGAAGGAAGGAAAAGAAAGAACUCGUUCGCAGCUUUCUCCUCUUGCGCUGUUGAUCUCUUUAGGACGUGAAUCCUUUUUAUCAGCCUUGCCUCGUCUUUUAUAUCACUUAUAUCAGAGUUCUAAACCCUAAAAUUGACUGAAAAGUCGUCCAAGAAGUCUUGGUAAACAAGGAAUCCAAAUAGGAAAGUAAAAAUCACAAUUCCUAACUCCACUGGGAAAUACAGCUCAGCCCAAUGUUCACACGAUUUUGGGAUCUUCGACCUUGUAGAAAAAUCAUUAAAAAUAUAUUUUAGAAAGAUAAAUGUCUUAUCUUUCCAACCAUAUAUAGCACGUAACUUGAAAAAUUCGGAAAGGCUUCCGUUUCUUCACAUUCACGUAGCAUGUACGAAACUGUCCUGUCUGCACGUGGGCUAACUUUACUUGUAAUACUGUACCAAUUGGCUCGGUAGAAAAUUCUAGAAAAAUCAUAGAUUGAACUUCAAGAUGUUAGCUUUCAUCUCCAAUCAGGGGCGGCCUUGGGGAGGUGCAAGUGGCGCCACCGCACAGGGCCCCCGAAAAAAAAAAUAUUUAUAUUAUAUAUAUAUAUUAAUAUUAUAUGAAUCGUAUAUAUAAUAUAGCGUCUGGAUAUUUGCACAACAGCGUGUUCAGGGGAGUUGGAUGGAGCACAUCUCUCUUUGGCAAAAGGGCCCGAGUUCGAUGCUCCUUGAUGUCGUUCUACUGGCUAGCCUUUUGUGAUAUUAUUUUUGCAUUCAAACUUUACAUAAUUAUUGAACCAUUGGAUUAAUAUGCAACGAUGGGUGACCACAAUCUCUUGGACUCCUGUGGUCCAUGAGAUCGGGACUGAUAUUACAUGACUUAUUUUAUUAAAUUAUUAUCAUGUUGAUGAUUGGUUGUAUGAGAAUAUAGUUUGUAGAAAUAUUUAUCUAUUUCUUGUUGGGGUUUUCUUCCAGGUUAUAGGGUUUUGGAAUUUUUCUUUGUAAUCUAAACAUGCCACCUACUAGAAAAUACGUUUAUGGAUAUACAAAACGGCUUAGAAAAAGAAAAUUCGAGGAAUUGACUCAAUCUCAAAGAGGAGCUCUUGAUAGAUUCAUUGUUAGAGAAUCACAUGCUACAAUUGAUGAAAAUAUUUAAAUUUUUAUGAAUUUAAUUUCUGAUUUUCAUUGCAUAUUUAUUGAUGGUGAAUUUUAGUUAUAAAAAAAAAUUGUUUAUGACAUUAAGUUAUGGCAAAUUUUUAUAGUAUUUUCGUAUUAGAUUAUGCAAGGCCCCAAUUUAAGUUUCGCACAGGGCCCUCAAAAUCUCAGGGACGGCCCUGUCUCCAAUUGGUCUUGUGCUAAAAUUCCUCCGAAAAGUUGAUUUUCCCUUAAAAACCUUCUAAGAGUGCAGAAAAGCUGAAAAUCAGAAAAAUAAAGUAAUAAGCCAUUUUUAAAUCUAAUUCUCUUACAAAACCAAAGUAAAAAGAGUACAUAAAUGAGUAUAUUUAUGGACUUAUCAACGUCUUCUUCGUUGGACUUGGGGUUGUUUUCCUUAUAUGUCCCCUAUAUAUAUAUAUGGCCUUUAGUUGAGCCCACAAAUACCUUCAGUUAGUUUUUGGGUUUAGGGGCCUACAGAACCUGCACUAAACAAUAAAAGAAAAUACCUAAUUAGUUUAGUACGAAUUUAUAAUGAAGGCUUUAUUAGGUGAAGUUUUAUUUCUUAAUCGUUAGAUCAAAUUGGUUAGCAUCUGAAGUCGCCCAAAGAUUUGAGAGGGAUUCCACAAACAUAUAAUAUAAAGAAAGAAAGCAAUAGUAGGAGAUGAACCAGUACAAAAAACAAUAUAUAAAUAGUACAUAAUAAUUCCAUAACCUUGUCACAAACGCACUCACAAAUGCUUUCCAUAAACCUUGCCCUAACAUAUAACAAAUAAAGGCAACAUUGCAUAUGAUGCAACCAUGUCCAAAUCUGAUACGUGAUAAAAAAAAAAGGACAUGGCAGCAACAUAUGACUGAAGUAGAUGGGCUCUUUGCAUCUCGUGUUAUCGUAAUUAAAGACAUCAAAAUAUUAAGGUUGAAAUCUUCUAUAGUAGCAAGCAUUAAAAUAGGUUUGAAGCAGAGUUUAAAGAAAAUUCCAAUUCCACUGAUUUGCCUCUGCUCAAAGACGAGAACCAAAAUGGUUACUUCCCUUGCUGAGUAUAUUUGUUAACGUCGGAAACGGUAAUAGAUGACCAAUCAAACCCAAGUACGACGAGUUUUGCAUAGGAUCAGAAGUAGUUGAAUCCAGCUUGCAUCACACGCUUCUUUGACUCCAUUGCAUUAGAUGAGUUUUUGUAUUUUUGAACAGCUACACUCCGAAGUCGUUUGUGUCUACGCUUCAUGCGCUGCAACUUCGCCCUAUCCAGAUUGGCCUGCCUUUUGUCAUCUUCAAUUUGGCCUUCAACAAAUUCCAAACGUGCCCUUGCCCUUUGGAUUUCAUCACCAAGUUGAAGAUGCCUCUCCUUCCAAAAAGCAAGAACUCUUUCAGACUCAAAACUUCCAACAAAAUGGUCAUUCUAUCUAGGAAUGUGACAUUGCUUGUCUGGUGACUCACCUGCGUUUCAAAGGCGGUCUUUGUUUGGAGGGGUGUUUAUUAUGCUCACAUCAAACUUGGUUAGUAAAUCCAUUCUAUGGGGGGAGUGAGUUUCUGUGGAGGAGAGAGUUUCAGUAGAUGGAGACAGAUUCGGUGGAGGAGUGAGAUUUUUGUGGAGGGAGAAUUUCUAUGAAAUGGGUGAUAGUAAUACCAAUAAAAGGGUUCCCGCCAAAAAGUAUUUGGUUGACAAUGUAUAAAUUAAUUUUUGGUCUGAUACAAUCUAAGUUUAAUCCUAACUAGUUUGGUUAGUUUGGUUGAAUUCACUAACUAGAUGUCACUUCCAUUGAGUUUCUUUCAACCACUAUCAGUGGUGUAAGGAGAGUGUGAGGUUGACAUGCUUGAAAAGCAAAACCUAACACCUCUUUUUUUUAAAAUUGAAAGAAAGUACAUAUGUUGACUACACACAAGCUUUGGUAUGUUGGUCUAUAAAGCUAUGUUCCCUUUCUCAAACGAAAUUGCAUAUGCAAUCCUCGUCCUCCCAAAACAAAUAGAAUUAUUCAAGCAUGUCAACCUCUUCAGGCGCCAACAACACAAUCAAAGAUGACAAAUUGGAGUCGCAGGUUCUAUUUCCACAUUGUACUCGCCGACCCCUUCCAUUUUCAACAUCAUUUGGGAGUGAGGGGGACUCCGAUGAUCCAUUAGAGCUAAUACAUGCAGUCAAUAGCAAGCUGGAUUAUAAUUCCAGACUGAUCAAUUCAUGGCGCGAGAAAUAUGUUGAAGACGAAGCCAUUUUGGCUGAUCUUAACAUUAGAGUGAACAAAGCGUUCUCCCAAAAGAACAAGUACUUGAAGCUGAGUCAUAAAAGGAAGCUGAAAGCUGAGGAGUUAGAUACAGUAAUGAAUGAUGAAAUUAAAGGUUGUUUGAUGAAUCAUAUGCGAUGCGAAGAGCACCACAGUGAACUGGAGUUGGCAUUCAACGAAGGAUUCGAAAAAUUACGAGCAUUUGCAGCAACUACUCAUACAAGUUAUAAUUGGGACUAUGUGUCCCCUGAUGUUGUGAGAGAGAUACUAGACGAUGGUGGUGACAUGAAUGAGCAUAAGCACGUCAAAGCUGCUUGGAAGAAGCCGACCGAUACGACUAAGUGAUUGCGGCUACAGUUGUUCAGUUGGUUGAGAGUGAUCGUGGUAUUGCACAAAUUAGAAGUAUAUUCCCAUAAUGUCAUUAUCUAAUUUAAAAUAACACAAAUAUCAGUUUCAUUUGCUUCAUAUUGUAACACCCCGACCCCAAAUUUCCCCAAAAUUUACCCUCAUUUAAUUAAUUAAUUAUUUAAGGGUAUUUUAGUCAUAUUUUUAACCGGAGAGAGUUUGGGACCAUGACUUGUAUUUUUGGAUAGGUCGUACUGAGACGAGUUCAUAGACACGUAGUGGGCUCGAAUCAGAGUUGUAACGAGAGAGAUAUGGUCAAAAGAAACCCAGUGGCACAAUCGUAAAUAUUUCAAAAUGGGAUUUUUAUAAAAAUCUGGUUUUUCUCUCUCUCUCUCUCUCUCUCUCUCUCUCUCCCGCGACUUCUCUCUCUCUCCCGUCGGCUCUCUCUCUUUCUCUCCUUGUAUCUCCGGCCACCGACCACGGCUGUGGGCGGGGCCGGUACCAAACUGACCGGGACGACGUCCCCUUCCUUCCCCGACCAUUCCCCGCCGGCAACGCGGCCGUUGCUGGCCGGAAAAUGCAGAAAACCGCCGGGAGGUCGUCGAAACUUCAACGCCGUCGAUCUCCCUCCUCCGGCCACCAUUUUCGUCGACCCAGGUAUGGAUCUUGAACCUCUCGAGCUGUUCUAGCUGUUUGUUGGUUGGGUUUUGAUCGAUUCGAUCUCUAGAUCACUCGAUUUUCGAAUUGAAAAUUGGCCGAAACUUCGGCCGCCGUGAUCGGCCAUUUUCGGCCACUUUUUGUGGUAGGUCCAAGAACAAAAGUGGCUCCAAAUAGGGUGUUAUACCUAGGGUAGAAGUUUGGAGCCGAGAUGUUGAGAUUUUCCGGCGAAGCGUUAUCGCUUUGGGCACCCACGCGUGCGGCGGCGCGUGGGCACUGUAGAAAAAGUAGAUGUGUUCCGAUGAGAUCCUUAGGUUGUCACGAGUGCGUAGGAUUUGGCGGAUCUCAAUUCGGACGUCGUUUGACUAUCGAACGGAUAAUCGCAUAUUAUGCGUUAUCCGGGUUCGAUAGGUUGAGACCGUCGGAUGGUCCCAAAUUUAAUAUAUGUUGAUCUAGGUAUUUCUAGGAUCGUGUAGGAUUUCACGGAUCGUGAAUCGGAGCCCCGGAUGUUCCGAAUAAUAAUUUAAAGUUUAUAUUUUAUAUUAACCAUCAGAUUAUGCGAUCGUGAGAAAUCCGACCGUCUGAUCUGAACCAAACUGGCAGGAAAAGUGUCCUGUACCUGGUAGAACCCAUAGGGACCUUCGGAUCGGAAAUUGGAGGUCGUGGGUUCCGCAAGUCUGUUUGACCAGGGUUAGAGUAGUUUGACCCUUGGUUGACCGUGAGUCUCCCGGAGUAAUCUCACCCUUCCAGGGGGAAUUAUCGGGAGCUAGACUAUUGUGGAGGGUUACACAAUAUUAGAAUUAUUUAUAUAAUUAUAUAUGGUUGUACAAGGGUACAACAAAGUCUAGAAUGUCAGUUUGGAGUGCUAUACGCACUACUUUAGGUACCUCCUCGGAUUUUGGAUUCGCUACAAGCACCACCAAGUGAAAGUUAGGUCCCGCGUGGCGUAGGUUAUCCGGCGUUGGGACAGACCCCAUACGUGGCGUUGGUUGUACCGGCGUAUGGGGAGAUUUGCAAUAUGAUGUUCAGGUCUCACGUGGCGUAGGUUAUCCGGCGUUGAGACAGGCCCCGUACGUGGCGUUGGUUGUACCAGCGUACGGGGAGAUUAUGUGAUAUGAUGUUGAGGUCCCGCGUGGCGUAGGUUAUCCGGCGUUGGGACAGGCCCCAUACGUGGCGUUGGUUGUACCGGCGUAUGGGGAGUUAUAUGAUAUGAUAGUAUGGCAUGGUCGCACAUGGCGUAGGUUAUCCGGCGUGUUGACAGGCCCCAUACGUGGCGUUGGUUGUAUCGGCGUAUGGGGAGAAUAUGUGAAAUGCAGAGAAAGGAAAUAAGGUAUCACCGAUGUGUGGAAUUGGGUUUUAGGGAAGAACUACGUGUGGCUUGAUCCCUCAAGGAGGGUACGUAGGCAGCCUAAGGUUAUUGGGUGCAGCCGCAGACUAAAUAUUAGUCAUAUUUGGUAUUUGAAUUGUAUGGUAGUUGUUUGAGAAUUAUUGGAAGGCCAAAGGCCAUUUAUGAGAAUUUGCAUGAAAUUAUAUUGUGCAUGCUGCUAGUUGUGGAUAUUAAAUGUGUUUUUAUGCAGGUUGAAAUUUUGGGAAAUGUCCAAUUUAUAGGGGAGACUCUGCUGAAAUUUCGGCAGGAAGUCUCGGUUUUUAGUAAGUGGGCCUGGCAUCGGGGUGAUGUCAGGAAUUCCAAAGGGUUCGUCUCGGGUUUUGAGAAAAUUCGGGGCGGGUCCUUAAACAUAUAUAAUUAUUGGGACUAUGUAUUGCAAGUCAUCAUGUGUUCCUUCUGUCUAACAUUAUAUUUUGCAAAUAUCAAAAUAUUAUUCAAUAAGCAGUCAAUAUCACAGCAAGUUGGGAAUUAGUAAAGCCCCAUUAUCAUGUCCGUUCACAUUAAAGAGCUGGCGUACUUUUUCUCAAAAAACUGACACGUGAGUCAUAAGUAACAUAACAUGUGCUAUACAUUGUUUAGUGAAUGGUUUAUGGUUUAUUUAUAUAUAAUAAAAUUCCAAAUAUUGCUGAAUAUUUGUUUUUUCUAUAUCCCUGGGAACAUGAGUGACCAUAAGCAUGUAAGACCUGUUAAGAAGAAGCUGACUAAUACGACCGAGUGAUUGUGGCUACCGUUGUUUAGUUGGUUGGGGAGAUCGUGGUAUUGCUAAGAGGGAGCACAUAAUGUGCUUUGCAAUCAAAUUUUCUUUUGUGUGUGGAAUUAUGAGUAGUUCAAAUGUUAGUGUACCCUUUAAUAUUCUUCAACCGUUUGAAAUGUGAUUAGCUGCAAUGUACUUUUUUACACGCUGCUUUCUAAUCACUCUGUUCCAACAAAGUGCUUUAAGUAUCCUUCAGUUACAAAUGUUUACAAAAUCGUGCAUCUAAUAACCAGUCGAGCUCAGAUCUUAAUAACAAGUAAAACACUAGAACAUAACAUUCGGAAAAAGUGGGUGCUGCUGGAAAUCAUUACUGGUAAUGGAAGCAAGAGCUGGCUGCUGGAAAUGCUGCAUUAGCCUGUGAUAUAAUCAAUGAAUCUCUGUUAAAACAUAAUUCACCAUAAACUACCCAUUUUACAUGGUAAAAGUCAUUGCUUCUUCACAUAACUCAAAAUUUGAUACUUUAUCAAAUGUCUAUGAAAAUUUCUAAAUAGGGGAAAGACGUAAAAUUAACAUGUGUCCAAAUUUCAUGCAAGAAUGAAACCAAGCAAAUUUUUAUUUCAAUUAUCAGUGGACAUAGUAAGAACUCAUCGGUGGACAUGAACAAAAAAAUAAUAAUAUUAAAAACUGAAUCUAGAAAACUUCACCUGAUCAUUAGUCUUCAUAACAACCGAAUUUCGUCUAAUAGAAACAUAAAUCAUUCAGUUGGUCCGUGCAUCGUGUCAAAUUCAUAGAAUAAUGGGUCACUACGAUCUAUUGGAGUUGAUUCGUCAUUGUUCGACGGUGAUGUCCUGCAUAGACAUCAAACACAAGCACAGAAAAAAUUUACCUAUUCAAAUUUUAGGUGUUAUUAUAAAUAGUGUUAGCAUCUUACGGUGUGUUCAAAUUUCUUGCGCAUUGUCUUCUAUCAUGACCAAUGUGUCCACACUCCAGACAGUGUCUAAUCCCUCGCUUCAUUGCCUUUUCUUUUGCUCCCGUUACUCGUUUCGACCUUCUUUUGCACCUCACUCUCUUAGGGUCUUUCAUAUAUUGUGUUUGAGAGCUGGACCCUCCAACUUCGUUAUUACUUGGUCCAUCCUUCAACAACUUCAACUUCACCUGCAAACUUUUUAGAGUCUCUGACAGUAGCUCACAUCCUUCUUCACUCAUUAAUGCACCCUCAACCACAUCUUAAGCAAGUCGAGACAUUGUACUCCGCCUUAUUAAAAGACCAGGAUCUGCAGAGUCUUUAAUUUCGUUGCCAUUUGCAUCUGACACCAAUUCAGAUUUUGCAGUUUUCUUCCACCUCUUUAAAAUAUAUUUAUCGGGCAUAUAUUCAAUCUGGUCCCUUCUGAACAAUGCUAGGAUGUGCUUGCAAAUAAUUCCAACAAAUUCAAAUCUUUUGCACCCACACGAUGCGUGGUCAGAAUCUUUAACAUAUACGACGUCUGCCACUCUUGUUUCCCAAUUUUUCCUUUUGCUCACGCGAAAGACAACUUUAGAAGCACCCUCUGUUUUGAGCUCUAGGAAACAUGUUGUACUUUGUAUUAGUUCUUGGUCAAACUUUUGAAACAUUGUCCUUGUGUACAAGGUAGCCAUUUGUUUGUUCAUUGGCAUCGGUAGAAUACAUUGAGCCACUUCAAAUGCAUCUACGUGAUCAGCAACUAACUCUUUUUGACGUUGAUGAGAAAGUGCCCUCUCAAAUCGUAUUAUGAAAUCCAUCAACGAAUUUCUCCUUGAUAUGUAUUGCUUGAAAAAACCAUGAGAACCUUCCACUCUUUGGCUGCUUGACAUUCCAGCGGCAAAAAAUUGUUGUGCGUAGGCUGGAACCCAAGAUUCUCUUAAAUCAAACAUUGAACUUAGCCAUGGAUGGUCAGUCAAACCAGCCUUUGUAACCACAAUAUUCCAUUUUGUAACAAACUUAUCCUUAUUGUCAGUAUCCCAUACGGCUUUCUGAAAUUCACGCCAAUACUCCUUAUAAGCAGAAUGUGGUAACUUAACAGAGAACUUUGAUGUGAUGUGCAAUAUGCAAAGUCGAUGAAAUGUAGUCGGGAAGGGUAUUGAAAUCGCUCUGGUCAUUGCCGCAUCUUGAUCUGUAAUGAUCGUUUUAGGUCCGCCACUUGGCAUGGCUUUCUUAAACUCCUCAAACAUCCAAAUAAACGACUCAGUCGUUUCCUUGCUCAAAAAUGCGCAUGCUUAGACAAUUGUCUGACCAUGGUUAUUAACUCCCAACAUUGGUGCAAAUGUCAAGUCGUAUCGAUUCGUGUUGAAUGUGGUAUCGAAUACAACAACAUCUCCAUAAAACCCGUACGCCCAUCUAGAAGUUGCAUCUGCCCAAAAACAUUGACUAAACCUGUCAUGGCCAUCUCUCUCAAUCUUGAAAUAAAAAGCCUCAUUUUUUUUUUCUGUUCAGCCAUAAAAUACUCGGUCACUAGUUCAACAUCGUGGUUCCUCAACUUCCCAUUCACACUACAUUCAAAAUUGUAGAUAUCUUUUUUGAUAAAACCGAUUUUAUCCAUUCCUCCGGAUUGCACCUCGAAAAUACUUACCUUCUGAUGAAUGAGAAUAUUAACCGAACCCAACUGUUUUGUGAGUACUUUUGUAGAAUCUGAACUAUGACGGUGUGAUCUCAAUAAAUGCAUUCUUUCUGAGGGUGUCAUCUUAUGAUUGUGUCCCUCUGCAAAAAGAGAGAUGGUAUACUUCUUGCUCCCAUUUGUCUUCACAACCACAAUCUUAGCUUUGCAAUUGCAUCUACUUAUUCCCCGCUGUCUUUUUCUCUCCCGAGUUUCAUCUCUCCUGUAUUCACCUUGUUUGCAACAUACAAAUUCUUUCCUCAAAAUCUCUUUCUUAUUUCCCCCCCAAAAGCUGGAAUGAAGUCGAAUACCAAAGCCAGCCAAGAAUGCAUAUCUAUUAUAGAAAUUGUAAACGAGGUCAAGCAAGUCGAACUUCAUCCCAACUGCUGGUGUUUCCUCAUUUCUUACUUCAAGAAUGUAAACCCUCCCAUUAGCUGUUACACAGUCAUCACUCUCUGAGCCCCCAGACAUUUUAUCCACGUAUAUUAUUGAUCCACUUCUAUAUUAUUGCAUAGCAAAUAUUAAUUCAUUAAUAAAUCAUUACUGCAUCACAACAUAUCAAUGCAUUCCACUUACACAAAACAUUGCCCAAAUUGACACAAAACACGCAUAGCCUAACUUGUUGGAUUCCGAUUACACAAAACGCAAGCAAAAUUUAAUAAUAGUUACGUCAUCUCUUGUGAAAUAAUCUAGAAAAAAUAACAUUAGAACCAACAUGUUCAACUAAGAACACAAAUGCAAUUCAAACCAGCAAUCACAUAACUUCACCCAAUAUCCUCUCCAAAUGCUUACUCCUAAUGUCAUUAAGCCUAAGUUUAGGAUCUUUUACCUACAUUUCAUAAUUUUUCACCCCCACCAAAAAUAAUCAACUAAGUAUACUGAAUAUUCAUAAGGAAAUGACGCAUUAUUGAUGCCACAAAUGACGAAUUUCCUACCCUCACAAAAAACAAAUCAAACCCAAUUAAAUCAAUCCAGCAAGAGUGAACUUACCUCUCAAAAUCAAUCGGGAGCUCCGAAGUCAGUAAGCUUGAGAGAAUGUGGUGGACAUUAGAGAAGACUCUUUGGUAUUGGAGACUCCAUCUCUACCAAAAUCGAGGAACGAACUGCUGCUACGGCGUCUAGCUACAGAAAAAGAUAUGCUACUUUACUUUCAUCUGGAAUCUUGUUUGCUGAACGAAAAAGAGAAAGGGUUUUCACUUGAGCCAUAGAAUCAAAACAAGGCAACAUCUAGGUAAGAGCCAUUAAUCGUCAUAUCGAGGAUACCAUAGAUCGCAGGCCUCCCAAGGAGCUGAUGACAAUGGAGCGACUAUAGGGUUUGGGAGCUUUGGAUCCUUCUAAUUGUGGGUUUGCGUUACAUUCAAAAAAAGAGGAGUGUGUUGUUGAGUUUUUCACAUAGAGGGAAAGAGGGAAAGAUCUUCAACUGAAGUUGGGUUUCCAACGGGUCAAAUUUCAACCCGGUUCUACAUGCACCCUCUUUUAAAAACUCACCGUUGGAUUUCAUCCAACGGCUCGUACAUACCCCUCAAAAACACCCCUUAUAACUUUCCACUCACUAUAGAAGCUCUCCCCAGGAAAUGCUUCGAGGUAGAUUUUAUGUUUUGGGCCUUGGGACCCAACUUCACAAAAAGAAAACAAAUUUGACCAAAAAACAAAGUUGAAGGACAUUGAUAUUGUACCUGUAGGAUAGGUUAAAACACUAAAAGGAAGGUAAAUAGUACGUUUACAGAGUUUAAGUGUAAUAAAGGAAUAAAAACAUGCCCAGAGAAUUGAUAAGUGAUAUCAAUUCUUGAAUAUAUAGAACGUAAAAUAAAGGAAUACGUAGAAAAUUAUUUUAUGUGGUAAAACUCAAUCUAUGGGGCCACGGGACUUCUUAGUCCAAAAAAAAUCCAUUGAACGAUGAUUACAAGAAGUACUCACACACUUAUCCUAGACACAUUCUAGAUAAUUUUUACUAACAUCUUUGUAACUCAACUUCUGUCAUAGGAUGAUUUUUUGACACUCCUUAUGUUGAACGCAAUACUGGUCACGAUUUCUUCAAGCUCGCAGGAACUCUCCUUAUAUUGAAUAUGAUACUAGUCACGAUAGAUUCAAGCUCAUCGGAGAAAAACAGCCACAACGGUCUUGGUGCCCUCAAUGGUAUGAGUCACUGAACAUGCAAAUAAAUACAAUAUGAAUGAUAAAAGUGUUUGAUAAAUCACCAAGUUAUGGAACACUUGAUGAUUUAUCUCAAAUAAAAACUCAGCUUUCCAAAGUUUAUGAAUUGAAAAUAUGAUCGUUAAAGCUCUCUAAACAAAGAAGACGAAGAUCUUAUUUUAUAGAAUUUUUCUUUAUAAGAAAGAAAACACAUUGAAAACCAAAUCUCCAAGGCUUGACAGAAAAUCACAAAAGUAUCUUUCCUAUUCUAGAGAUUGGUCACAUGUAGUCCAACCAAUAGGACAUGAGAUAUUUAAGAAAUGAAGAUUUUGAUCAAUAUCAAUAUCAAAUGAAUUCUUAUACGCCUAGUCAACUAUUAAGGGUAUCUUGACUCCUUGAUAUUGUGAUAUGAUUGAAACAUGAUUUCCACGUUAGAAAAUUAAGGGGAUGUUAAAACAUGAAAGUAAUAGGAGAAUCAAAUUGAUUUCGGCCAAAAUUGCCUAAAAAGAAAACACUCCUAAAUAAACUCAAUUCACUUUUAAAAACAGUAAAACGUGAUUGAAUUGUUCUUUAAAACAAUUCCCUAAUAUACAUGCAUGAUAAUGACAUCACUUACCUCUGAAUCAAAUGCCUUUCAUAGGUCAAGCCACAAGUCUGUGUUUUGGGGAUUGCUGAGCUGCAUCAAUCCUGCCAAUGUCAAUGCUGCCCCUAUGCUCUCUCAAAGCACGUUUACAACCUAUGCUAACAUAUACCCUAAACCCUAGUAUCAAGAAAAUGCCAACACUAAUUUCGUAACACGUAGAAAUUGUUAGAGAUUGGAAGUUUUUUUUCUUCAAGUCUCUCCACCACUCACUAAUACAGAUUGCUCAUGUGAUGAGUUUACAAAACCUAUUUCUCUACUCUCACAAAGACUAUACUUCUUCUCAAAAGACUAUAUCACUUUACCUCUAUCUCUGUGAAAUGUAAAAAGUUGAAACUUUAAUGUCAAACCUCGACAAAAGAUGAACUUCCAUAAGUUACGUUGAAUUUGGAUUUGUUGAACUUAAGUGGUUUUACUUUUCUGUCAGUGUUUGAUGACUUAAUUUGGUAUUUACUUCUUCUUUUUUUCCUUGGAAAUGUGUUCCACCAACGUGAGGAAGAAAAAUAUGCACAAAUUAAUAUAUUUAAUAGAAGCCCAAGAUUUCGGAAGCACAUAAUUUCUACAAAAUUCUACAAAGUGUUCUACUUUACAAACUUCAUAUGUCUACCAAUUUUUACUAAAAUUAAUUUAUCUGCAGUGCUCAAAUUCAUCAUAUGUGUGUCCUUAAUUUUAGUGAAAAUUGGAAGUUUCCAUUAUUUUUGUUUUACGGGAAUUUUUUGAACCAAGGAAAAUCAAGUAAAAUUAAUAAAGCAUAAAUUGGAAAGGGAAAAUAUCUAGAGGAUGCAUUGUAGGAUUGCUCAUGCCAAUAAUUGUACCCUCUAAAUAUAUAGGGACAUAUUUUUUUUGCUCAUACCACUUGUUGCAGUACACAUUCACCCGUUUUCAAAGAAAGAAAUUCUACCAAUCGAUAAUGUCUCAAAUUUAAUCACAUAUUUUAUGGACCAUCCAGCUAUGAGGUUUUAUCUCAAAAACCUUCGGUACAUUUCUCCCACAUGCCACAAUUGUAUAUUCACAAUUACGUCUGAUACAUCACAUCAUGCCACUUGCCUCAAAUGAAUUUAAGUGAGUGAGGCAGUUGGAAGUAAUUAAGCUCUAUAUUGGUGGGUGGAGUGUUAGUUCUGGGUACCCCUCAUCAUUCGUCUAUAAAAUGGUGAAGCCAGUUGCUACUGUUACCAUAAGAGCCAGCUCCGACUUUCUUUAAUUUCUUGCUUCAUAUCCACUAGCUACAUCUGUUGCUCUUCUCAGUGUAAGCUCUGCAAUUUGAUUAACUUUCCCAUUAUCUCUCACUGUACUCUAUAUAAAGGAAUAAGUGUCGUCCAUUAAUUCUCUCCGAAAGUGUCGUCCUGAUUUUAAUUAGAGUUCGAAUUAAUGUUGCAGCUAGCAGCGGUUGCACUGGCAAACCAUGCUGCUCAACCGGUACCUCAACUUUACUGGAACUCCGUCCUGCCAAACACACAGAUGCCAAGAUCUAUCAGUGAACUUCUGCAUCCUGGUUUGUGUUUGAGCACUUUAGAAUCUUAGAUAUCUCUUCUACCUGCCAUUUUACUAAAAUAUGUUCAACCACAUAUUUAUCAGUUAACUACUGUCAUUACAUGAGUGACACAUAUUCACAAAUCGGCUGAUCACUUAUUUUCCAUUAUGACGUUGAUAUAUAAUGUUGGGAAUGGAAAGCCAAUUGACCACAAGGGAAAACCUGAAAAUACUGUACUACCACAGCUAGCACGAAGCCCAUUUUCUUACAAGAGUGAUGUGGGGACCAAAUCUCAUGUAUCAUAGCUUAACCCAUAUGCCACAACUAAAAGACGUGGGAUGAUCGAACAGCAUACCCACAUGGUCAUGGAUCUCUUCAGAUAAUCAAUAUUAAACAACCCAUAAACUUCUCCCUUUGAAGAACAAAUUAAAACCAAUUUCUAGAGGAAGGUUACAAAACAUUUUAGCCCGUGAAGAACAAAUCAAGACAAUAUAACCCAUUUGAUAACAAAAUCAAAAUGAGAUUUACCAAUACUAGAUGACCACGGCGCCAGUAUAAUGGUACGACGGCGGCGUUAUUGUAACGGUGGAGAAGUGGAUGGUAUGACGACGGUGUUAGUGUGACGGUGGAGGAAACGAUAUUAUGAAGGAGGCGUUGCUAUGUUCGGUGGAGGAGUCGUGUGUUUCACAGUUCAAUAUAUCCUUUUUAGUCAUUUUAUAUUAGGGUAAAUCAGUAAUUCAAUAAAUAAUUUGAUAGUAUGGUGUACUCAGUUAAUAUUAGGGUUCAUUUAACAGCACUCAAAUUAACUAGUGUAGAGUCUAUCUAUAUUAUUAAUACUAAAAAUAAAUAUAUGACUAAAUAACUCAAAAAAAAAAUAAAUCUACAAUCUUUUUUUUAAAAAAUUUUUUUUAUAGAAUUUUAUUAGAUUAAUAGGCACUACUAAAAAAUCUCCUUAUAAACUACAAAUACACGCAUAACUUAUACUAAUGUGAGCUACUGACACCACCUGCCACAUGACAGUUGUCCAAGCAUAGUGUUGUCAUUCAUUAUUCCCCACAGCAACUAACAUCCAAUAAAGGGUUGGGGCCCACCCAUACUCCACCUCUCUGUAUGUAGCUCUUUGAGAAUACAGAAGAAAUAUUUUUUAGGGAAAUAGCUUAAAAUGAUACCCAUUUCAUAAUUUUAAUUAAAAAUACCACCCCUUUCCAAUUUUUGUACAACUAUCACCUAUAAAUAUAAAAUUAUUGUCCACUUAUUGCUGAUUUUUCACAAGUUCAGAAAUUUUGGAAAGAAGAAGCUCACACAGCUCUCUCUCUCUCUCUCUCUCUCUCUCUCUCUCUCUAGCACAACUCUCUUUCUUUGGUAUCUGUCUAUCACAGCUCUCUGUGUCUCUCUUGGCUCUCUCUAUCUUGGCUCUCUCUCUCUCUAGCACAACUCUCUGUCUCUCUCUUUGCUCUCUUUCUCAUAGCGCAGCUGUUUCUCUCUCUAGCUUCGUUAUGUCUCUUUCUCCCCUAUUCGAUCUCUUGCUUUCUGUUUGGAAUCGCGAACCCCUCCCUUUAGCUAUGUCUUCUGAAUAGCUGCUUGCAACCUUGAAGCUCUAGUGGAUUGCCGACCUCGAAAAGGUAGUGUUGAUGGUUAUUUUCUUAAUAUCAGUGGGAUUAUGUGAAAUGGGUUAUAGUUUGAUUGUUUGGGUUUGUGUUAAAUUCGUUUUGGCUUUAAUUUCUUUGGGUUAGGUUUUGUUGAAUAUUCAUACUCAUUCAUCUGGGUUUGUACCAAUUGCAUUUAGAUUGGUCUGGAUAUGUGAAUCUUGAAACUUGGGAUUUUCUAUUUGAUGUAGUAGAUCUGUAUAGUGUGAUUCUGUUGUGUUCCUCUUAUUUUACAGUCGUAUUGCUGUUAUAUUGUCAUUAUAUUGCUUAUAUAUUGCUGUUAUAUUGUGGUUAUAUUGCUAUUGUAUUGUUUGGUUAUUGUGGUUAUAUUGUGUUAAUGAAAUGUUGUUUUGUCAUGGUCAGAAAUGGAGACAAUUGUUAUUCUCGUGUGCUACAAUGGAAAAUGGGUCACCUCGAAGAAGAUGUGCAAAUACGAAGGGGGUGACUCAAAAGGCUUAAUAGUUCCACGGACCAUCAAAUUUGUUGAACUGUUGGACCGUGUGCAUUAGAUUGGUAAUACAAACAGCAGGGAAGACAAGGUUUGCUUAAAAUUCUCAGUUUUGGUGGCCUCGAAUGAGUGGAAGCACAUAAAUAUUGAGGACGAUGAUGAUAUCAAUUUUUUUAUGAAGUACAAUUCCGAGGUAACACCUUCAAAACUAGCUCCCUUACUCGUGAGUAUAGAAGAUAAAGGAUUGACAAAUGAUGUAGUUCAUAGUAUGCAUAUCACGACAGAUAGUAGUCGGAUGGGUCAUUCUUCAGUUGCCAUUGUUGAAAGCAAUGAAGUAACUUGGAAUAAUACGAAUGUCACUGAUGUGGGAGGUGAAGUAGGGACAGAUUUUGUGGAUAUGAUUGAUUUUAGCGAGGUGUAGGAGAUGCAUGGUGGUGAUAAUAGUACUGAAAGAAAUGAAGUGUCAGUGUACUCUGCCCCUCCUAAUUUGGGCUGCUUCAACAUAGCUGCCCAGUUGCCAAUAAUGCGUUUAGGAGGAGAAUCUGAACCCACUCGUCAACAUUAUUGGAGUCAAAUAGGUGAACAAAAUCGGUACAAUGCAGCCGGUGUAAAUGAUGAAGAAGCAUAUUUGGACAGCGGGUUUUCACGAAGUGAUUGGAAUCCGAAAAUUACAGUUGGGCAAAUUUUCUCUAGUAAGAAAGCAUUGUUGACGGAGUUACGGUUGACGGCAUUAAGAGGCCACUUUGAAUUUAAGGUGCAAUUCUCUUGCACUAAAAGGUUGCUUGUGGUUUGUUGUCAACGUCCAUGCCCAUGGCGGGUCCGAGCAUCGAGAAUUGGAGAAUACAGCUUCAUGAUUGUGAGGUGUACAACUGUCCAUGAAUGUGAUUUGAGGUUCGUAAGUGACAAGCAUCGUCAAGCAACCGCAGCACUUGUAGCCACUUCACUUAAAAGGAAGUGACAUUAUGAGAGAUGUGAAACACAACUUUGGUUGCACCAUCCAUUAUUCGAAAGCUUGGAAAGCAAAGGAGUUAGCUCUAUUGUCCAUUAGAGGAUCAGCGGAGGAGGCAUAUUAUAUCCUUCCAGCUUAUUGCUAUGAAUUGGAGCGUAUGAAUCCCGGCACAAAAACACACAUCCAAACUGAUGAGAACAAUCACUUUGUGUAUUUAUUUAUGGCGGUUGGCGCAUGUAUUAGAGGGUUCCGUUCUUCCAUGCGCCCAGUGAUAGCCGUGGAUGCCACUCAUUUAAAAUCCAAGUACAAGGGUGUUAUGUUUGUAGCAAAUGCAUUCGAUGGUAAUUGAAAUAUAUAUCCUCUUGCUUUUGGGAUCGGGGAUUUGGAGACGGAUGCAUCAUGGCAUUGGUUUUUCACUAAACUUCAUGAAGCCAUUGGUGAGUGUCCCAAUCUUGUUAUUAUUUCUGAUCGCAAUGUUAGCAUAGAGAAUGUGUGGAACAAAAUUUUUCCAACUGCACAACGUGGCAUAUGCUUUUAUCAUAUGAAGGGGAACAUGAAACGCACUUGCUAGUUGAAAAAGCGUGAUCACAUACUUAUGCACUUUGAGCAGGCUGCGAAAUCUUAUUCCAUUGCUGAAUUUGAUUGUCAUUUUUGCAAGAUCAAGCGAAAGGAACAUGUUGCUCAAUAUCUUGAAGAGACAGGGUUACAUAAGUGGUCUAGAGCUCACAUGGAUGGACGCCGCUACAAUGUAAUGACAACAAAUAUUGCAGAGUCAAUCAACUCAGUCCUUAGGUUUGCAAGGAUGCUGCCAGUGGUUCAUUUGAUAGGGGAAAUUGUUAAUCUCCUUGUGAAAUGGUUCACCGAACGUUGUGAGUUGGUUUUGAAUUGCACAACAACAUUGUGCCCCAAUUUUGGAGAGAAGAAGUUGAGGAACAGGUUGGAGGAUGCUGCAAGGAUGAAUGUGGUUAAAGUAAAUAAUGCACAGUUUAAUGUUUUGGACGGUGAUAUGGACGGCCUCGUAGAUUUGGCGAACAGCAGUUGUAGUUGUAGAAAGUUUCAGCUUGAGCAGCUACCUUGCAAGCAUGUAGUUGCAGUUUGCCGCUUCUUGAAAGUAAAUGUAUACGCAAAGGCUUCUCGGUAUUACACUCAGAAAACCUGGAUGAUGCUUAUUCGGAUAGCAUCUACCCGGCACAACCUCACGGAAUGUGGGAUAUUCCUGAAGAUGUUCGAAGUCGAGUUGUGCUGCCUCCCAUGGCAAGGGUCAUGCCAGGCAGACGAAAGAAGAUCAGAAUUCCCUCGCAAGGAGAGGGCACCAUUAGAAGAAAGUGCUCAAGGUGCGGUUCCGCAGGCCACAAUAAAAGCACAUGUAAAAACAAUAUUCCAUUGCGCAAUGUAUCUUAGACAAUAUGAUUUGUGUUGCUUUGGUAGGUCAUGUAAACUCUACUUUUAUUUGUGGUGGGUUUCGUGUUAUGUUGAAUGGGAAUUCUUUUAAAUUUGCAUAAUUUGGGUUGCAUUGCUACAGCAUGCUGUAUUGCUGACAGAUUGCUAUUAUAUUGGACUUUUAUUGUACUGGUAUUGCUUCCAGAUUGCUAUUAUAAUUUGAGUGCGAAAUUAAAGGGACUGGAAUGUAAUUCCAAAUGGAUCCAAAUCAUUAAAGUUCUUAGAAUUCCUAUAUUACACAGUUACUGUGAUACUCCGACUAUACCUUCUUUUAUGAUUACAAAUUCGGCCAAUGCAUAGGCCAGAUGUGGGGCAAAUACAAGGUGAAAUGUCCUAUGUGUUUGACUACAUAUACUUGUUGAAGGAGCAUUACGAAUGCUAACCUCAAUAGAUUGCUCAUGUCUUGCCAAGAACACUCUUGAAUUUAUGCAAUGUGCCCAAGCCAGUCCCAAAGCUGGACUCACCCGUCUGCCUGAUGUGUCCAGGGACUCCAAGUUUCCCAACCUCACCUCAUUCACUUUAUCAUGUGGCCCAAUAAAAUCCACCACUUGGUUGGUGACAACCACCGCCAACCCAAACUUAUUUGCUAAACCCUUCAAUGUCCCAGAUAUGUUGAAAAAUAUUUCAAACCGCCAUUUCAAAUCUGCUGGUGUUGUCUGAUACUGUGAUCGGAACAAUGCAGCAAUGGAAUCAAUGACAAUGAGUUUCACAGGUAGGUGGGUGUGAUCAAUGGCAAUAAAUGCUUCUAUGUCUCCAAGGACAUGGAUGAGUUGUUGAGCAUCAUGAACACCAUGAACAUAUAUGUCUUCCAAUGGCUCCAACCUUAUUAAGUUGGGGUAUGAUGCAUGAUAAAGGUUGCCUAGUUGUUGCAAUCGACGAAAUGGGAAGCUGAAUUCUGUGAAUAUGUAGACGGUGGAGCCCUCUAGUCCGCCAUGUGAGGGUGGGAGCUGAGCUGGUACCGUAAGUUGGAGACAAAGUUGCGUCUUCCCAGAACCACUCUCCCCUACCAAUUCUGUUAUAGAGUUGCAGGGUAUCCCACCCCCCAAGCAGUCAUCUAGUAUUGGGCAUCCAAUGGAUAAUUGAGGGGUUGAAAGAGGAAGGAGCAUGAGGUUUUAGGGUGUCAUAUUUGUGUAAUUUAGGGGGGGAUGUGAUGGUGCUACAAGGCAUGCAUUAUAUAUAUAUAUAUAUGUAGAGUUCAUUUUGAAGGUCUGUAUUGUAGGCCAUAUGUCUUUUAAGGGAUGUAUAAUCCAUCCUUUUUUCAGGUUGUAAUUAAUUUUUUGUUUAUUUAUUAGUAUUUUUUUGGACCAAAUAAUUUAAAAAACAUUAUGAUGCAGUACGUACUGUAAUAGGAUCAUAUUGUAACUCUAUCAUCACUCUAUUGUACUCUUAUUGACAUAAUAUUGCCGUUAUAUGCAUGUUUAUUAUAUAGUUAUUACUGCUAUAUCGCCACUGAACUGGACACCGAUAAACUGUAUACGCACAAAUACAAAAAGAGGCUUCAUCAUUCCAUAAAAUCCUAUUUCCAAACUUACAUAAUACAACAACAGGCCACCCCAUCGUUACAUAAUACAAAAAUACGCCACCUCAUAGUUCCAUUUCCCUACUGUUGACAAAUUCGAAGUUGCAUACUCUUCAAGUGCGGUGACCGCGACGCAUGAAAUUCAUGACCCCGGCCACAGUGAUGUUGGCCUAGUUUCCUGCCGGAUCCACUAUUUUUGCAAACUUACGAAAUAGUUCGAAUCCGCUUUCCACUUCUUCUUGCUUCAACUUGGCCGUUGCUUCUGAUUCCUUGAAUACCAUAAUUGCAGUGGUAGGGGCAAUUUCAAUUUUUGCUUUCAUUGUCUUUAUAUGUAGGAGAUGCAUGCGCGCAUGAUAACGAGAGCGAAUUGUGCGGUUUUUUAUGACACCCCAUCUAGUUUGGCCCUCCACAAUUUUGAAACUAUGUCUGCAUGAAGAUUUUUCCAAAACAUGGUAUUGCCUCGACAUUGCUGCAUGCCAUGGACCAAGUCUGCAGGGAGUGAAUUGGGUGACUUGGCUUGUGUUUCAGUCUUCUCUCCUUCAGUAAUUGAAAGUGUUGGGUGUGGUGUGAGGUUAUGGUCCAUGGUCUUCGAUAUUUAUUGUAGCCUAGUGUACAACUUAAUUGGAAAAAAAGGGGACUAAAUGCGAUGGGAGUGAAAUCAGUGGGGAAGGUAGUGGCUGUAAGCAGGAGUUAAUGUGAUGGAAGUUUUCAUUUCAAACAACUGGGUUGAUUAAUAUAGGCAAGUUUUAAUGACCUGGAGUAACUCAGAGAGUUAUUGGUGGGAGGGAUUAGAGGGAGUAAUUGGCGGGAGGGAUUGGCGGGAGUCUUAGGCGGGAUAGUAUUGGGCGGGAGUUAUUACCCAGUUGACUGUAUGCCUUUUUGUAAUAUAUUUGUAUGUUGGACGUUCCAAACUUGGUAAUUUUCCCAUUAUGUAAUUCAAAUAAGGGAUUUGCCUAUUUGCCUAAUUGACCAACUCAUUCAAAUUGACCAAUAUGGUUAUUGUCUUAUUUCUCAUUUCAGCAAUCUCAAUUCGUUUCCAUUUUUCCAUUCUUCAUAUUUUCCUAUUUUCCAUGUGUCAUCCAAUUUUCCAAUUUUCCAAUUUUUCAUUAUUUUUGCCUAUUUUUUCCUAUUCCCUAUUUUCCUAUUGUGCAAUUUCCCAAGUUUCCUUUUGUUGUAUUUCUAGUUUUCCAAUUUUUCAAUGUUCCCAUUUUCCCAUUAUGUAAUUUAAAAAAAGUUGCCUGCUUUGCCUAAUUCAGAAAGUAAUUAAAAUGGUCCAAUAUGGUAAUUGUCUUAUUUUCCAUUUCCACAAUUUCAAUUCGUUUCCAAUUUUCUUAUUUUCCAUGUGUCCCUAUUUCCUAUUUCCAUUUUUCAAAUUUUAAGUUUUUGUCCAAUUAUCCAAUUAUCUUUUUUCCAAUUGGACUAUUUUCUAAGUUUCCUUUUUUUCCUAUUUCCAAUUUUCCAAUUUUUCAAUUUGCUAACUUUCCUUUUGUUCUAUUUCCAAUUUUGCUAUUUUCCAAGUUGCCUUAUUUCCUAUUUUUCAAUUAUCCAGUUAUCCAAUAUUCCAAUUUUCCAAUUAUCCAAUUUUCAAUUUUCCAAUUUGCGAAUUUGCCUAUUUUCCAAGUGUCCUUUUUUCCUAUUUCCUAUUUCAAAUUUUCCAAUUUUCAUGUUUUCAGAGUUUCCUUUUUUUUUCCUAUUUUCCAAGUUUCCUUUUGUCCAAUUUCAAAUUUUCCAAUUUUCCAAGUUGCUUUAUUUUCCAAUUACCCAAAUUUCCUAUUUUCCAAGUGUCCUUUUUUCCUUUUUCCAAUUUUCCAAUUUUCCAAGUGUCAUGUAAUCCUAUUGCCUAGUUUCCUCUUUCCAAUUUUUCCUUUUUUCCUAUUUCCAAUUUUCAAUUUUCCAAAUUUCCCAAAUUUCCAACUUUCCAUUUUUUCGUAUUUCCGAUUUGCCAAUUUUCCUUUUGUUCUAUUUCCAAUUUUCCAAGUUUCCUUAUUUCCCAUUCUCCAAGUUUUCACUUUUCCUAUUUUUCAAUUUCGCUAUUUUCCAAUUUUCUGUUCUGAAAUUCGCAAUAAAUGCUUAGUUACACAGUCCUAUUUUGGGUUGAAAUCCACAAUUUUCAAUUUCCCAUUAAGGUUUGCUUUUUUGUCGUUUGGAAGCCAAUUUUAUUGUUGUUAAUGUAAUGUUGUACUGUUGUAAAUUACAGCCAAUGAGUUAAUGAUGUAGUUUGCAAUCCCAUCAAUUGAAUGCACCAACUAAAUACCCAAUAUACUUCAUAUAAGUUCGUACAUAUAACUCAACCUUCCUAUACAGAACUGCAACAGAGGCACCUUCUUAACGGGAAAGGUAAUUAGUCUUACUAAAACGCAAAUAUUCUCCACUACAGCUAACCAAUUGUCGUUUACAACUGGAGACUGAAUCUACCUUUAUUUGUUUUGUUGCAGGCAACAGCUGUGAAUUGUCCCCGGCAAUACUUAAAGAUGUCGGAUGUACGCCCUCCAAAUGAGCAUGUCACAGUUACCCGGGGGACCAGCCGUGGCAUGUGCCAUUCCCAUCUCCACCUCGGACUCCCAAUCAUGAUCCCACUUCAUCUGGAAGUGAGGCUGAGAGCAAUGAUCCGCUUGACAAAAUCUCUGCCGUCAAGCACCACCUCCAAUAUAUGUCAAAGGCAACGGAUUGGUGGGAGAGUAAGUGCGAUAUUCAUGGCCAAGUUAUGGGAAACUUGGCCAACAAGUUGAACAAAGCAUACGCUGGAGAGGUGAAGCAAACUCUAAAAGCAAAAAGUCGGAGCAAAGAGUUAGAGUCCUUGAAGUUGAAAUUGGAAGAGAGAAAGAAAAAUGCUGUCGAAAAAUUCACACAAUCUGAAGAAUAUAACCAUGAAAUGGUUGAAUGUUUCAACAACGGCUUUGAAAUGUUCCGAGAUUAUGCUUCGGUCAUCUCACCAGACUACAAUUGGAGUGAAAUUGAUGUAGCUGGUGUUUGGCAGGUGCUGAAUAUGGGUGCUGAGGGAAUGGCUCAUCAUAGCCUCGUGCAUGCAGCAAGGAGAAAGGACAAAGACUUGGAUCUUUUGAUGGACCUGUAGUAACAGUGAGUGCUGCUUCAGUUCAACUCACCUGAGUACAUGGAUCUUUUGUUGCCUUCAUUUUCCCUUCGCAGGCUAGUAUUGUUAAGGUUCGGUGGCGAUUUCUUUUGCAUGUGUAAAAUGUUGUCUGUAAUGUGUAUGUAUUGUAUGUAGAUUGACUUAAUAUUGUAGUUCUAUUGUAUGUAUAUUGCCUUAAUAUUGCCUUUGUAUAGCAUAGAUAGUGUAUGCAUAUUGCCACCGUAUUGGAUGUAUAUUGUAAAACUAUUGGUAUCGUAUUGCCCUUAUAUUGCUCUAAUAUUGCCUCUAUAGUGCACCUAUAUUGACCUAAUAUUGCUCUUAUAUCGUAUGUCAAUGGCAUGUGCUCUAAUAAGUCUCCAGUUCGUUGAAAGUAAUCCUGAAUUCAAAUAUGAUGGACAAGACAAUUGUUAUCCAUCCUUAUAUUACCAUGAAUUGAUUUGGACCUUUCAAAUGAUAGUUGGAGUUGCACAUGGAUUCAUAUUCAAAAGGAAAGUAAUUCUCUCCCUCAAUGAAUUGUCGUUCAAAAGAAGGCAGCUAUCAAAUUUUGGGUACAAAAAGGCAACAUCCACGGUAAAUUAAUUGGGCACAAACCACAUAUUACAAAACCAGGAUGAUUUUUGGCAUGCUUCAAAAGAGAAGGGCCAAAUACAACAGAAAAGAAAAUCCAUUCAAGCUUGUACAAUAGAAUGCACAAUAACCCUUUUACAUGUCCUUCCAACACCAGUGUUUUGCCUACUUUAGAGUCGCAGGAGGAGAGCUUAUUGCCAUUGUGCAAUUCGAGGGGGCAGUCAAUUUGGAAUGGUGGCAUAAACAUGUUUACUCCACGGAUCACCUAUAUGGGACAGAGCUUCCUUCUUCCCUUGUCGUCUGUAGGUUUCAACUUCACACUUUUUAUAUACAUGUAUGAGAACUUGUGGCUAUUUAUUUAUGGCCUUCUAACACUUGUUCUGCCAUUCCAAAGUGGGUUGGAGACUUUUUGAGUUGAAUGACUGGAAAGACUUCAGAUGACAGAAACUAGAGAGUUUGAAGAAAAAGGGUUACCAAGAACAGCAGUCAUGCCCACGACAUAAACUAAACAUGCUAUAAGCUCCACAGUAAUAUUUACUUCAUCUCCAUAAUCAGAAUAUUGGGAAAAAAAUACCACGGAGAAAUACGUGAAAUGAAAAACAACUCGGCAGUUACUGUGAGAUUGUGUACAUAAAACUUGGAACAACCAAACCAAUUAAAGCUAAGCCAUCUCAUACGUAUACCUACAUCAAAUAACAGUGUAUGGUCAUCUUGUUUAGAAUAUUGCAAUCAACACUUGGUUGAGACCGACCUGCAAAAACAACUGGGUUAAGUACAGAUGAAGCCAUUUAUGAAGGGCAGUUCCAGAAUUAAGACCUACGUUAAUUUGUAACUGCCACCGAAUCAGUUCAUAGUGCCAAAUGCAUCUACCAAGCACACAGAUAUGACCAGCCAAAAGAAAAAAAAGCAAAGUAAAAAAGAUAAAAGAGGCAUGCCAUAAAUGGGAACCUCAGCAGAAAUCAUCAGAUAUGCAUACAAGCAGAUUGAGUAACAUCUCACUAAGUAGAGGUCAUGUUGGUAAUCGCAUGUUGUGUUUGCACACAGACAUUUGGUUUUUGCAAACACAACAUGCAAUUGCAUUCCAUGAUGUGUGUGUUGUGUUUGCACACAGACAUUUGGUUUUUGCAAACACAACAUGCAAUUGCAUGAUGUGUGUGUUGUGUUUGCACACAGACAUAUGGUUUUUGCAAACACAACAUGCAAUUGCAUAUUGUGUGUGUUGUGUUUGCACACAGACAUAUGGUUUUUGCAAACACAACAUGCAAUUGCAUAUUGUGUGUGUUGUGUUUGCACACAGACAUUUGGUUUUUACACACACGAUAUGUAACAUUUAGUUUUACCCUUUUAUUCUUAUUUUCUUCGUUCAAACAUGGUGGUGAGAAAAGCACCAAACCAUCCCAUCAUAUAAAGCAAAACUCAUACAAUAUUUUAGAUGCAAAAGUUAUAUAUUUUAUAUAAAUGCAUCAUCCGCAUGGCUUGAAAUUACAAAUUCACGUUCACAUAUUACUUUUCACAAGCGCACAGACUAACAAUAAUAAUAAUCAACCAAGUAGUUGCGACAUUCAUCCUAUUACGUCCAUAUUGAUAAUGUCAGAAGUUUCAUCGAUAAGCCUCAUCAAACUACAAGUUUUUUAAUUUGAAUUAUGAAUUCAGAACUAAAAGCUCAUGAUAUGCAGAAAAUGACAUACAUUGUCCACAAUCGACUUUUCGAUAUAUUUCUGCUCUAGCAAUUUAUCGUCCAAAUUCUGGACUCUCUGUGUCAGGUGCUUCUUUGUGUUCUAUCCAGCAUAAGAAUAUUUAAUAGUGUGAUUUCAAUUGUUUAUACAAAUUCUAUAAGUAAUAUUGAUGAGUGCUGUAAAUCUAUUUGAUAUUGGGAACAAACAUGGUCCCACUAACAGAAACUCAAACAAAACAGGAAUUUUUUUUUAUUUUUUUUGGCAUAGACAGCCGAAAAGAAACUUACAGCAAUAGCCUCUGUCACGCUCUCCAGACGUUUAUGCAAUUUUGAAACAGCAGCAUUCAUACUACGCUUUGUCACAUACAGAAGAUCUGAGAAUUUUAGACCCUAACCAUUUGUGAAGAGCAAAUAUUAGAUUUGCUUAAAGAAGACAACAACUCACAGAACCAAUGGAUGAAAUAAUAUGAACAUAAAUAUAUCAUUUGGAUACCUUCCACCACAUGUAACCAUAACCCAAUGCCCCCAAGGUAGCUGUUGGCAUUAUUAGUGAUGUCAAACCUAUUAAAAAAAUCAAAAAAAAAAAUAUAACCAAGUAUAAAAUGUUUCUAUUGCAUUAUGAAAUACAUACGUGUAAGGAAUUAAUCGUUUUACAACUUAACCAAAAAGUCAAGGCAGGAGCAUGCAUUCAUUGAGUGGUUAUAAGCAAGAGGAAAAAGCACAAAGCAUGCUAAGAAUUCAUUUGAACACAGAAGAGAAAGUAAGCUACCUUGGAAUUUGGCUGUCAUUCCCCUUCAGGACGGCUCUCUGUAGUGACGAGUCUAGUUGUCGGACCUCAGCUGCCAGUCGGCGCACCUAAAACAAAGUAACACAGGAAAAUUGAUAUCCAUUACAAAAAACAAAAAUUGAACACGAGAAAGCAUCCUUCGACACUAAAUUUAUAGCAGUUUUUCCAAUACCUGUGAUGCGAUCGCAUAAAAGUCACCUUCUGAUUGUUCUCCGGUUCCAUUGAACAAAGGCUGCAAACAAAACAGAAAUAGACACAAAUCCAUCAAUUUUUUGAGCAACAAGACACAAGCUCCGAAAUAAAUAAACUAUCUAACUGAUCAAAACCCUAGUUUACCAAAUGCAUUACAAAAUUAAAAACUCAUACAAAAAUAACACCAAAUACAAAUGUUCUGCGAGUUCCACUAGCAAAGCAGAGUACAAAUCAUGAAAAUGGUACCUGAAGUUCACCGAUCAAUUCAGAUAAUUGACCAUUCUUACGCAGGAUGGUGCUCGUAUACCCUGUAGAAAGAGAACAAUCACUCAGAUCAAAUGUAGCUAAAUACACAAGGAAACUAAUCCAGUAUGCAAGAUGAAAGAGGAGUGAUUGGUACCUACUCCAGCGAAGAUCAGCAAACACAGUAUGAGGUUCCAAAUUCAAAUAACAACAUAAUGCUAAGCAGAGAAGUAGAAUUGCUGCCGAAAUUAUUUAAAACGAACUAAGUCAAAACUAAAUGGAGAAAUGUUAACAAAGUUGUAUGCUUCAGUAAGUCCAGUAACAGAUUCCCAAAACCACAGAGACAAAAUGUGAACAAUGGCUACAAAAGCAUCCAUAAAGAGCAACUAUGUUUAUAUAUGGAGGUGUACAAAAUAGUUAACCUUCAAAAUCGAAACAGUGUGUGUGCCAUGUAAGGCAAUUAGCCACUGCUUCUAGACUAUACAAUAUUACACCUCACAAUAAUAACUAAACCAACUAGCUCUAGCAAAAAGGCAGGAUGACCAUAUAAAGUACCCCCAGCAAAGCAUCUACGUCUGCAUCUUCAUAUCAAGGAGUUCCUGACAUAAGUAAUGAGCAAAGUGAAUUCCCAAGUCAUAAGUCCAGAAUGAGGUGAAUUCACGGACAUUAAAACAUUUACCUCAUAAAUAUGCCUCCCCCCUUAAACCCUCAAUUGCAAGCCUCAGCCGGUAAUAUUUGAUCUUCAAAGGGUCAACUUUAUCUACCGAAAUCCCAGCACUGAGAUGCUCGAUGAAUUUGACGGUCAUGAUUCCGCAAGACGUACUGUGAGACCAAUAAGUUGGGAAAUUAGAACUGCAGUUAUGUAAGAUUUGGAUAAACUGCACUAAAUUCACAAAGCUUACCCAUCUCGUUGUUGUGGCACAUCUGCAAUGCUGCAAACUGAGAAUGGCGUAAACGUCAACAUCUUCAGCCCCUUUUGCUUAACCUUUUCAACCUCAGAAUCUUCAUAAAAGUGCAUAUCGUACAGCACUCGUGCCAGCGUAUCGCUAAUAGGGUGCAGAAGUGUAACCAGCUUCGAACAUUUGGUAAAAGCAACAUAUGAGUCAUACACAGUUGCAGUAUGUCAGACGAAAUCAAUUUCGAUUGCAACCCAGUAAGACCCUUUAAGAUUAUAUGGAAUAUAGACCUUCCGGACUUUUGUCCAAGCUUGGCCAUACCCGUGUUGCCACGUACCGCGUACAAAGUAAUGUAUAUUCUGCAGCUUGCUGGGUGGAAGGUCAACGGUGUUUGAAGCAACUGCCUUCUUCGAUCCACGUUUCUUGGCAGUCGGUUUGAACGGAUCUAGAAAUUGCUGCAUAAAUUGAAAUGAAGGCAUAUUAGAAAAUCACAACCGAAAGCAAAUGAAGCAGCGAAUGUAACAUGGUAACAUGUUUACCUGCAAGCAACAAUCUGCUGUUGUCCAGUCAGUUCCAAAUACCAACGGAUGAGAGAGUUGCCUUUUCCAGAUAAGAAAGGUUGCCAUGUCCAGGUGCUGAAAGUUGACACACAUAAUAUCAGCACAAUUUCAUACAACUGUACACUUAAAAAAGGUGAGAAAACAAUUUAAUUAUCGCAAUAAAGUAGAGCUUUGUGUAUUCUUACCCUUGAGCUAAUCCAUUCCGUUUCAUCGAUAAGUCUGUAGAAAAAAUCAGCGCCCACUGAAAAUAAUUCCAGCUGCACCUCCGCACUACAAAAGGCAAACUUGCAAUGGUUACUUUUAUAGUCAUCUCAUAAUUCUGACUUUGUUGAUGACAAAAAUACACAUGUAUAUUAAAGCAAACUCUACGUUUUCUCAUUAGUCUAUGACUACAUACUAGAAUAGGAUGAAGAUUGGAAUUCAAAGGUAAAGAAUCCUAACCUGAUAUCGUUUUUCCAGGCAGUACAAAACUCUAUUACUGCCUUCACAUCUUCAAUGGGCACGGAUUUUGAUGGAUCAAAACAUGGCGGGGUUGCAGUCGCAGCCAACACACUCAUCGUCCUCUUCUUCCUCAAAGGAUCAGUAAAUGGGCUCAACAAUGUCUGCGCCGGGCGCUUCUGUCUGCACCCUUUACCUUCCACUUCUUUUUUUUCCACACUCGAACUACCUUCUUCAUCACCAGCCAUACUAACUGUGGGUAGACUUGGAGGAUUCAUCGGACCUCCCGAUGGCAUACUCUUAGUCACUUUCCAAUCUUCUAACAGAGACAACACUUUUUGGCAGAUUUCGUCACACCCGGCCACAUCUUCCGGGGUAGGCAGCUUCUCGGAUUGUGCCUGCUCAGCUGCUUCAUGCACUUGUAAGUGAGGAACUGAAGCGGCCAUUUCUGCCUCUUCGACUACCAUGGCUGCGGAAGGUUCGGCUCCAUCACCGGGAACUUGUGUUUCCAUUACCGCCGGUUCUGUAGGCGGACUAACAUGGUCAUGUAAUGGCGACAAGUGAUUGUCGCCUCCUUCAUUCAUAUGAGGACUACUGAGGUCCUCAUGUCCUUUCCCACCUUCAUUCACCCCACCAUUUCGUUUUUUCAGCUGCUCUAUCUCCACAUUAAAAUAAUGCUCCAUUAAAGCCAGGGUGUUGCGGAAAUCCUCCACACACUUUUUAUUUUUUUCGAACUCUCUUUCAACUUUCAAUGACUCCUUCCGUACCAUGUCUUCCAACUGAUGCACUCUGUUGCGAAGCGCUCGAUUUGAUAUGGCAACUUUGGCCAAUUCAUCCUUUGUCCUUUGAAAGUCACGCUUCAAAGUGCGUAACUCUCUGGACGCGACUGUACCCUGCAUUCAGUUAUAAUGCAAGUGUUACAAUAUUUUCAAAAUAUAUUGCAACAAUACAGCAGUUAUUUUCCUAUUGUAUUAUGACGUAUAUCUUGGAAAAAAAUGUAAUGCUUGCCUUAGAAGACGACGGAAGGCUAGCAGUUUCGUCAAUGUCCUUAUCUUUUUCUUCUACAGAGGCAGAAGUGCUGGUUUUUUGUUCAGCGUCAUCGCCAAACAACUGAACAAGUUCUUCAGUGUCGUCAACACUGUCACCCCAAGUCCAAUACGGCUGCUGCUUGUCGAUUACAGAUGGCCGGAGAAGUUGCACAUCAACCUGCAAUUUACACAUACAAUAUACAUAUCAGUAAACUUAUUAUAUUAUAUUUUCAUAUGCCUAACAUUAUCAUUAAAAACUUAACUAACCUCACGGUUCUCGAAUACUUGGCUCAUUAGCUCAUAAAAACACGGCGAACUAUUGCUCCUCCAAUGUAGUAAACGAGGGAUGUAGGCAUUAUCUUCGUGCACCACCAAAUGUAGUGCAGCCAACGCUGGAAAAACCUCAUAAGCCCAAAUCUGGUUUGAGGAAUAAAACGUGAGUCACUGUAAACAAAUGAAAUUUAACUUCAACAUGAAUGGAAAUUUGCUCACCUGAAGUGCAUAGGCAAAACCUUUGAGGUGGUACUCUCUUGGUCUACCAGUUGCCGUUGUUUUUGCUUUCUUUUCAGAUUUUUUUGUUUUUGCAGCUUUUUUGGGCACUUUCACUCGCUGGUAAUCUGUACAAAGUGCCCUCAGAAGUGACACAAUUGUCUUGGCAUAACACACAGCACCCCAUGGAUACUUCCCAAACUCUUCAAGGUCUUCCACCAACUUCAAAUAUCGCAUGUCAAUCUGGACAUGUUUUUCACUGCCCAACAGCACAAACACAGCAAAGUAUACAAAUCUGAGCUUCAAUACAUCGUCCGCAUCAACGCAUUUGAGGAAGGCCUUUUCUAAUUCCAAAACAUUGACAGUUUUAUAGUUGCCAAAGUACUUCCUUUUCAAUGAGCAGUUCUCAUUAGUGGGAAUCGGAAUAAAGGGAAGGUUUCCAAACCUUAGCCCUGUCACGAUGCAAAAUUGCUGCGCCGUGAAUUGGAUCACCUUAUUGCCAACGAUGAAUUUGAUCCCGUUGAGUUGGGAAACUGUCUUUGGAUCAGCUUUCCUCAGCAGCAAGCCGUGGACAAUUGGCGAAGUCCACUUGAGGUCCUCAAUCAGUAGGAGAUGCCCAAAACAACUCUCUUCAAACCUUUGUAGCUGUUGUUCACUGAAUUUCUCCUUUAUCGUGCUGAUUGCAGUCUUCGUAUGGGAUAGGGACAAUGCUUUUCCUUGGAACUUUUCUUCCUCUGCAAUCAUCAACUUCAUUUGAGCAACCAUCUUUCCCUGCAUGCCAAUAUUAUAAAAAAAAAUUCAGUCCGUUGCAAUCUAGACAAUAACAAGCAAUAAACAAUCAGCACUUAUCUACAGCCUAUUAUAGGAUAUUAAGUGAAAACAAAAAAACAAAAAAUACAGGGCAUAAACAAAACCCCAGCUAUUUACAACUGACCUACUAAUUCAAUAGCUCAAAGCCACAUCCCAAGACACCCAGUACUCUACCACUCUUGCAUAAUAUAAUAUCUAAAGACACAUCUCAACACACCAGAUAAUCAUGACACAGCUUCAGCUAGAAUGGGAAUGUGCGGUAGCACAAGCCUAAUUGAGAACAAUUCAAGACUAACGAUAGAAAUCUAUCUGACUAGAAAGAGUUUUAAAAAAACAAGAAGACAUCGGGAAAGAAUUGAUUGACUUCAAGGUAUAAUGUAAUGGAACAUCCUAUGAAUUAGUGGCAACCAUAAUAAUGACUCCACUAUGGCCCUCCUUUCAAAUGUAAGAAAAUGAAUGAAAUUGGCACCAUCCCUUCAGUUUUUUCUUAACAAAAUAAGAGAUUUGUAUGUAUUCUCUGCUUUAUCGAUAUCAAAGAUAAAUUAAUAAAUAAACCAUCAAAACUGUAUAAAAUGUUUGUUAGACAUGUACAAUUACAAAAUUAUAAGUUCUCCUCAGAAACAAAGUUCUCUAAGUACGCAAACAAGAAAAGCAAAAGCUUAAAGAGUUAGCUUAUAGCAAAAUCAAUGUCCCCAUUUCUCUAAACCACACCUGCUGGUGGUAGGUUCCCAUCUUCACUCAUUUCCCGCUUUCUUUUAAACAGACAAUGAUCAAGCACAAAAGAGCAAACUUUUAAAUAACUCAUAUUACACCACAAAUAGUUCUAAAGAAAACUUAUUCAUAUCCAAUAUGCAACCCCUAAAGUUAGUAAACAGAGUUAUAAAAAAAUAUGUCAAAUUAACAAGCAUUAUUCUCAAACAAAAAGUAUGAUAUGGUUGGGAGUUUACAAGUUCAAAAUGAUAUACACAGGUUAAUUGUCUUAGACUUUAGAUAUCAUCUUCAACAAAGAAAAUAGAUACCGAUUAGACUUGUAAGAAGGUUAAAUGCAAUGGUCAUAAAGACCCAUAGUAAGCCACCAAAUACCAAUCAAUAACUGCUAUAAAAACCAUAAUAAAACCAUAAUAAACUAAAAAUACAACAGCACUAAAAUGCCAACACAACAUCACUACAUUAGCAAUAUAGUAGCAACAAAACCACAAUACGACAUCAAUAGCAACAGCAAAACAACAGCAGUGCAAGCAUCAGUCCACAAAGAACAAACCCAUUCACUGUUUCAAACAAGGAAUCAUCAUACUAAGAUCAUUUCAGAGAAACCCCAAAACCAAUUUCAGUGAAACCCCUAAACCAAUUUCAGAGAAACCCCUAAACCAAUUUCAGAGAAACCCCUAAACCUUCAACCAAUUUCGAACAAAUCCCUGAACCAAUUUCAUAGAAAUGCAUAAACCCUAAACCAACUUCAAAGAAACCCUAAACUGUAAGAAAAUGACGAUGAACAGUACCUGUUCAAGGUGAACGAUGGAGUUGAGCUUCGAUGAACAAAUUUCGCUCGGAGAGGAAGAGAGAAGAGAGAGUCAGAGCUGAGCGACGAGAGAUUAAGGGCUGAGCGACGAGAGAGUGAGAGCUGAUCGACGAGAGAUGAGAGAGUGAGAGCAAAGUGACGACAGAGUGAAGAGAAAUUGAGAGAAGGAGCCAAGAGAGAGAGCUGAGAGAGAACUUCAGCAAAACUGAUAGAGAACUUCAGCAAAAGUGAUAUGUGUACAAUAAGGGGACAAUAAAUAUAUAUUUAUAGGUUAUAGUUCCAAAUUUUUUUAAAAAGAGUGGUAUUUUCAGUUACAAUUAUAAAAAUGGUGGCAUUUUGAGCUAUUUCCUUAUUUUUUAUUCAACAUGGACGCAGAAACUGUUGCUAAACUGCAAACUUCUUAAAAUAUUUGUCUCACUUUCUCAACCCUAUAUUUGUCUAACUUUCUAGAUCCAUGUACUGAGAUUUAUUAGGGAAAUAUUGUAGAAACUGAUUAUUUUGAAAUAUUAAAUGUGAAAAACUGAACAAAAAUUUGAUGGGUUACAUAUUUCAACUCAUUUCAGCAGCUUAGAUUUUGAAGACCUCGGAAGAGGCCAUGCAGUGAGCCUAGCUAGUGCACUGUUGAUCACUUCAGUGUCUACCGAUCUGUAAUUUUUCCAGAUUGGUUAUAUUUUCCUUUACAUAUUCUUAUAUUAUUCCCAGCUGUAAGUGUUUUACACACUUGUCUAUUAGAAAAGGGGAGACUUAUAAAUAAAUCCAAAAUGGGUACAGUAUUUAUAAAGAAUGACAAAAUUAAAGUGUUUGGGCAAUAAUGCCCUUAUUCAUUUUGAGAUUGCCUAAGGAAUAUUUUUUCUGAUUUUCAGAAGAUGCCAAAGGACCGUUGUUUGAUGAUUGCCGUAAGGAGCUAAGAAAACUUGCUUUGAUAGUUUUGGACAGAUGCAUGCUACUGUUGCUGGGAUGAUCUCUUCACGUGAAAUGAGGAUGAUGAUGCUUCUACACUACACAAUCCAACGAAUUCACAUGUCUAUUUCAGAUACAAGUAUAAACUAACAAGGCUUUAAAAUAUGGGCUGAUGCACUGUUGUUGAUGUUGCUGACACUGUUACUGUGUUGUUGAUACUGUCACUGCGUUGCUGUUGGAAAAAGCACAAGGACUUCACAUGUUGCUUUCGUCUUUUGUGGAGGAGAGAGACCUAGGACUUGCAUGUCUUAGAUAUUUAAGAUAAGGGGCUUUCGUUCCAUUUUGAAAAUACUUUGGGUGUUUUUGAAAGGUGAUUGUUUCUUUUGGGUUUCUCACUAAAUUUCGCUUUAGAAGGGAAAAUAAUAAUAAUAAUGUCAAACAAAGUAGGGUAAAUAUUCAGAUAUGCUCAUAUUAUUAUUCUUCUCCAAUAUUGAGGUAUUUAUACAAGUACAAAGAUGUGUUAACCCUAAAUAAAAUAGGAAAUAUAUCUAAAUUAUAAUAGGCAGUAAAUCUCUAUUACAAUAGGACUAAAUAAUAAUUGGUAAGUAACCAAAAUUCUAAUGAAAUAAGGAAUCAAAAUCCUAACUAAGUAAGGACUCGCCAACACUCCCCCUCAAGUUAGGGCAAACAUAUUUCGCAUGCCUAACUUGACAAGCGAGUCAUAGAACACCAUACUUGAGAAGCACCAAUUGUAGAGAAGGUCUUUUCGUCAACCACGAGUGAAACAAGUGACAAACUAAAGCAAAGUUCGCAGCGGAAACACAAGAGCGAAUCCUAAAAAAUAGGGCACAUAGCAGAACACAAAAAUCCUGGAGCACGACAGUAGAUAAGGCAGAACACAGAAACCCUGUUAGCACGGCAAUAGGUAAGGCAGAAAAAGUCAAGAGCAAAGGCAAGGUCAACAGGCGUGACCACAACGAAAACACACCAGCAAAGACAUGAGCAACAAUAUUAGCACCAUAAUAGACAUGAGCAACAAUACUGGUACCAACAACAGCAAUACAAGGCACUGGCACCAGCAAGAGCAACAAGGCAUGGACAUAACAUGCAUAAUCAAUAGUAAUCAACAUUGUCCCCAACAAGAGUCAUAAUAGGCAUGAGCAAUAACAUUGUCCCCACUAAGAGACUUAACAGGUAUGAGUAACAGUACUGGCACCAGCAAAGGGCAUAGUAGUCAGCAGCAAUAACAAUGACAAAUACUUCUAUUAUUGCAGAGACAACUUCUCUUCACUCCCCAUCUCCCCUUGAAGAGAAGGGGUCAUCGGAACCAUAAGAAAAGUGGCACUUAAGAAACAGAAGUUGACUGACGCUCAAAUGUAGAAGAAUCAGCCAUGGCAAAUAGGUAGCUGAAUUGCAGCGGAAUAGAUGAGCAGCGGUGUCACUCCCCCUCAUAUCUGAUAAUGUAUGAGAGUCGAGAUUUGGAGAAAGCAAUAUCGAAAAAUAAAGUUGCAGAACCCAAAUAAAGUUGCAUCUAUCUCCCCAUCAAAUCCGACACUGGUAAAGGGUCGAGAUUUGAAAGAGGAGAAAUUGAAAUAAUAGUAAAGAGACUCAAACAUGCAGUCUCAUGGCAGAAACAAAUGCAAGAGGGGAAGAUGGUAGCAUACGGUUGUCCCAUGAAGAAAAAACUUCAGAAAAGGAGAAUAGUAAGGGAGGAAACCUAGCAAAUCAUGAACAGAGACAAAGACAAAGAUGCUCAAACUGAGAAGCGGAAAGGCAACUCAAGAGAGCAACCGAAGAAGACAGAGGCCCGCAGAACAGUCAAAGUUAAGGCUCGGCGAGUGGUGACGAUGCUCGCGGAGGAAAGCAACGGCUCGGUGAGCGGUGAUGAGGCUCACGGAGUAAAGAGACUUGUUAUGAAGUUUCAAAGAUAGAGAAGCUGAGACAUCAAGAAAGACCAUCUGGCAUACAAAGAUGAAAAAUAAAAAUUUUGGAACAGUAGCAAAGAAGCAUGUGAAGGCUGGUGCGGUGAAAACACAUAUGAAAGGAUGAACAAAAGAAGAUGACUAUACAAGAUGAAGACCCAUGAUGGGUUAGGAAUGAGGAGUGCCAACGACUCUCAAUUUGGCAGAGGUUAUCGCAGGUUAGGAACCUGGCUCUGAUACCAUGUCAAACAAAGUAGGGUAAAUAUUCAGUUAUGCUCAGAUAUGCUCAUAUUAUUAUUUUUCUCCAAUAUGGAGAUAAUUAUACAAGUACAAAGAUGUGUUAACCCUAAAUAAAAUAGAAAAUAUAUCUAAAUUACAAUUGGAAGUAAAUCUAUAUUACAAUAGGACUAAAUAAUAAUUGGUAAGUAACUAAAAUUCUAAUGAAAUAAGGAACCAAAAUCCUAACUAAGUUAGGACUCGCCAACAAAUAAUAGUACAACUCUUAUUAGCAACAGGUUACAAACUUCUUCUACAACACACCAACAUGAAUCUAGCCCUGAUCCACUCUUUUACAUACUUGAAAACAAAACAAAACACGAAAAACAAAAAACAAGAAACAAGAUAGGGAGAAAAUGGCUACGGAGAGACUUCCUGCUAAUCAGGGGCGGCCCUGGGGUGGUGCAAGUGGCGUCACCGCACAGGGCCCCCGAUUCUUAAGGGCCCCCAAAAAAUAAUUCUUUAUAUUAUAUAUAUAUAUAUUAAUAUUAUAUGAAUCGUAUAUAAAGUAUAGCGUCUGGAUGAUAAAGAGACUCAUUAUCAUUAUCUUAGUCAUAAGAUUCAAAAUGAAUUGAUACUUUUGUUAGCUUCUGAGCUCAAAAGUGCAAUCAUUAAAAAGAUUGAAGAAGCUAAAUAUUUUUCUGUGAUUCUUGAUUGUACUCCAGAUGCUAGAAACCAAGAACAAAUGAGUUUGAUAGUAAGAUGUGUGGAUGUCUCUACUAAUUCAAUAAAGGUUGAAGAAUUCUUUUUGGAAUUUUUGAUUGUGAAUGAUACAACAGGACAAGGACUUUUUGAAGAGUUGCAAACGGUGUUGCAAAAACUUAAGCUUGAUAUUGAUAAUGUGAGAGGACAAGGCUAUGACAAUGGAUCAAAUAUGAGUGGGAAAUAUCAAGGUGUCCAAAGAAAAUUUUUGGAUGUAAAUCCUAGAGCAUUGUACACACCUUGUGGUUGUCAUAGUCUUAAUUUAACACUUUGCGAUAUUGCAAACUCUUGUGGAAAAGCAAAAGAUUUUUUUGGAAUCAUACAACGUAUUUAUACAUUGUUUGCUAAUUCUACAAAGCGGUGGAAGAUAUUGAAAGAUAAUGUUAAACACUUAACUCUGAAAUCAUUGUCAGUUACACGUUGGGAAAGUCGUAUUGAAAGUGUGAGAGCAAUAAGAUUCCAAGCUGCAGAUUUAAGAGAAGCUUUACUUCAGUUAGCAGAAAGUGACGGUGACUCCAAAAUAACAAGUGAAGCUAAUUCUUUGGCAACAUAUGAACUUGGAAAUUUUGAGUUCUUAUUGGGCAUGGUUAUUUGGUAUGAUAUAUUAGGUGGUGUCAAUGUAGUGAGCAAAAACUUACAAUCUGAAGACAUGCUUAUUGAUGUUGCUAUUGAUAAAGUGAAAGGGUUGAUUACUUUUUUUUUGAAAAGUAUAGAGAAAAUGGGUUUACAGAAGCUAUGUGUACUGCUAAAAAAAUUGCUACUGACAUGGGAAUUGACCCGGUGUUUCCUGAGAAGCGAAAAAUUCGUAGAAAAAAACAUUUUGAUGAGAAUACUUGUGAGCUAUCCCAAUCAGUUCCUGAAUCAACUGAAGAAAAGUUUAGAAUUGAUUAUUUCUUGUAUUUAGUGGACCAAGCUAUUGGUUCUUUACGAAGAAGGUUUCGACAAUAUCAAGAGUAUGAGAAUUUUUGGGUUUUUGUUUACUUCAGAGAAGUUAAAUUCAUUGGAUGAUUGCGAUUUGAAGAAUAGUUGCAGUCAUCUGGAAAGCAUUUUGAAAAAUGACAAGUUUUCUGAUGUCGAUGGGGAGGAUUUAUUUGUUGAGUUGAAAGUUUUACAAGAGCUUUUACCAAAAGUAAAUACCACAGCUACUGCAAUAUUAAAUUUCUUGAAAAGAUUAAAUUGUUUUCCAAAUGCAUUCAUUGCAUAUAGAAUCCUAUUGACUAUUCCUGUUACUGUUGCAUCUGCGGAAAGAAGUUUUUCAAAAUUAAAAUUGUUAAAAUCAUACUUGAGAUCAACUAUGUCGCAAGAAAGAUUAAAUGGACUAGCUUUGAUUUCAAUUGAAAGUGAACUUCUUGAAAAACUUGAUUAUGAACAUUUGAUUGAUGAUUUCUCUUCUAAAAAUUCAAGAAGAUCAAUUUUCAGACAUUAGUAUUGUACUAGCUGUGUUUUUUUUUUUCUUCUAGGGUAAAAGCUCUCAUAAUAAUUUUAAUUCUUCAAAUAAGACAGCAAAUACAAUGUGAUGAAUUUUGGAUAAUCAGGUAUGUUUUUGUUGUUGCUUUUGUGUUUAAUGCAAUAUAAUCUAAUUUUUUUAAUGACAUUUGUGUGCAACUACUCUUUGAUUUGUGAUUGCCAAUUUUUUUUUCUUUCUAUUAAACACAGAUUGCUUAUUGGAGGCAGCAAGAGACCUUAUAGGGGCACAAGGAGCUUAUUUUUGUACAAAACAUUUAACUUUAUCAAAUGGAAACAUUUAAAUUUUUAUGAAUUUGAUUUCUGAUUGUCAUUGCAUAUUUAUUGAUGGUGAAUUUUAGUUAUAAAAAAAAAAUUGUUUAUGACAUUAAGUUAUGGCAAAUUUUUAUAGUAUUUUCGUAUUAGAUUAUGCGAGGUCCCAAUUUAAGUUUCGCACAGGGCCCUCAAAAUCUCAGGAACGGCCCUGCUGCUAAUACUUGAUCAAUAACAGAGAUAAUAGAGCACACUGUUUGUAUGACAAUGAGUAUCAGAAGAAUAAUAGCUGCAAAGAGAGAAAUAGCUGCCCAAGGUGUGUUGAAAUACUUUUGUCUCAAAUUUGCCUUCCGUCUGUUCGUGGUCUUCUUGCAGUACUCGUUUAGUUUGCCAGCAAGAUCACCAAAAUAGUAGUUUCCGUGGUUCGGAGCAACUUUACUGCAAAGCUUGUUAAUCAUAAUGGAAACCUUAUUGUUGUCACCUAGCGUGUUUACAACAAUUCCAUUGUCAACAAGCAACUCUACAUCCUUUGGGGUGUUUACAAAUUUAUCCAGGAUGAAAACAUAAUCGCUUAUGUAUUUAUCCACGCAAUGGCCUUGUUCAAAGGCAAUGAGAUUUCUAUGUGUAAGCUGUGUAAUCAUGUAUUUCAAUUUUUGGAAUUUCCAAGGUGUUUUUCUUGAACUGUAUAUCGAAUAAGUUCUUGCUUGAUCCCACGUUAAACUUAACUCCGGCCUGGUGUAGUUUUGUCAUGCUGGGUGUACUUUGGAGCCCUCCAUUUUUUUUUCUUUUGGCAGAUGUAAAGUUCUAAUAAAAUCAACAAAAUGUAAAGGUUUUUUAGGAUCAGGAGGCAUAAAAGACUUACGGAAGGCUGGUGAGUUCUCCAAGUUUUCUAAACGCAGUGCCUGUUGGAAGAACUUGUAAGAGAGUUCAAUUAUUGAAGGCUCCCCAGUCUGAGCACCUGUGAGAUUGUAAAGAUCCUCGAGAAUGAAAAAUGGCAGCUGAUUUACGAGCAUAAGCAUGUCAGGCAAUAUAUUUUGUAGCACCCAUGGUUUUUUAAAUAUCCAAGCAUCAUCAUCCUGCAAUUUUUCUUCCUGAAAUUUUUCUUCGGAUUUAUUCCUCAACAAUAGCUCAAUGACAAAGGCGGCAUCAACUAGAAUGAUAUUCACAAAAGUAGCAAUGUUAAACUUCUUAGGGCUAGUUUGGCGGCGUUGUGCUUUUAAAAAAAUAUGCUUCUGCUGUGCUGUGAAAAUAAUUAGCUGUGAAAAAAAGCUACUAGGCGUUUGGUAAACUGUUUUUGAAAAACUGCUGUGAGUAGUCAAAGUGUUUGGUAAAUUUUUAUCAGAAGUACUUUUAGUGUGUAUAAUGACCAAAAAGGACAUGAUGAUGAAAUUGUUUGUUAUUUUCUUCAUUCUUUUUCUACUUUAAAAAAAAAAAAAACCCAAUUUCACUACAUAAAUUUUUAUUCUUUUUUAAUUCACACCUUUUUAUCAAAAAAUUUAAUCUACAAUUAACAUACAUAUUUUACCAUAAAUUAUAAAUUACUAUUAUAACAAAAGUAAUUCUAAAUAUUGUUAUAUUAAUAUGGGCUUCGGACAUGACAAAAAUACAAAAAUUGUUCAAUUUUAAAAUGCCCCAAUAGAUCACUACAAUAUAAAAGAAGCUAAUUAGAUGCAUUCAUUAAACUUGUAGCGAUGCUAUUUCUUAAUGCAUUCAUUAGCUUCUUUUUUUGGUUUCCAAUGGUUCUCUAACAAUUUUAACUAAAAAAACAACCAUAAUGCUUUGUGAACAAUAAAUUCAAGUCCAAAUCUGCUAUUGCCCACACCAUACAUAUAUACAUAAUUGUUCCUUUCAUAAAACUUGAAGAUUCAAUAGUAAUUACACAGUUUACCAAUCUUGAUUCCAACUAUAUCCAUAAAAUUAAACUAUAAUUAGAAAUAGAGGAGCUACAUGUGAUUACUCAUAAAUGCUUCCCACUCUCAUCAUCAUCAUCAUCAUCAUCUUCCUCCUCUGUACUUUGCCUUUCACAAAUGGACAAGACCAGAUGGUAACGUACACGACAUGGUCCACAUAUAGAUAAAUUUUGGGUUCACUGGAGAACAUAAAAGAGUUUUUACACGAAUACAAAGUUAGUUAAGUAGUGAAUAAAGUAAAACUAUUCUGUACAAUUCUAGCUGAUGCAGUCCAAAAAGAAUAUAUGUCUAAUAACUUAAAUAACAAUAAAGAGAAACAAAAGCCUCAUGAAAAAUGCUAGAGUAAAAGUUACAUAACUGAAUCGAUGGACAGAGAACUCCACAGGCAGAGAAACAGCAACAAAAAUUGUCAAAACAGUAGCAAGACCAUGUUGGAGUCAAGGCCAAAGAUCAUAUUUCCUGUGUAUCUUCUUCCAUUCUGAAUUAUUCUCGUAUUCAAAUACUGUAACUCUAUUUCAAGUGCACCCCAAAAUACUUAUCUAAGGCCAGUACAUAGGACUUCAUAAAGGGUGCGAUAAAAAAUAUUGCCCCUUAAUUGAUAAACAGAACCAAGAUCCCAACAGCACACCAAAACUAUACCAACCACACCUACAUAAUAUGGACAGAAAAUCCUGUUGUUCCGAUCUCUAACCACACCAAUGACAUUCAUUAGGAAAAUACAAAAGAUGGGUACCCUGCAUUUCUAACAUUUAAGAUAAAAUUCACUGCCAGCUAAUCACAAAUUUGAAAAGAUGGCAAGAAAAUUGGCUAAGCUUUAACAAAAACCAGAGCAGUCCUUGCAUAGACCUGACUUUUUGCUCCAAGCUUUAGCAGAUCACUUACUGGUAGAGAGCAGAGAACAUGUAUGUGAAUAUCUGAAGUUGGAAGGGUAAGCCAUCACAAACACCAAGAGAUCUGAUUCUCAUCUCUUGUUACAACAACAAAUCACAAACACCAAUACAUCUGAUUCAGAAUCUCAUAAACAAUGGAGGAACAAACACAUAUUCACACACAUAUAAAUCCCUAAACAGAAAAAAUAAAAAAUAAAAAAAAAACCAUGAAAGUCAUAGGAGAAUCAAAUUGAUUUGGGCCAAAAUUGCCUAAAAAGAAAACACUCCUAAAUAAACUUCAAUUCACUUUUAAAAACAGUAAAACAUGAUUGAAUCAUUCUUUAAAACAAUUCCCUAAUAUACAUGCAUGAUAAUGACAUCAUUUACCCCUGAAUCAAAUGCCUUUCACUGGUCAAGCCACAAGUCUGUGUUUUGGGAAUUGCUGAGCUGCAUCAAUCCUGCCAAUGUAAAUUCUGCCCCUAGGCUCUCUCAAAGUGCGUUUACAACCUAUGCUAACAUAUACUAGAGUUUGUUUUAGUAUCUAGAAAAUGCCAACACUAAUUUCGUAACACGUAGAAAUUGUUACAUAUUGGAAGUUUUUAUCAUUUUUUCUUCCAGUCUCUCCACCACUCACUAAUACAGAUUACUCAUGUGAUGAGUUUACAAAACAUAUUUCUCUACUCCCACAAAGACCAUACUUUUUCUCAAAAGACUAUAUCACUUUAUCUCUAUCUUUGUGAAAUGUAAAAAGUUGAAACUUUAAUGUCAAACCUCGACAAAAGAUGAACAUCCAUCAUCAAUUACAUUGAAUUUGAAUUUGUUGAACUUAAGUAGUUUUACUUCUCUGUCAGCGUUUGAUGACUUGAUUUGUUAUUUACUUCUUCUUUUUUCCUUGGAAAUGUGUUCCAUCAACGUGAGGAAGAAAAAUAUGCACAAAUUAAUAUAUUUAAUAGAAGCAAAAAUUAAUAUUUACAAAAAUAUGCACAAAUCAAGUAAAAUUAAUAAAGCAUAAAUUGGAAAGGGAAAAUAUGUAGAGGAUGCAUUGUAGGAUUGCUCAUGCCAAUAAUUGUACCCUCUAAAUAUAUAGGGACAUAUUUUUUUUUGUUUUCAUGACAUGUGGUCCUAAAAUUAUUGUUCUUAGCGGGCUCUCCACCCCUCUCGACUGAAAACCUAUUGUGUAAAUCUUCAAUCCUGAAUGAUGCACCUAAAACUCAUGUUGCAAUACACAUCCACCCAUUCUCAGGCCAAUUAUUACUCCUAGUGGGCUCUCCACCCCCUCUCAAAUUUAAGUGGUCCAUUAUUAUUAACCGUAUAUUUUAUGGACCAGCCAGCUGUGAGGUUUUAUCUCAAAAACCUUUCUCCCACAUGCCACAAUUUAUGUCUGAUACAUCACAUCAUGCCAGUUGUCUCAAAUGAAUUUAAGUGAGUGAGGCAGUGUUACUUCUGGGUACCCCUCAUUAUUCGUCUAUAAAUUGGUGAAGCCAGUUGCUACUGUUACCAUAAGAGCCAGCUCCGACUUUCAAAAUAAAAAUUCCAACAACGGUCUUAGUGCCUUCAAUUGUAUGAGUCAUUGAACAUGCAAAUGAAUAAAAUAUGAAUGAUAAAAGUGUUUGAUAAAUCACCAAGUUAUAGAACACUUGAUGAUUUAUCUCAAAUAAAAAUUCAGCUUUCUAAAGUUUGUGAAUUGAAAAUAUAAUCGUUAAAGCUCUCUAAACAAAGAAGACGAAAGUCUUAUUUUAUAGAAUUUUUCUUUACAAGAAAGAAAACAUGUUGAAAACCAAAUCUCCAAUUUCCAAGGCUUGACAGAAAAUCAAAAAAAUAUCUUUCCUAUUCUAGAGAUUGGUCACAUGUAGUUCAACCAAUAGGAAAUGAGAUAUUUAAGAAAGCAAGAUUUUGAUCAAUACCAAUAUCAAAUGAAUUCUUAUACGCCUAGUCAACUAUUAAGGGUAUCUUGACUCCUUGAUAUUGUGAUAUGAUUGAAACAUGAUUUCCAUGUUAGAAAAUUAAGGGGAUGUUAAAACAUGAAAGUAAUAGGAGAAUCAAAUUGAUUUGGACUAAAAUUGCCUAAAAAGAAAACACUCUUAAAUAAACUUCAAUUCACUUUUAAAAACAGUAAAACAUGAUUGAAUCAUUUUUUAAAACAAUUCCCUAAUAUACAUGCAUGAUAAUGACAUCACUUACCCCUAAAUCAAAUUGUCACGCCCCGGACCUGGGGGUCAGUGGAAACCCCACGUUCGGUGCGUGAGAAAAUAAAAAGUAAAAUAAAAUAAAAAGAAUGCCGAAACAAGGGUUUAAAAUAAACUUCUCUUAUAAAAAUAACUCCAAAAUCUUACAACUUUACAAGAAAUAAAUAAAGCCCUAUCAUUCUUAUCUAAUUCAGCCUCAACUGGUUUAGUCCUUGUCUUGCCCACUAAUUCAUCUAAAAAAUGAAGAGUGUUGCUAAACGAACCCUAAAAUUAAUUGAGUACACCCUACUACCAAACGAUUUAUUGAAUUUGUCACAUCUCGGGAUCAACUCCGCCGUAGCACGAUAUUGUUCGCUUUGGGCCCUCCCUCUCUGGCUCGCAUGGUUUUGUUUCUGGGAACUCACGAGUAACUUCCCAGUGGGUCACCAAUCCUGGGAUUGCUCUAGCCCACAACUCGCUUAACUUCGGAGUUCCUACGACUCCGAAGCCUGUGAGCUCCCAAAAGGUCUCGUGCUAGAUGGAUGCGGGUGUGCACAUAUAAGGCACAUCACCCCCUCUCCGUUGGUUGAUGUGGGAUCUUAUAGAAUUACUAAUUUAUCCUAAUAUAAAAUGACCAAAGAAGAUAAAAUAAUAUUGGUAUCUAUUGCUUUGAAUCCAUGCCUUCAAACAAAUUGACUUAAUUUUUAACAAACAACACGGAGUCCAGGAGAAGUGUAUUGAUCCAAGUUGAUUUUUGUAUGCGUAAAACUUAAACAAUCAAUAACACAAAGCAGUUCAUGCUGAAAUAUUGGAAACCCACACCCAAAGAGUUCUCCGCUGCGAGGUUGAAGGCAGGAGAGAUGGGUGACAGAUUUUACUUCCACUGCGAAGUUGGAGGCUAGGAGAGUCUGUGACUGCCAUGGUUGAGGGAGAAGAUGCGUUCAAAAUGCCUAUUGAUAUUUUACAUUAUUGGCUUUUUUCAAAAGUGAAAGUUUUUUUAUGGGUAAAACCUAAAUUUACUUUUUCUAUACAAGUUAACAGUGUUUGUGUAUUGUGAAAAGGUGGAGAGACGUGUCAAAAUUUUAGACAAAGGACAGGAGGAGAUAGGGAAUUUGGGGACAGCAGAUCUCAACUCCCUUGAGACCCUAUUCUCUACGCCACCCCUCCCCCUCAACAACCCUAGUCACCAUUUCUCCUUCAACUCCAACGGCAACUCAUUAAAACCCAAUUCUCAAAUGCAACAAUCUAAUCCCAAUCCCAAUUCAGAUGUUUCUAAAAAACCCAUUGUCGUGGUGGAGAACUGCAAUUCCAGGUGGUGGUGGUGGUACCACAUGGGAGAGAGAAAAAAGAAGAAGAAGAAGCAGGAGAGAGAGAGUUUUUUAUUUUAUUAUUAUUUUACUGUAAUUUUUUAAUUUAAAUAAUUAAAAAAAUUAAAAGUUAAAGAGGAUGUACCAUGGGUAUUUUUGGUAGUUAAAUAAGGUGUACUUAGGGUCAGUUUGGCAUUGCUGUGCUGUGAAAAUAAUAGCUGUCAGAUUUGCUGUGAGAGAAAUCAGCUGUGAGAGAAAUCAGUUUGGCGUUUGAUAAAAUUUUUGUUAAAAGUGUGUUGAUAUUGAUUUUAUGCUUAAUCCGAAAAUGAUUGCUGCAUAAUCAUUAAACCCAGCGCCUCUUCGAAACUGAUUCCUAUAUAAUCAGAAAAUGAAAGCACCUCAUUAGCUGCUUUCCUUUAUAGCUUUCUCUCACAGCAAUUUUUAACAAUAAGUGAUUUUCUCACAGUUUACCAAACGGGUUGGGCUUCUCAAAAUUUUUUAAAAAUCACUUAUUACCCCAAAUAAGCAAUACCAAACGGGCACUUAGUUAAUUUUACAUUUUAAUUUAAACAUUAGGGUGUACUCAGUUAAUUUUAGGGUUCGUUCAGCAGCACUCAAAAUUAAACAAGGUGAGGGAUGAGCAAGUAGGGACAUGAGACAUUGCCACAGUAGAUUGAUAUAACUAAAUAUUAUUAUAAACAUAGAAAUAUAUAAGUAUUAUUAUAAUAGGAUUCAUAAUAAUUAAUAUAAAAGUAUAACAACAAUAUUUACAUUUAUGUACCAAGAUAAUUACACAUAUAAAUAUAACCAAUAUAUAUUUUUAUAUAUUUUAAAAUAUAAGUCUUUACGUAAAUGCCUUUCACGGGUCAAGCCACAAGUCUGUGUUUUGGGGAUUGCUGAGCUGCAUCAAUCCUGCCAAUGUCAAUUCUGCCCCUGAGCUCUCUCAAAGCACGUUUAAAACCUAUGCUAACAUAUACUAGAGUUUAUGCUGUAUCUAGAAAAUGCCAACACUAAUUUCGUAACACGUAGAAAUUGUUAGAGAUUGGAAGUUUUUAUCAUUUUUUCUUCCAGUCUCUCCACUACUUAUUAAUACAGAUUACUCAUGUGAUGAGUUUACAAAACCUAUUUCUCUACUCUCGCAAAGACUAAACUUCUUCUCAAAAGACUAGAUCACUUUACCUCUAUCUCUGUGAAAUGUAAAAAGUUGAAACUUUAAUGUCAAACCUCGACAAAGUGUUCUACUUUACAAACUUCUUGUGUCUACCAAUUUGUACUAAAAUUAAUUUCUCUACAGUGCUCAGAUUCAUCAUAUGUGUGUCCUUAAUUUUAGUGGAAAUUGGAAGUUUCCAUAAUUUUUGCUUUAAGUCACUCUUCUGAAGGAAGUUGAGGUUCCACUUCAUAAUCCAAAAUGUCAGGUUGACUUAUGGCAAACAAUGUAAAUAUGUAGGAGUACUAUGACCUUUUAUAGCAUUUUUAGUUUGAAUUUGGGUUUUAUACAUAGAUUUCAAAAUUAAUAGGUUGAUGCCUAGGAAAUAGAAAUUGUAAGGGCCUAUAUUAGAGUAGCCCUCUUAAAAAUAAUAUUAAUUAAUGAAUAUUUGUUCUUCUUGUUGUUUUGAAGUAGUGGUGGGAGGCAGACCAACAAAAAAAAAAUAUAGUGAAGGCUUAUAAGAGCAUUUACAAUCAUGCUCCCUAUUUUUUAGUUAAAAUUUAGCUAAAAAUAGAAAAAAAGUUAUUAUAGGAGCUCUUUAUAAAGCUCCUUUAUAAAAUUUGAACUCCAAUCAUACUCCCUAGUUUAGGGAGUCAAAAAUACUAUAGUUAUUUUUUAAUUCAAUUUGAUUUUGGUUAAUCUCUAUAAAUAUGAAAAAAUAGUUAGCAUUAAUUAAAAGUUUAAACUAUGCAUAAAACAAAGAAACAUUAAAUUAUAGGGAGCCACUAUGAGUCAUUACUCUCUCCUCAGAUUUAGGAGCUCCUAAAGGUCUCCCUAUUUUAUGAGGUGGAUAAGGAGCAUGGUUGGAGUUGUAUUUCUUCAAUUUCCUCCCUAAAAUUUGUCUAAGGAUGUGGUUUAGGGAGCCCAUUGUGAAUGCUCUAACUCUGGUAAAACACGAGUGACAUGGACAACAUAUGUUACGUCGUACUGAAGAUUUUUGGGUUUCUUUAAUUGGUUAAGUAGCAUCCACACAGCUUCCUAAAUCAUCUCCUUAGACAAAUUUUAGGGAGGAAUUGGAAAAGUACAACUCCAACUAUGCUCCCUAUCCACCAACUAAAAUAGGGAGACUUCUAGGAGCUCCUAAAUCUGAUGAGAGAGAAAGGACUCUUAAUGACUCCCUAUAAUUUAAUGUUGCUUUAUAUUAUUUUGUAUACAGACGGGUCAAUUAUAUUAAAUUAAAAAAUAAUUAAAGUAUUUAUGACUCUCUAAACUAGUGAGCAUAAUUGUAGAUCAUCUUAUAUACCUUAAUUUGAAGAUUCUUUAUUUGGGUUUCUUUCAAGACUUAUCACCUUAGCCACGCCACCUACACGUCUGCAAGCUUUCCUAACAAGGAAGGGGAGGCUGCGCAAUACUUAUCACCUUAGCCACACUACACCAAAUUGACGUCUGCAAGCUUUCGUAAUCUAACAAGGAAGGGGAGGCUGCGCAAUACUUAUCACCUUAGCCACACCAACACCACAAGACCAAUAUGUGUAGUCCAGGAGGCUUUCCCAUUUUAAUAUAUAUUAUCAAAUAAAAUAAAAAUCAAUCUAUUAUCAUAUAUAUUAUAAAAUAAAGAUUAUUGCUCCAUCCUCCAUGCACUUGCAUGCCUCUUACAAAGUGUGAAGUAGAUUUUGUGUGCUCCAAGUCAUUGACGAGAGCUGUAACAUGGUUAGCUGGAUUUAUAAGAUCUUUUCUUUUCUGGGAAUUUUCUGAAUCAAGAAAAAUUAAGUAAAAUUAAUAAAGCAUAAAUUAGAAAGGAAAAAUAUCUAGAGGAUGCAUUGUAGGAUUGCACAUGCCAAUAAUUGUAUCCUCUAAAUAUAUAGGGACAUAUUUUUUUGUUUUCAUGACAUGUGGCCCUAAAAUUAUUGUUCCUAGCGGGCUCUCCACCCCCUCUCGAUUGAAAACUAAUUGUGUAAAUCUUCAAUCUUGAAUGAUGCACCUAAAACUCAAGUGUCCCAGGCCAAUUAUUGCUCUCAUACCACUUGUUGUAAUAAACAUCCAUCCAUUCUAAAGGAAAGAUAACCAUCGAUAUUAUCUCAAAUUUAACCACUUAAGUUCAUUAUGAUUAACUAUGUAUCUUAUGGACCAAUCCAAUCAUGAGGUUUUAUACCCAAUUAGAUCGACUAAUACAAAGUUCACACGUGGAUUGAAAAGCGCUAUCAGUAGGGGAGUGUUCGGCACCCUUUACUGCCGAACGCAACACAAGACCCCUUGCAUGCCUUCACUAAGUUGAGCCUAUCUAUUUUUUAGCAUUAACAAUAUAUAUAGAUUGAAAAAAUAAAAUAAAAAUCAAUCUAUUAUCAUAUAAAAUAAAUAUUAUUGCUCCAUCCUCCAUACACUUGCAUGCCCUCUUACAAAGUGUGAAGUAGAUUUUUUGUGCUCCAACUCAUUGACUAGGGCUGAAACAUGGUUAGUUGGAUUUAUAAGAUCUUUUCUUUUCUGGGAAUUUUCUGAAGCACGGAAAAUCAAAUAAAAUUAAUAAAGCAGAAACUGUACCCUUUAAUUAUAUAUGGACGUAUGUUUUUUUGUUUUCAAGUCUUAGAUGACAUGGGGACCUAAAAUUAUUGCUCCUAGUGGACUCUCGACCCCUCUCAAAUUUAAGUGGUCCAUUAUUAUUAACCACAUAUUUUAUGGACCAUGCAGCUGUGAGGUUUUAUCUCAAAAACCUUCGGUACAUUUCUCCCACAUGCCACAAUUGUAUAUUCACAAUUACGGCUGUUACGUCACAUCAUGCCACUUGCCUCACAUGCAACAAGUCUGUGUUUUGGGGAUUGCCGAGCUGCAUCAAUUCUGCCAAUGUCAAUUCUGCCCCUGGACUCUCUCAAAGCACAUUUAAAACCUAUGCGAACAUAUAUUAGAGUUUAUGAUGUAUGUAUCUAGAAAAUGCCAACACUAAUUUCGUAACAUGUAAAAAUUAUUAGAGAUUGGAAGUUUUUAUCAUUUUUUCUUCCAGUCUCUCCACCACUUAUUAAUACAGAUUACUCAUGUGAUGAGUUUACAAAACCUAUUUCUCUACUCUCGCAAAGACUAAACUUCUUCUCAAAAGACUAGAUCACUUUACCUCUAUCUCUGUGAAAUGUAAAAAGUUGAAACUUUAAUGUCAAACCUCGACAAAGUGUUCUACUUUACAAACUUCUUGUGUCUACCAAUUUGUACUAAAAUUAAUUUAUCUACGGUGCUCAGCUUCAUCGUAUGUGUGUCCUUAAUUUUAGUGGAAAUUGGAAGUUUCCAUAAUUUUUGCUUUAAGUCACUCUUCUGAAGGAAGUUGAGGUUCCACUCCAUAAUCCCAAAUGUCAGGUUGACUUAUGGCAAACAAUGUAAAUAUGUAGGAGUACUAUGACCUUUUAUAGCAUUUUUAGUUUGAAUUUGGGUUUUAUACAUAGAUUUCAAAAUUAAUAGGUUGAUGCCUAGGAAAUAGAAAUUGUAAGGGCCUAUAUUAGAGUAGCCCUCUUAAAAAUAAUAUUAAUUAAUGAAUAUUUGUUCUUCUUGUUGUUUUGAAGUAGUGGUGGGAGGCAGACCAACAAAAAAAAUAUAGUGAAGGCUUAUAAGAGCAUUUACAAUCAUGCUCCCUAUUUUUUAGUUAAAAUUUAGCUAAAAAUAGAAAAAAGUUAUUAUAGGAGCUCUUUAUAAAAUUUGAAUUCCAAUCGUACUCCCUAAUUUAGGGAGUCAUAAAUAUUAUAGUUAUUUUUUAAUUCAAUUUGAUUUUGGUUAAUCUCUAUAAAUAAAUAAAAAUAUGAAAAAAUAGUUAGCAUUAAUUAAAAGUUUAAACUAUGCAUAAAACAAAGAAACAUUAAAUUAUAGGGAGCCACUAUGCCAAUAAUUGUAUCCUCUAAAUAUAUAGGGACAUAUUUUUUUUGUUUUCAUGACAUGUGGCCCUAAAAUUAUUGUUCCUAGCGGGCUCUCCAACCCCUCUCGAUUGAAAACCAAUUGUGUAAAUCUUCAAUCUUGAAUGAUGCACCUAAAACUCAAGUGUCCCAGGCCAAUUAUUGCUCUCAUACCACGUGUUGUAAUAAACAUCCAUCCAUUCUAAAGGAAAGAUAACCAUCGAUAUUAUCUCAAAUUUAACCACUUAAGUUCAUUAUGAUUAACUAUGUAUCUUAUGAACCAAUCCAAUCGUGAGGUUUUAUACCCAAUUAGAUCGACCAAUACAAAGUUCACACGUGGAUUGAAAAGCACUAUCAAUAGGGGAGUGUUCGGCACCCUUUACUGCCGAGCGCAACACAAGAUCCCUUGCAUGCCCUCACUAAGUUGAGCCCAACUAUUUUUUAGCAUUAACAAUAUAUAUAGAUUGAAAAAAUAAAAUAAAAAUCAAUCUAUUAUCAUAUAUUUUAUAAAAUACAUAUUAUUGCUCCAUCCUCCAUACACUUGCAUGCCCUCUUACAAAGUGUGAAGUAGAUUUUUUGUGCUCCAACUCAUUGACUAGGGCUGAAACAUGGUUAGUUAGAUUUAUAAGAUCUUUUGUUUUUUGGGAAUUUUCUGAAGCAAGGAAAAUCAAAUAAAAUUAAUAAAGCAGAAACUGUACCCUUUAAUUAUAUAUGGACAUAUGUUUUUUUGUUUUUUUGCUCUCGACCCCUCUCAAAUUUAAGUGGUCCAUUAUUGUUAACCACAUAUUUUAUGGACCAUCCAGCUUCGGUACAUUUCAAAAAGCUUCGGUACAUUUCUCCCACAUGACACAAUUGUAUAUUCACAAUUACUUCUGGGUACCCCUCAUCAGUCGUCUAUAAAAUGGUGAAGCCAGUUGCUACUGUUACCAUAAGAGCCAGCUCCGACUUUCUUUAAUUUCUUGCUACAUCUGUUGCUAAGUUAAUUUCAGUCCUAAUGGGGUUUCAUCUCCCACUCAUCUUUGCUAUUCUCAGUGUAAGCUCUGCAAUUUGAUUAACUUUUCCAUUCUCUCUCAUUGUACUCUAUAUAUAUAAAUGAAAGUUUUGUGUUCCUAUAAUUCUCUCCGAUUUUAUUUAGUACGUACUUAAGUGUCGUCCACUAAUUAAUUACACUUUGUGAGAUUUGAUUUUAAUUAGAGUUCGAAUUAAUGUUGCAGCUAGCAGCGGUUGCACUGGCAAACAAUGCUGCUCAACCAGCACCUCAACUUUACUGGAACUCCGUCCUGCCAAACACACAGAUGCCAAGAUCUAUCAGUGAACUUCUGCAUCCUGGUUUGUGUUCAGCUCUUUAUAAUCUUAGAUAUCUCUUCUACCUGCCAUUUUACUAAAAUAUGUUCGACCACAUAUUUAUCAGCUAACUACUGUGAUUACAAGAAUGACACUUAUUUUCCAAUAUAAUUUGCAGACUCCACAAAUGAAGAAAAGAGCAAACCUGAAAUUUUCCCAUUGCAGGGCAAUAGAGUUUACACUCAAAGCCAUUAUAAAAAACGUCCUCCUCCUCCAUCUGACGAGGGCAAACCUGAAACUUUCCCAUUGGGCAAUAGCCAUUACACUCAAACCCGUUAUAAAAAACGUCCUCCUCCUCCAUCUGACGAGGGCAAACCUGAAAAUUUCCCAUUGGGCAAUAGCCAUUACACUCAAACCCGUUAUAAAAAACGUCCUCCUCCUCCAUCCGACGAGGGCAAACCUGAAAAUUUCCCAUUGGCCAAUAGCUUUUACACUCAAACCCGUUAUAAAAAACGUCCUCCUCCUCCAUCUGACGAGGGCAAACCUGAAAAUUUCCCAUUGGCCAAUAGCUUUUACACUCAAAGCCAUUAUAAAAAACGUCCUCCUCCUCCAUCUGACGAGGGCAAACCUGAAAAUUUCCCAUUGGCACGUUCUCCUCCAUCUGACAGUCAACUAAAGCAUUACAAAGACUUAGCUAUUUUCUUCUUCGAGAAGGACAUGCGCCCGGGCACAACUAUGAAGUUCCAAUUCCCUAGAAAUUCAAACACGGCUACUUUCCUGCCACGCGAAAGUGCUCAAUCGAUCCCCUUCUCCUCUAAGAAACUACCAGAAAUUUUCAACCAUUUUUCAGUGAAGCCAACAU